rnacentral:lncRNA from 1 species
UUUUUUUUUUUGUAAACACUCUCUCCCCAAAAGUCUAGGCUUUUGUUCUUCUCAUAUUUUCUUUCAAUAAAAUCUCUAUUUUUAUUUUAUUUAUUUUCUUUUCCACCAUAACCAUGAGCCACUAAACCCAUCUAGCCGAAAGUUGUCGAUAUUCCCUAAAAAGGGUUCUUGAGGUUUAGAGUCCGUACUUAGCCUCCUCAUCGAGCAUUCAUCAUUUCUCUGCACUACGGGGCUGACGCUUCCGUCCAUGUCCCUUAAGAAGUAAGCUUUUCAACGUAUGCAAAGCCGGCCGCUUUGUAUGUUUUAGGAAGGUUGCACAGUCGGUUCGUUAGCUUACUGCGUCAGAGGUUGGCGAGCCCAAGAGACAAAAUGGCGUGGGAUUCGCCAUUGAGAAGUGUUGAUCUAGCAUAAGACGAACCCACAGAAGCGAUUGUUGGCUAGAGUCAGGUUCCACUAAAUCGUAAGUCUAAAUCCUUGGAGCUAGUGGUCGUAGGCAUCCUGUUCCACUAUUACUGGCUUAUUCGGUUUGGGAAGGAUCAUAUAAAAGCCGAGGAUUGAACCCAUAGUGGAACGAGACAACUGGAGGCUGGAAUCCCCCAUAAGAAUUUCCUUUCUCUCAGCUCUAUUUUUAAUUUCUCAAAUUUUCGAUUCAAUAUUCUUAAUUAUGUUUUUAUUUUAUUUUUCGUUUCCAGAUCCAAACCUUUAAUUCUGCUAUUUUCUUAUUUUUUUCUAGGAACGCAGGUUUUCUUGGACAAGAUUCUGCUUGGGACUUCACGGAACAAGACAUUGUGCAAAUCCAGUCCCUGAGGAUUUUACCCUACUUCCCUUUUACUAUUAUUUUUCAUUAUUUAUUAGGGAUAUGAUAUUUUUGGUGCUUUUAAUGACCGCAUCAGGAACUCUGCUCGAAUUACCGAGGAUCUACUGUAUCGAACAUUCGAGUUACUUGUCAUCGGAUCCUGUCUUUCCUUUCUCUCUCGACAUUCUCGCGUCAUUUUUAGCUACGAAUUAUAAUCCGGAAAUACAUAACAUUAAAUUCUAGGCUAAAUCACAAUCGAUUACAAAAACACACAUAUUUUACAGUUUAUUCAAUUUAGUCCCUAAAACUGGGACUAAACUAACUUUCAAUUUAAGACUCCAAAAUGAAAUUUGAUUUCACUAUUAACCAUUAGGGACCGUUUAUUUCUUAUUUCUACAGUAAAGUUUACAUUUUAUUCACUUUAGUCCCUAAUGUACAAAAUUGUCAAUUAGCUUUACAAGUUAGUCAUUUUUUACUUCUAAACUUAAAAUCUAUCAAUUUAACACCUAAAACUUUCAAUUAUCAACAAUAUCAACUUUAAAAACUUUAAAAUUUUAACAAAUUGGUACAUGGGCUAGCUAAAUCAAGCUCCCAUGACCUCAAAUCUAUAAAAAUUACAAGAAAAUAACUAAGGACUUACUUGAAUUUUGAAGUUAAAAGCUUGAAUUCUUCAUAUCAAUGUCAUCCUUUCUUUUCGUUAUUUUGGUUCGAUUGGGGAGGAUGAGUUUCCUCCUUCUCCCCACGAAAUUUCACAUAUAUAGUAUAAUUAACUUAGUUAAUUAAGUAAUUAAUCUUAGUUUAAUAUAUAUAAUACUUAAUUGAUUUGAUUUAAUGAUAACAUGUGUCGUCCACUUCCUGAUGUUUAGAAAUGAUAUAUUUUCUAUUUUGAACCUUUUUUUAUUUUCAAUUUAAGUCCUCAAGCCAUUUUCUAAUUAAAAAUCUAUAGCGAUUGGACUUUACAAUUUAGUCCCUAGACCUCAAUUAAGCCCUAAUUCGGCUAAAUUACUUGUCCAAAAUUCAAUUCACCUAUAUAAUAACUUUGUAAAUAUUUUUAUUUAAUAUUUACGAACUUGGUUUACAAAAAUAGAAUCCCAAAACUGCAUUUUCCGACAUCAUUGGAAAUUGGGUCGUUACACCUUGAACUCAUCUCAAGCAUACAUUCUGAGCCAAGUACAAGACCAAGGUAUCCUCAAAAGUCCUCUUCUAAUGAGACUCGACCACAUAGAGGUUGAUAUAAUGAAAUAUGCCAGUUUUAUGUGCACAAAACUGAAAACUAUAUUUCAUUGGAAGAUGCCUGUAACACCUCUAAAAUCAUUAUAUUUUAAAAGCAAUAAUAUAUCGAGAUAGCGUACAAUUGAUUUCUCGAUAAAGUAAAAAAAAUGAAAGUCAUGAAAGAGAAGAUUAAGGAGUAUCAAAGAAAGUUAAAUUAAGAAGUAUGUUGUAGUAUACUAAAUUAAAGUAAGGAUUAAAUCGUAAAGAUGUAAAAAACUUUGAGGUUCAAGUAAAAUUAUUCAAAAUUUAAGGGGUUAAUGUAUAAAUAAGAGAAAAAUUGAAAUAUCAAAAAUGGAAAUAACACAAAUUCUUAUGAAAUGAAAUUGGGGUGCAAGGACCAAAUUAAGUAAGUGGAGAAAUACGAGGGACUAAAUCGUAAUUUUACGAAAAGGAAGUAGUAACUCAAAGAUGGAAAUUUGAAGAAACAUGAAGGGUAAAAUGAUCCUUUCUUAAAUGAGAUGAUUUAUAAGAAAAUAUCAUGAUUGUUGGCAAAAUAUAGGUCAUUGGUUGAGAUUGAAAAAUAAGAUGAAAUCUUAGCCAUUUGAUUAAAAUGAUUAAAUUUAGAUUUUUAUAUAUUAAAUAAUAAUAUUUUAUUAUUCAAUUAGUUGAGAUAUUUUGAUGGAAAAGUGAAGAAACUUCUUCAUCUUUUAUAUAACUGGUUCACGCCACUUUCAUGAAUGCAAGAAGAAAAUUUUACAUUUUAUGCAAUUUAGUCAUUUGUCAUGAAAUCUCAUUAUUUCACCCAAAAAUUCUUGGAAAUUCCUAUAGGCACCAAAGAGGAAAGAAGAAGUAGAGAUCCUAGAGAGUAUAUUCCUUAACUUAGAAGAAAGAAAUUGGUAGAUGAAAGUGAAGAAAAAUAGAAGAAAAGAGAAGAAUAGUGAUGAAGUUGAGAAAGAAAUAGAAGAGAAGCAAAAGAUGUGAAAUUCUUGUAAAAAGAGGUUAGUGUUCAUUGUAAUUUCAUUAAUAUUCAAAGUAUUAAGUUAAGGUAUGUAAUAACUUGAGUGUUUAAUAUGUGAAUUUUAUUUAAGUAGUAAUGAUAGAAAGUAUAUUACAAAUUGUAAUUCAUAGAUAGUGGUAUAAUUUGUGCUAUGCGAAAUUAUGAUUAAGUUAUAUGUUAAUGAUAUGUGAGCUUUGAGGAUUAAAUUGAAUAAUAAUCUAAGUGUGAUGAUAUACAUAAUCAAGUGAUCUUGUAUUGCAAUUUAAUAGUUGAUAAGUAAAAUAAAAGUUAAAUGUUGGUAUAAAUAAUAUAAAUCUUAAUAAUUAAAUAUAUUCAUUAAAAUAGUUUUGGACAAUAGCAGUAGUUUAAAAUUAAAAAUUCACUAAUAAUUGUAGAAAUUGAUUUAUAGGUUUAAUUAAAUAAUUAUUUAAAGCUUAUUGAGUCUAGUUUUACAUAAAAGAAACGAUGUAAGCAAUAGUAUUGUAGAUUGUGAGAUAUAUGAACUUUUGUGAGACAAUGUCAAAAUGAUUUCGGGUUCCCCUGUUAUGAUUUUGAAAAAUUAUUAUAAAUUUUACAAAAAUAUUUAGGAUUUUAAAUUUAUAUUUUUAAAAUAUUGAUGAGCCUAUUUUUAAGGGAAAGAAACGACCACAUAAUAUGAAUCUUGUACUGAAAGAAAAUUAAUUUUUGGUGGAGAAGGGUCAAAGCUGCCUAGCAAUAGAACAGGAGAAAAUUUAAAGAAAAUACUAAAUUAAUUGGCUUAAAUGGAAAUUAUGAAAUUUUUAUGAUAAAAAUUUCAUUGAGUCUAGUUUUAAAAACAACAAGAGAAUCUUAAUUUGGAACAUUGUAGAUCAAUAUAUAAAUAAUUUAGUGAUUGCCACUCAAGUGGCUAGCCUUGCUAAAAAUAUGUAAUUAGUGAAAUCAUAAUUAAUGUUACAUAUAAACAUACUAAACUCAAAAUUAAAGGUUCAUAUAUACACAUAUAUACACACCUAUAUAAAAUAUGUGGAAUGGAGAGAAGAAAAUAAAUAGUAGAAGAGUGUGAUGCUAAGAGAAUGUUAUAAGUGAUAGAUUUGCUAAUACAUAAGAAUAAUUUAAAUGAAUUGUUGAGACAUUAAGUGAAUCAUUGUUAUAUGAUGUGUAACACCCCUUACCCGAGACCGUUUCCGGAGUCGAGCAUGAGGCGUUACUUGAGUUAACUUAAAAGUUUGGGGCAUAAAAUUUUACUUUUGAAAUUAAUUUUACUAUUCACAACAAAUCUGUCCACCUGCGCAGUAGUUACUAAACUAAUUAUAAAUCAAGCUACGAAACUAAAAAUUUAGAUCCGUAAAUUUUCCCUAAAACUAGACUCAUAUAUAUUUUUACCAUAAAUUUUUCAGAAUUUUUUGUUUAUCCAAUUAGUACAAUUUAUUGGUUAAAUUCUCCCAUAUUUCACUGAUUGACUAUCCUGAACUCUUGUCACUAAAAUUUAAUUAUCUCAUUGCACAGACUUCAUAUGGUGUUCUAACUUGUUUCUACAGAAAAUAGACUCAAUAAGGAAUCUAGACAUAUAAAUUACAAUUCAUAAAUAUUUUUUUACAAUUUUUAAUAAUUUCCCAAAGUUAGAACAGGGGAUUCCAAAAACUACUUUGACCUUAUCUAACUAAAAUGCAAAUAUCUCAGAAUACAUAAUUCUUUUGUCUACACUGUUAUUUUUCUAUGAAAAUAGACUCAAUAAGCUUUAAUUCUAUAUCUCAUCCACCCUCUAAUUUAUUUUCUACUAUCCUUGGUGAUUUUUUAAAAUCAUAUCACUACUGCUGUCUCAAAACUGAUGGCUUCCCCCUUGCUAUUUUCGUUCACCAUGAAAAAGAUGAGUACAUUUUGCCAUAUUUUUCCCUUUUUAAUUCUUUUUAUUACUAAAUUACCAAAUUGUCCCUAACUUAAAAUUUUCCUAUUUCACUUAUCUCAUGUCCAUUUUUGUCUACUAACUUAACCAAUGGUCUAAUUACCAUAUAAGGAUCUCCAAUUUAAAGUUUCAUAACAAUUGGACACCUCUAACAUGUAGAACUCAACUUUUACACCUUUUACAAUUUAGUCCUUUUAACUAAAUUGAGUGCCCAAACAUCGAAAUUUUUGAACGAAAUUUUCACAAAAUCAUUCCGUGAAAUCGUAGACCAUAAAAAUAUAAGAAAAAUAAAUUUUUUCUCAUCGGAUUUGUGGUCCCGAAACUACUGUUCCGACUAGACCCAAAAUCGGGAUGUUACAUGAUGUAUUAAUAGACUUAUUUGUAAAAUUUUAAUAGUUGUGUUAAUCUUAUAAAUUUUAUUGAGAAUUAUAUGGUGUUGAAAUUGGAAAUAGAUGCAUAUGAGUGAUAUGAAUUAUGGCAUAUAAACUUGAUUGUAGGUGAUGAGAAAUGAUAGAAUGGAAAUUAAGUGGACAUAGAAUCGACGUUGCGACGAUAAGCUCACCACAUCGUGACGAGCUCAAGUCAGUGGGUGACGUCGCAAGAGGAACCCCCAAUGUCGUGACGUCGAAUCGAGGUUUUGAAAAAUUUAUAAUUUGGUCCCUAUUCAAUUAUAAAUUGUUACACGAGCUAUUGGAAGCUUGUAUUAGAUUUAGAUAAGUUUUUAAAUUGUAUUGUAAUCAUAAAUUGAUCUUAGUAGUUCGAUUAAAAUGAUAAAAUGAAUUGAGUUAAUAGUGGUUACUCUGGCAAUGAAUGUAACAACUUGGUACCGUGACCCCACGAUUGGAUCGGGUAUGAGAGUGUUACAAUGCCAUUGAGGAAGAAGUUAGAAGAAGGAAGUUAAAACAAUUUGUGACUCGUGACCCUCCUCAACGAUAAUAACACAAGUUAAGAUCAAGUUCUCAUAGAUAAGACAAGGGCAAAGGAUCAAGUUUGUUUCAACAGUUGUCUAGAUUUGAUCUUGAAAACGGAUUGUAGAUUUGAUUGCUUGAGAAUUGAUAAGGGUAUUUAAGAUUUGAUCUUGGGUCAAUGUGGUUCACUUUAAGGGUUGGUGAAACUUGAUAUUGAAGAAUGAAUUUCAUCUCUUUUGUGUUGAUGGAACUAGACUGCGAAGAGAUUUGAUCUAAGGGUAUUCGAGGCUUGAUCUAAGAUAGAUGAUUCUUACUUUGAGAGUCCUCUAGAUUUGGUAUUGAAGAACGUAUUUAACCUUCUUUAGUAGCGGUUUUCUUCAACACUGAUGUAGUGUUCUUUAAAAUUUCUUCAAGUUCUUCAGAGAUUUCUUGGGAUUUUGAAGAAAUCUUCUAGUCCUUAAGAUCUUCUCUUCAAGCUUUGAUUUCUAAACUUUAGAAUGUGUUGAAUGGCUUAGAGGUGGUCCCCUUUUAUAGUGUUAGGCAAUCGAUUAAAAGAGUGUUAUUAUAGAAUAUAACUUCUUCAUUUGGAUGAUGUAUAAUGGCUAAACACUUUUAUUUAUUAUUUAUUUCAUAUUAAUUUAAAUUAAUUAUAAAUAAAAUUAUCCUUAAAAAACAUGAUAUCUUUAUAAAGAGUUUUAAAAUAAUUUAAUUUAUUGGUCUAUUUCUUAUUAAUUUAAUUUAUUUAAAGAUAAGUAAUAAUGACACGUGAUGAAUUUAGAAUAAUCCAAAUUUUUUCUCCUUCUACGUUGAGGUUUUCGAAUUUGAAUGGGUUAUAAGAUUGUUUAACUUUGUUUCAAAAAAGCAGAGUAAAAGUCGAUAAUUUUUUUACUUGCAUGACUUCCACACAGUCUUGAAUUGGCUACAUGAGUAAUUUUUUUAUUGUUAUAUAAUCCAAUUUAAUGAAAAUAUUUUGACUAUUUUAUCAAUCGGAUUUUAAUUAUUAAAUCGAAAGAGUAGAAAGAUCAGUAUCUGAAAUUAGAAGUAAAGUGAUUUAAUUUUAAAUAUACUAAAAGUAUAAAUACUUGAAUCAUAAAUGCUUGAAAAAUAACAAAUAAAUAAAAUGUAUUCACAAUUCAUCAAAUCUAAACUUAUCUAAAAAACACAUCGUUAUCGAAUCUCAAUAGGGUUAUCAAAUUUAAUUCAGAGAAACCAUAACCAUCAAUUCAUUUCCAUUACUAGUCACAAUAUGACAACCGCACGAGAUGAGAUUCAGAGACCACACAUAUAAUUGCGCAUAAUGAAUCCUGAACUUAGAUACCCAAAAUCCAGGGCAUUUGUCUUUGCCAACUGUACCAAGAUUUUAUUCACAUUAGACAUCUAAUUUUUAAAUAGGGUAAACUACGGUCCAAUGAUCACUCUAAAAUAGGGUUUCUAUCCUGUUUUGGUCACUUCAAUAUUUUUUUUCAAUUGAAUCACUCUAAAUAAGAUAAUUGUGCGAAUUAUUCAUUGUCAUUAAAAUUUUUAUUUCCUUUUAACGGAUUGCUAAUGAGGCACAUUAGUACAUUGAGUAAUUGACACAAGAUAUAUUUUGUUGACUUUUGACUAAAGUUUAGGGAUCUCCCUAAAAUUAGUCCAAAACUUUUCUCCCUUAACUUUACAGAGAGGUCCCUAAACCUUAAUCAAAAGUCAAUAAAAAAUUUUGGAGCGAUGACAAACCUAUAUUAGAGUCAUCAUGAGUGUAGAAAAAUAAUUAUGUGUGUACGCUCUUCUUCUAAAAAUGUAAACAAAGGCAUACCAGGCUUUCAAUAUCGGAAACAAAGUGCGAUUUGUAGUGAAAAUUGACUUGUUCUCCCGUAAUUGUAUUUAAGAUCUUUUAUAUUUAAAUUGUAUUUAAAAUGAUUUUUGAAAUAUUUAAAUAUUUAUAUUGUUAAGGGAAUUGGUUAUUUCGAGAGAAAAUUUUAAAGUGUCGUUCUCAGAGAUGUUGAUUCAGUCUCUCAACAACAGAAAGUAUUGUCCCCCUCCACAGAGUCUUAGUGGAUAGUCAUACGUCUACAUGCGGUCAAGGCACUUCUCUCCAUGAAUCGUAUACGACUUUCAAUGGAGUGGAAGAUAAAACCCUCCCUUGAGAGACAAUACAUUCUAUUGUUGAAGAAUCAGGUCGAUAUCUCUAAAAACAAUUCUCUCGAAGAAAUCUAUCCCCUUAACAAAUAUUAUAUUCAUAUGAUUUUUAUUAUAUUAAACAUUUUUUAAUUUUUAUCCUACCGUAUUCAUAUAGUAUAAUAUAAUGUUCAACAAGCAAAAGUGUUGUGUAAUUCUGACUUUUGUUGGCGGUCGGGAAAGGGAACAGUUUUUCUACUUAAACGUGCCAUGGCUUUACGUCCCACUAUGGUUAAUUUUUAGUUUUGGUCUUCCUGUAAUGUUUUAGGAUAAAGUUUUCAACUCUAAUUUAAUAUAAUUUAAUAAUCUAUUUUUAUAAUGUGAAUUAACUAUGGUUAAUACAAUUACUUAUUUUAAUUACAAUGUUAAUGUGAGUUAAUAAAAACACAAAUCCCAAACUCUAAUACAAAAAAAAAAAAAUCUUCUUAGCAUGAUGAUUUUAAAUUAUAUAUUUAUAAAUUAAAAUAUACUAAAUUAAAAUAUAAAAAACAAAUUCUAAAUUUUAACAUAUUAAAAAAACCAAAAUCAUAAUUUAACUUUUAAAUAUUAAUAUAUCCAAAAUCGUAAAAUAAAUAAAUGAUAACUUGAAUUUCUAAUAAAAAAACAACAUUCAAUGGAGUCUUUAAUAAUAAAAAACCAACAGUCAAUGAAGUCCCUAACCUUGUUAAAUGAUUAUGUGAUAAUUUAUGUGGUUAAUUACGUGAUGAUGUUGAAAAUUGAUAAUGUGAUAAUUGAUGUGGACACUUGAUGAUAUGAUAUAUUAUAGAUUUUUAGGAUUUUUUUAUUUCAGUCUGAACAAAUGAAAGUCCAAAAUUAGAUUGAUCGAGAUGCUCAUUUGUGAUCUAUGUUCAUUUCAAUGCAAUUUUAGUAAUUUUAUAUAUUUUUAUAAUUUAAAAAUAAAAAAACUUGAUUUUUAGAAAAAUUUCAAGGUAAUUUUAGAAAAUUUUUAAUUUUUUGGGUUAAUAUGAUUUUUUUAUAAUAUAACUAAAAUUCAAAAAUAAAAUAUGUUUUCAUAACUCAAAUAUAAAAAAAUUUUUAAAAAUACUAUGAUAAAUUAUAAUUCCUAGCAAAAUUUGAAAGGGAUGAUUUGGAUUAAACAUUUCACUUGAAAUUUGCAGUUACAUCAGAUGCAACUAUAAUUUUGAGUUAAUUGAUAUGAUUUAUAAUUUUUUAAGUUAUUUUUUAUAAUUUUAUAAUUUUUAUUUUUAUAUAUUUUUUAAAUACUAUCAUUUUUUAAUAAUUUUAAAAUUGUUUUUAGGAUUUUUUGCCUUUUAUUUUUAAAUAUUUCUUUUAACUUCCAUAUCAUCCUUUAUGUCAUCAAAAUUAACUGUGCUAAAGGCUUUCACAGAAAAUAUAAUUUUGAGGGCUUGAUUAUUAAAUUUUUAUUGAAAUUCUAAUCGAAUAUAUUUUACCAAUUAAGAAACUUAUACAUGUAUAUAUAUCAAAUAAGUUAAUGGGUAAACUACACCAUUAGUCACUGAAUCGUAGGUAAAUUUUUGUUUUUGUUACUUAACUAAAAAAAGUUAUAAUUUGAUCACUGAACUAUUGAAAGUUUUCAUUUAAGUCAUUGAACCAUUCAAAAAAUUUUAUCUAACUCAUUGAGCUGUUAAGUUUUUUUAAGUUCUGCUAGCGAGUUCCAAGUGACAAUUCGACGAUCAGUAUAGUGGAUCAGUAUCCAUCGACGAGUGAAAGAGCAUACCUUAGUUCCAAGUUGAUCUGAUGGACAAUUUUGAAGAUUGGAGAAAAAAGUUGUUAACAUUUUAGCUCGUAGAUUCAUGACAUCCAAAGCUGUUCCAUGCAAAAAAACUGAAUCGUAGAAGAGAAGGGGAAAUAAAGCUUGUGAAUAGAGACAGCCAUAUUGCGUCGAUUUUAACUGCCCAACGACUUAAAUAAAAACUUUUGAAUAGUUCAGUGACCAAAUUGUAACUUUUUUAGUUAAGUGACCAAAAUAAAAACUUACUCAUAAUUUAGUGACUAAUGAAAUAGUUUACCCUAAAUUUUCAUUUCAUUUCGUUCUUUCAGAAAAAGAAUAAUGGGCCAUCGGAUAGGCCCAGACCCGAUUUAACUAUGUAAAGGACUUGUGAUACAAAUAAGUUUCAUAAUGGAGUUGGUUUUAAUUGGGACCUUUGCAAAUUUAAUAAUUUUAAAAGAGUUAGAUAUGUCGAAUGAGCCUUAAUUCGAUUGGUAUCGGUAUUGUUAUCAGUGCAGGAGGACGUGAGUUUAAGUAUACUGAAACAUAUUAUUCUACUAUUUAAGGAUCAUCAAAAAGAGCAUAUAUGAUAAAAACCUAUAAUAAAAUUAAAAUUAAAAAAUAUUUGUAAUAAUUUGAUUAUUUUUCAUUUAUAUGGAAAAAUUUUAAUAUAUUAAAUGAUUAUUUGAACAUAUAUUUAUACUUUCAGACUAAAAAAAGCAAUAGAUUUAAUAAACACUAGAAACAUAUUUCAUAUAGAUAUAAAAUUUUAAAAUUAAUUCAACAUUUAAAGUCAUUAUUAAAAAUAAUUUUAUUUAAUUGAAUAAUUGGUUCAAAUAUUUAAAUUCAAUAUUCAUGGUUGGACUAUGAAAUUAUAUUAAAUGCUUAUAUUAAAUUAAAAUCUCUAUAAUAAUUAACCCAAUACAGCUAUUAUUGGACUAUGAAAUUAUAGGCUCAAUUACUAUGGUUGGGUCAUAGGCCCAACCAAACCACGCUGCAACCACACGCCCAAAGCGUAAAUGUUAACAAUAUAUAUACACAACGCUUGUAAUGUGCUCGAUUUUCUUCCCAAAUCUCGUCGCCUCAUUUUCUUCACUCGUUCAGUCUUUGGUUGGUUUUGUUCGGUCUUGAAAAUGCUUGCUCGGCUCGCGUCUCGACGUUUUCUCGAGAUCCGUCAAGCUUUCCGUCAAUCUUCUCAGGUAAUUCAUUCCCUUUUCUUUGUUUCUUGUCAUUUUCCCUCAUUUUCCGUUCAUCCAAACACCUCCUAGAUCUUAUUUCCCUCUUCUGCAGGCCUCUCGAUCUUUGUCCACUGCCCUGAACUAUGUAAGUUCUAAUCUUUCCAUAUUACAAUGUCAAUUUUCUGGGAUUUUCUCCUUACUGGAAAAGAUAGAUGAUUGAGUGAAUUUGGGGUUUUUUUGGGGGGUGCAGCAUCUUGAUACCCCAGAUAAUAAUCCCGACCUUCCAUGGGAAUUUUCGGAGGCGAACAAACAAAAGGUUAGUUUAAUUUGAAAUGCUUGCAAUUGGAGUUAUGGAUUUUAUUUUCUCCGUCAUUGUAGGUUGGAAAGCUUCUGACUUUUGAUGGUGUUAGUAAAAUGGGAUUUGGGAUUUGUAAAAUAUUGAGGAACUCUUGUAAAAUUCAAUAAAUGUAGGAUAUUGAAAUAUAAGGCCAUUAAUUUACUUCCAUAACUUAUAUGAGCUCAAAGAUUCUCAUUCUAUGUAUGGUUGUUUAAAGCUGGUUUGUUCUCUAAGCUGUGUUACUCCUACUCUUCAUUUUUGUUGAAGCAUUGGAAAAAUUUAAACGUUACCUGUGUCUUGAAUCCUAGUAACAUAAAUUUGAAGAAUUGUACGAGAUAAUGAGAGUAGAAUGCGUUUAAUUUUCUCUCCUUGUUACAUCAAUCUAUUUUCAAUUAUAUGGAAGUUGAAUCGGAUUUUUAAGUUUAACUUGGGUAUUUUAAGUGGCUUGGUAAUUUGCAACAUUUUUUAAUCCAAAGUUGAUUAUGUCUUAAUCUGGACUUAUUAUGUAUAGGUCAAGGAGAUAUUGUCUCAUUAUCCAUCCAACUACAAGCAAUCUGCAGUUAUUCCUUUGCUAGAUCUUGCUCAGCAGCAGCAUGGAGGAUGGCUUCCAGUUUCGGCAAUGAAUGCAGUAUGUGGCAUGAAUAGUGUUAAAUAAAUUUGAUUACAUGCAUUAAUACUCUCAAAUUAGUAAUUUUUAAGUGUUUAGAAAGUCUGUGAUGUUUAGUUAAUAUGAAGAAUUAGACUGAUGAUUCAUUUGGGCUUGAAAACUAACCACUUUUGGAGGUGAAGUUCAGUCUUCUUUUUGGCUUCAUAUUAAAUGUUUGCCCUGCCAUCUGGUUUCUGGUUUGCAAUAAAUAUGCUGUUUUUAAGCCAAAAUGCAUUACAGACUUGUACUUCGUGACAUAUGUAUAGUUAUUAACCUAUAGUGCUAAAUAUAAUAGAAAAGGAUUGCUUUUAGAUAAACUUUUUGUCAUGUCAGAGCUGUUAAGUACUUAACUGAAGAAAAAUAUCCCGAAUCGUAUUUUAUUAUAUUUUCAACAAUUUCAAUGUUCUAUUGUCUGAUGAAAUUACCAAUUUCUUUUUAAGUACUCCUUUUAUGGUUAAAAAUUUCCAUGUUUGGUAGCAAAUUUGUGCAAGUAGGUGGUUAAUUUGAUUCAGCUGACUGCCGACCUAAUACUAAUAUCCAGUAAAAGAAUUACUAGUGUUAAUCAGGUUAGCAAGUUGGUUAUUAUUUUCCUAUGAUGUCACCGUAUGCAUUGCUAUCCUUAUCAUUGUUUUACACAAAAUCCAUGCUAGGAACUCUGUUAAGGAAAUUAAAUUUAAGUUCAUGUUGGAUCAUGCAGAUGCCCUUUAUUUUUACUGCAGCAUGCAAAGCAAAAGGGAAUUCUUAAGCAUGUUGUUUACUGGACUAGUAGUACCUGAUCUUGUGUUAAUAUAAUAUUUGAUCUGACUGAAGAUUCAAGUUGAUGAAUGUAUAGAGCCUGUAAAGACAGGAAAAGUCGAUAUAACUAUAUGACUACAAAUAAUUACCUCUAGAAUUAUUUGAACUGAGGUUCAAUUUGAUUGUUAGACUGAAAUACAUAAUUGUAUCAUUUCAAUAUUUGUCUUUUCAAUAGCUAGUUUGCCUUUAUCUGAAAUUGCAAAAGAGUGAAAUUUGGCUAGAUGUUUUAACCACUGAAACGGUACUUGCUUAAACACUUUUUGUGGGUCAUCUAAUCUUAAAUAGACAUUACUUAAUUAUGCAUUGGUCUGUUAUUAAAUUUCUGCUUGAAAUGAAACAUGAGCAAGUCUGUAGAGAGAAUUCAGGUUUUCUUCUUUGGCUAAGCAAAUUAGUUCAACUACUUUGAGUGGUGCAGUCAUUUUCCUAAUGCAAAAGUUAAAUGAAUUAUAUUCAGAAUCAAAGAUGUAACUGUUGUGCAGGUUGCGAAGGUUAUAGAAGUUGCUCCUAUUCGUGUGUAUGAGGUUGCGACAUUUUAUUCAAUGUUCAACCGAUCAAAGGUCAGAAUUUAUAUUUGUUUUGCACCUCAAAGUCUUUUUUAUGGUACUGCCAAUGAACAAAGUUAGAGCAGAGUUUAUUUAAUUGUUCUCAGGUCGGGAAAUAUCAUCUGUUAGUUUGUGGCACAACACCUUGUAUGAUACGUGGUUCACGAGAAAUUGAAGAAGCCCUAUUGAACCACUUGGGGGUUAAGCGGAAUGGUAAGUGCUGUAAUUAUUUUUACCUUUAGUUUUUGCAAAACUCAUGUCAGAGUUUGAAAUUUUAGAUAGCAUUGAAGAUUAAGUAUCUAUUGUUUCUGUGGUUUAGAGGUAACAAGCGAUGGUUUGUUCUCAGUCGGAGAAAUGGAAUGUAUGGUAAGUCUUUUCCUUCUCACUUUACCUAUCCAGAUCUUUAUUUUCUUAUUUAACUUUUUAGCUUUGCUUUUUGAUGGUAUCUAGAAGUCAGUUUUACAAUAAUUAUAUUUAUUGAUUUACGGCGAGUGGUCCCAGAUGAUCUCUGGAGAACAAAUUCAUGAAAAGGAUCUAUACCUAGGAUACUGGAAAAUUUUGUUGUGCAGCUAGCAAUGCAAGAAAACCUGUUCAUGAUAACCUAUAGGGUAUUUUGUGGCUCGGCUUACCUUAUUAUUUGUGUAUUGCUACCUUUCCUCAUUGUUAUGGUAUUUGCAAGACAAAUUGCUAUCAAGAGUUCGAAAUCUAUGCUAUGCUGACCUUUUUUCGUUAUUAGACUGACAAGUUUGACAUUUUACUAAUUUGUUUCCUUCAGGGAUGUUGUGUAAAUGCUCCUAUGAUCACAGUUGCUGAUUACUCCAAUGGAUCUGAAGGAUACACAUAUAAUUACUAUGUGGGUUUCAUGUGAAUUCCUUUCAACUUUUCUAUUUACCAUACUUUGGUCUAUUCAAUUGACAAAAACCUACUUUAAGUUUGUUUUUUUUGGUACAAAGAAAGCCACAGCCUUGGGCUAAGGGAAAAGGUUGUAGAUGUUGGGGUUUGAACCCCAGGCACGUUGGAUGCCACCUUUUAAGGAUAGUUGCAUGUAUUAACAGAACUAAACCCAGGUCAAAUGUCCUUUAAUAUAUACAUUUCAUGUUUAACAAUGCAGGAAGAUAUUACCCCAAAAAGAGUUAUUGAGAUAGUUGAGAUGCUAAGAAGGGGAGAGAAGCUACCAGUAAGUGCAAGUUGAUCAGGAGUGCUUGGUUUUCCCUAACAGAACUUUAGGGUGUUUGGAUUUAUUGGCUUUUGUUUCCAUAGUGAUACCACUAAUGUAAGUUUUGAUUUCUCUCCUUAUCUCAGCCUGGCACUCAAAAUCCAAAACGAAUCAAGAGCGGACCAGAAGGUGGAAAUACCACUUUGCUAACCGAUCCGAAACCUCCUCCAUGCCGUGAUCUUGAUGCCUGCUAAUGUUAACAUGCCACCGCAGUCUCAAAUAAUGUGAAGCUUGGAUUUUGCCAAGGCUUUUUUGGAUGUAUGUUCUUGUUGAAUUUGUGAAGCUCAACCAAUCAUAUAUUUUGAAUUUUCCAUGCAAUUUAAACUUGGUACAAGUUAUGAGAUGACUAAAUUUGCAUUGUACCAAAUAAUUGAUGUUAAUGUUUUUGCCAUAAUCUUCUAUGAAAGCAGGCCAUAAUUGUUGUGGUAUUGGAAUCCAUUAACCUUUUUUUUUUAAAUCUUUUAAAGUUGACUUAGAACAUGGGGUUUUCUCAGUUACAACUGACUAGAACCACCUUGAAUGUAUAGAUGUAGUUCAACAUUAUGUUAUCAGUUUUCAGGAUUCUGAUUCCGUAAGGGUGAUGUUUUUCAACGUUAUGUUAUCUGUGUUCACUUAAAUUAUCAGUUUGGACUUUAGAAUAGCCGUUCAACUUUUGCAUCUAUGUUGAACUCUUGAUAGGGUGAGAUUUUCGUCAUGAUAGACCAUUGACUAGUAGCAACCAACGACGGUCCGCGUGGUGAUCGACUGCCAUAUUCUAGAUUGGGUUUGAAUGUUUGGGUAAUACUUAUGAGGGAAAAAAAUAAUAAUAAAUAAAAGUUAAAUUUUCCCUCAAUUUUUAAAAAUCUUUUGCUGCACAUUUUUAAUUUUUUGUAAUAUAUAAUGUCAUGUUAAUUUAUUAUUUUCAUAUAUUAUAUAUUCAUUUUAAUUAAUAGAAUUAGAACUAAAAUUUUAAAAUUAAAAAAAAGGGAAAUAAAAAAUAUCAAAUUAGAAAAUCAGACAGUUUGUUAGCGGAACCUCCCCAUCUUGACGCUAUUACUCAGCAACAACCAAUUGAAAUUUGAUCUAGCGGCCCAGUAGUUUGUUGAAGAUGUAGUUAUAGAAGAGGAAAAAGGAGACCUUAUUCUUGGUAGAGAGGAUGAUGCUGAAGAACCUAAGGUAGUUGUUAUGUCAGGUGCAACUGGUCUUGUAUCUCAAAGGCGAACCAGGGCUUCUAUCUUGAAUCAGAGUAUGCAAAGAUGAAAGUGGCUAGUAAAGGCAAAGGAAAAUAAUGAACAGUGUCGAAACCGUUUUUCUGAAAAUAAAAAUUCAGUUGUCGACUUAAAAAAAUAAAAAUUGGAGUCGCCACCAAUCCUUUAUUAAGGUGUGAUCGGCUCACCUUAAAAUGAUUUUGGUCUACGAAAUUUGAGAAAAUGAGUUCGGGAGUCAGUUACGCACGAGGAAGGAUUAGCACCCUCGUAACGCCCAAAAUCGGUACCAAAUUGAUUUUUUUAUGCCUUGGUGUCUAAAAUUUGAAAAGAUUUUAAAAGGAAACUUUUUAUUUCAUGAAUGAAUUAAAAUAAUAAGACAUUCUUAUUUCAAAGAAAUAAAACACCACACCCAGUGAGUUAGAGCACAAUGUUUUUAAAUCUUCAAAAUACCCGAAUAUUGCCUUUUGCUUUUGAAAAUUCUUAUUUCGAGAAGUCAAAAUAUCAGGACCAGUAAGUUAGGACCUAACAUUUUUGAACUCCCAAGAAUAAGCUUUUAUUUAAUAUUUGCGAAUUUAAUGCAAAAUAAAUACUUGGCUUUUUAAAUUCAUCGAAAAAAAUAAUCGCAAUCAAGUAAGUUAGGACACGAUCUUUCUCGAGAAUUAUGAACGCCAAAUAUUUUAAAAUUUUAUAAAAUGUGAUGAUUUUAAUGCUUCGAUGAAACCAAAAAAAGUAUAGUAAAAAUGCUAAUGUACCACAUGAAACCAAUACUUUAAUUUAAAUUAUAUGUAUAUGUAUUUUGAAAAUCGUGAAAAUAAAAUAAAAGUAUAAAUGUAUGGAUAUGUGUAUAUAUUUACAAAAUAAAAGAAAUGUAUAAGUAUAUAUAAAUAUAUAAAAUAUAAUGUAUAUAAAAGCUAAAGAAAGAUAAAAUAAUAAAAAAGAAUAUAUAUAAAAAACGUAUGUAUAUCUAUAGGCAUAUAUAUAUGAAUGUAGAAAUUAUGAAAAUAAAGUAAUAUAUAAAAAAGAAGCAUGCGUAUGGAAGUAAUAAUACUAAUAAUAAUAAUAUAUAACAAAUAAUAGAUAAUACAAUAAUACAAUAAUAAUGCAAUUUAAUUAAAAAAAAACCUAAAAUCACAGAUUAAGGAUAAAAAUAAGAAAAACGGAAUUUAAUGGCCCAAAUCCGAAGAUAGAAAGCACUAAGAGGGACCAAAUCAAAACACGCGCGACAGGAGGGGGACCCAAAGGGAGAUUUUCCCAAACCUCUCAAACGCCGCGCUUUAAAAGGAUCAAAAUGUAACAAAAAUAAAACAUGCGACACAAAUUUAAAUGAAACAAAAAAAGAUUUAGACACGCUUUUAAAAAGAGAGGGACCAAAUGCGCAAAUAGGCCAUUAGAAAUAAAACACGCGGAUCCUGAGAAAACGGGUCGGGUUGUUAGGUUCUCAGCCCAUACGACGUCGUUUUGAGGCCAUUGAAGUUGGCCCCAAACGGCGUCGUUUCAUAGCCCAUAUAAAAGCCAAAUUUCCCUUAAAAAAGUCCAUUUUCCCUUUCUGUUUCAAAACAACAAGGAAAAAAAAUCUCAUUUUCCUCUCAAUUAGGCUCAGAAUCCGACCUAACUCCAGCGAGGAUUCCGGUGAGAGCUCCAACGCCGUCACCUUCGUCGGCCACCGCGCGCGGUGGCCGAAAAUCCUAAAGUGACCCUUUUUUAAACCGUCCUAACCCCGGGGACUCCAAUCUAUCCUUAAAACUCGCUAAAAACCUUCAAAGAUCGGAGGAAGACCGAAAAAACCCUUCGAUUUCCUCUUCUCCGGCCGUCAGCAAGGUAAGUCUUUUCCUUUUUCUUUUUAUUCUUUCACGUAUAUAGGAAGUAAAAUGGAGAAAAACAAUAAAAGAGAGAAAAAAAAACCUAAUCACCUUAAAAGAAACUGAUCUUUUCUUUUAUUUUUGUAUCCUUUUACACUGAAAAAAAAAACCUUUUUUACAGAUUUUCCCCCUAUUUUCGUCUGUCGUUUACACUGAAAAAAAAUCCCUUUUUACAAAUUUUCAUCGGCUUUUAAAUAGCCGAAAAUCAGAAAGAAAAAAUGAAACAAAAAUCAAAAGAAAUCUCUUCUGUUCGUGGCUUGUGGUUUUCAUGACAGGUGUGCGACGACUGCAGCAACGUGGGAAGCGACGUGCUGUGAUGGAGGCACGCGAGCGGGGCGAUCUGCGGAGGUGGUUGUGGCUUGCAGCGAUUAGAGCGGGGAGGCUACCUAGGGUUUCUAAAAUUUCUUGUUUGGGUUAAUGUAAUUGGGCUGAAUUUUUGGGUUUAGUCUGUAGAUGGGUAAUUGGGCCUGCUAUGUUUUUAUUUUAUAUGGGCCCGGACAGAAAAAUUGGGUAUUACAGCUGCCCCUCUUUGCUCGUUGUCGUGUAACGGGAAUAGAGCAAAGACUAAAAUACCCAAUUAUGCCCGAUUUUACUAAGCCUCGACUUCUUCAGUGCUUUUCUUCUUCAGGUAGCCUUAUUCCUUCCUACUACUUUUUCAGAGGUAUAAGAACUGGUGCUCCAAUCUACUCCACUGGAAUGUCUGGGAGAUAGGAUUCGCAUGCUGUAGCUUUAAAAUUUGCUAUCUUUAAUCUGCACCGCUGCAACUUCAGGGAAAUAAGACUUGUAGCUUCAAUUUGUUAUGCUACAACUUAAAGGUAAAUCUGAUGCGAUCUGCUCUACUACAACUUCAGAGAGAUGAUAUCUGCGGUUUUAAUCCACUCCAUUGCAACUUCAAGGAGAUAGGAUUGGUUACUUUUGUCUGCUCCACUGCAACCUCAGGGAGAUAAGACUUGUAUCUUCGAUCUGCUUCACCUACCAGUAUGGGAAGACAAGAUCUGUUUUUUUGAUCUACUUCACGCCAAUACAUGAAGACAAGAUCUACUUUCUUCGAUCGAUUCCACUGCCGACCGGGGGAAUAGAAUUACUGGCUUCAAUAUACUCCACUGCAACCUGAGGGAGGUAAAAUCUGCCAUCUUUGAUCUGCUCCACUACUGCUUAGGGAGACAAGAUCUGUAAUCUCCAAUCUAUUCCACUGUCGCCUAGGGAGAUAGAAUUGCUGGCUUCAAUGUACUCCACUGUAACCUUAGGGAGGUAAAAUCUGCCAUCUUUGAUCUACUCCACUACUGCUAAGGGAGAUAAGAUCUGUUUUCCUCAAUCUACUUCGCCACCAGUAUGGGAAGAUAAAAUCUGUAUAUUCGAUCCACUUCGCUACCGAUAUAGAAAGAUAGGACAUGCUAUCUUUGAUCUACUUCACGCCAGUACAUGAAGAUAAGAUCUAUUUUUUUCGAUCUACUCCACCACCAGUAUGGGGAGACAAGAUCUGUUUCUUUGAUCUACUUCACGCUAGUACAUGAAGACAAGAUCUGUUUUCUUCGAUUUGCGUCGCCACCAGUAUGGGAAGGCAAGAUCUAUUAUCUUUGAUCUACUUCACGCCGGUACAUAAAGACAAGAUCUGCUUUCUUUGAUCUGCUUCGCCACCAGUAUGGGAAGGCAAGAUCUAGUAUCUCUGAUCUACUUCACGCCAGUACAUGAAGACAAGAUCUGCUUUCUUUGAUCUGCUUCGCCACCAGUAUGGGAAGGCAAGAUCUGGUAUCUCUGAUCUACUUCACGCCAGUACAUGAAGACAAGAUCUGCUUUCUUUGAUAUGCUUCGCCACCAGUAUGGGAAGGCAAGAUCUGGUAUAUUUGAUCUACUUCACGCCAGUACAUGAAGACAAGAUCUGCUUUCUUUGAUCUGCUUCGCCACCAGUAUGGGAAGGCAAGAUCUGGUAUCUCUGAUCUACUUCACGCCAGUACAUGAAGACAAUAUCUUCUUUUCUUUUCAGCCUGCUCCGUUGUUGCUCAGGGAGAUAAGGCUUUAUGAUUUUACCGAUUUGUUCUCUGGGGAACAUGACCUAUAUAAUUCACUUUAUGAACCUAAUUAUGCCUAGUUAUUAGGAUGUCAUGAUCAUAAUAAAUCCAAUGCUCCUAACUAAACAUGUAUGAAUGACAUUUGAAUGAAUGCAGAAUGUCAUGAAAAUGAUAUUUUAACGCUUGAGUUAUUAUUACUCCAAGUUUAUUAAGGUUUCAUCACUAAUGUGUUACAACACCUUCUUGCUCAGUUGGCGUCUCCAAAGAAACACUUACCAGAUUGCCCCCGCUGUAAACUUCCAAGUUUGAUCCACUGGGAUGUAAAAUUUGUACCAUCUUUCUCCCGCUGUAACCCAAGAGUAAAAAGAUUUGGCCUUUUCUUAAUCAUCUGCUAUCACAACACAGGGUGUAAAGCUCUUUGGUCUCUUACACCAUUCCCAGGGUGUCAUACCAAAUACUCAUGCAUAAAUGAAGAAUUUUUUUAUCCAAGAACAACUUCUUCUCAUUAUUCGGUGAUCAUUGCUUGCUUGUUCAUUUAAGCUUUGUCACCAACACGACAUCUUACCGUAUUGUUCAAUCGAUAUUUUAGACAGAGAAAACUCAAAAGGAUAGUCUGAAUUUAGACUUUUCCUUAUCAGAUUUCCAACCUGGUGCGUUCUAAACAAUAGUCAUGUUUCAGGUUCCUGUAUUAUUUAGAAACUUCUAGAGUAAUAUACAAAACUUCUGUUGUGAAAGUUUUAUUAGUCUAUUCAUCAUUAUUCUAAUGCAAUAUGCUUGCAAGAGAUCAUAACAAUGGGUAAGAUUUGAAUUGAUUUAGAGCAUGGCUCUGAAAUGAAUAGAUUAUCAAAGAUAAUAAAGAUGGAUAACAAAGAAAUUGAUUUAGGAAUGCGUAUCUUGGAAAUGAAUGAAGUGUUCCAAGAAUAACAAAAAAAUGGUAUAAGGAUUAGGUGCCCCAGAUAUCACAGCUUGAACUUCUCUGUACAAACUUUCUGAAGACCAUUCUGAGUUUAACAUGUGUUUAAAAGUACUUUGUCGAUGCCUCAAGAUGUUGCCUACCCUUUCCUAUUGAUUCAAGUAUAGCAAGACCACUGUGUACCCCCAUUCUGAUCAGUAUUUGAGUUACUCUGAAAAUUUUAAGCGCCAUUUUGAUCAACAUUUGAGCUGUCCUUUUCAGGUUUUCAACUCAAAUCUCCUUUGGUCUAAGGCGCCCUUUGCGAGUUUUCACCUUAGCCUCUCCAUUUUUACUUUUUCAUUUUUCAUUUUCAUCUUUUCAUUUUUUCACAUCACUUUUUUUUUGGACUCAAACUUCCCUUCGCGGGUUUUUACCUUGGUUCUCUCCUUCUUUAAGCGGAGUAUUUCCUAACUGAAUCUGAGUUUACAGGACUUAUCAUCCAUCUCGCUCACAAUCAAAGCUCAUUUGGGAAAAAAAACCUUCUCUAUAACAUAAGGUUCUUCUCAAUUUGGCAUCCGUUCCCCUCCAAAAUAUUUUUUUAUAGAGGGAAGAUCUUUAACAUUUGGUUACCCUCGUGGAAUUCUCUAGGAUGAACCUUUUUGUUGUAUGCUUGCAUCGUUUGUUUCUAGUAUAUCUGACUGUGAUAUCGAGAUUGACUCUAUUCUGCUUCAUCCAACUUCAACUCAGCCAAUACCCGGAGAUAAAGAAUUUUAACUUCAAAUGGAUAGAACCGUGAUAAACUAAAGAGAAAGGCGUUGCUCCGGUAAAGAAUUUUCAUUGCACCAUUCAUGAUAUUCACCUUGAACAUACUGCAAAUUUCAGAUAUGACAGCGCUUAAACCGUCCACAUCCUGGUAUGACCAUGCGAAGGCAUCUUUGAAUGCUUGAAGUAACUCAACAAUGUUUUGCUUUGUUUUUCGGUCAUGCAUGUUCCCUCAAGGUCACAACCUCUAUUGUCUCAUUUGUUUCUCUUAUUAUUUUACCAUCCUCAACAAUUCAGGAGAUAAGCUACAGUUUAUGACAUCUUCAAAGUCAUGAGAUCCCUCUAAACACAUGGCUCACUCAAAAGGCGACUUUGAGUCUGUAGCAGUGUCACUCAUGUCAUUGAUAUUUGGGGACCCAUAGUGGGUAACAAAGAAUAUACAAAAGAAUAUAUGAAUAAUAUGAAUGAAUGAAUAAAUAGUUUGGCAGAAAAAUCCAAAAGAAUGAAAGAAAAAAUCGUAAAGAAUGAAAGAACAUUUGCUCAAAGAUGAUUUCAAUAAUGUAUUUCAUUAAAAUAAUAAUGUUCAGACAUGAGCCUAUUUCACAAAGAAAUUCUUAUUACUUCUAGGCUGAAAGCAACAAGUGUGUUCUGAACAUUACUCUAACAGACUCUAAAUACUUCAGGGGUUUCCUCUGCAGUCCCAUUAUUUAGAACACUUCUAAGGCGAAUAUCUGACAAGGACCCUUUUAAUUGUGUCUGCACAUAUGGCGUCAAUGUGAAAAUCUCGCCACUUCUCUAUACAUUGCAUUCCCUCCAUUAUCAAUCAUGAUUGGGUAGCGGAUUUCCUGCACUAGACGAGUCACCAAACUUAACAAUACCCAUGUUGAUAAAUCUUUCAACUUGCUUCUUGAAGGUAGUGCAAUUCUCAAUCGAGUGUCCCGUAAUUCCUGCAUGGUAUUCACAUUGUGCGUUCGCAUCAUACCAUUCAGGAUACGGAGGUUGUAGAGGCUUCACAUGAAAAGGGGAAACAAUAUGUGCAUCAAACAAAUUUUGAUAUAGCUCCAUAUAUGACACCGGAAUUGGCGUGAAUUGGGGCCUCUCAGUCUUUAUGUCAGAAUCUUGCCUCGAUGAAUUCUGUUGAUUACCAACCACCUUUCUUGGCUGACUCACAGUAAUUGAUUUAGAGUAACCCAUGUUGUUCACCUCAUUUUCUCUUCUACUUGGGACUAACCUCCUGUUACUCUCCUCUGCAUCAAUUUUCCCGCUCCUUAUGGCGCUUUCAAUCAUUUCACCAUUCAUGAUUAUGUUAGGAAAGCUUUUUGUGGCACUUCCUAACAUAUGUGUGAUGAAAGGUGCUUUCAGGGUGUUAAUGAACAGCAUGGUCAUUUCCUUUUCCAGGAGCGGUGGCUGGACUUGGACUGUGACUUCCCUCCAUCUUUGUGCAUAUUGCCUAAAGUUUUCACUCGGCUUCUUCUCCAUAUUUUGGAAGGUAAUUCUAUCAGGAGCCAUGUCUGUCACAUGACUAUACUGUUUCAUGAAUGCUUGUGCCAAGUCCCUCCAUGAACCAAUCGUGGUACGGCUCAGCUGAUUGUACCACUUAGAUGCUGCCCCUGCUAGGCUAUCUUGGAAACAGUGUAUCAAUAGUUGGUCAUUGUUAACGUAUCCAACCAUUUGCCUGUAUAACAUGGUGAUAUGAGCUUCUGGGCAAGUUUUCCCAUUGUACUUCUCGAAUUCUGGCAUCUUAAACUUGUGAGGGAGUACCAAAUCUGGAACUAAGCUUAGCUCUUUAGCGUCAAUCCCGCGAUAGCUCUCGGUGACUUCCAUCGCCCUGAAUUUCUCCUCGAGCCAUUUGCACCUUUCCUCUAGCUGCUUUGGUAACUCCUCCUUUAUUCUUUCCUUUUUAGCCACUUCAUCGAAGUCAGGAAUAACAGAGUUAACAGGAUAGUUUUCGAGGUUAGAGCCUAAUCUAGCUUGAAAGUUCGAAGCACUGGCCUGAGACUGCUGAGGCCUGAUUGUGACAGUGGGUUUGUGCGGAUAUUCAGCUUGAGUUCGAACAUGUGGAGGAGUAAAGCCUGGAGGAUAGAGUGGUUCAUUAGCCACUUCGACAUCAGCCAUGGGACCCUUUCCCUUAUCACCUCCUCCAGUCAACAGUUUGGUUAGCUUCGCUAUAAUAUCAUUUUGGGAUUCUCGCAUCUUCUCAGACAUAUCCUGUUGCAACUUAUCUAACCGCUCCUGCACCUGUAGCUGAAGUCGGUCUUGCAUCUCCUUCUGACACUGUUCGAGUUUUUCCAAUCUCUGAUUCAUGUCCUUAAUCUUUGCUCGAGUGCCGUAACGGUGCUUGGUCAGUUGGUUGGUUUCCAGGUUAACUGAGUAAUGAUUUUAGUUAAUUAGGAUCCUUUAACUAUGUUUAAUGUAUAUGAUGUAAUGAAAUGCAAAUGCAUGAAAUGAAUUCAUAUAGAGACGUUAAUUCUGAUUCAAUUCCAUUUAGAAAACUUUACUAGAGGACAAAUUUCUUUACAUAAAGUGGAUAUAUAUACGGCUUUGCCUUCAUACUCCAAGCAAAGACAUCUUCUCCUUCUUCAUCCGGAUGUUAAGAUAAACUUCGCGAACUUCCAAAGGAUGUCACUGCUAGCUUCUUCUGCUUGAUUCUGGUCGCAAUCCGUUGUCUGCCUAUCCUCGCAAUGCUCAUUAGCUUCUUUAAGAAAUUUGGAAUGUUGAAAGCUCUUAGACAAUCAUCUUGAAUCCUCGGGCCCCGAAGUAAAGUCACGAAUUCUUCCAUCGUUCUUCUUGUAUUUCUCGGAAUAUAUUCAGGCUACCGUACUAUUUUCCGUUUUAUCAAGAAACUCGUUUUCUUAUGAUAGGCUUUCUAAAUUAGUAAUCAAACUUGAAUCAACAUCUCUUUUCUAAAAUGCAAAUGCAAUGCAAUCAUAACCAAAACAAAAAAAAACGGGUUAGUAUCGGGUAUAAACAUUAAAUCCAAUACAAUCAAGAAAUAAUAAAAACUCCUAGUCAGGUAUCUACUAAGGUUUAGAGUAAUUCUACCUAGGGUAAUUUCCUAAGGUUCACUAUAUGCGGUUUGGCUUCUAAGGUAAAGGUACCCGAACCAGAAGAUUCCUCGUUCUUCACCCAUUAUAGGCUCAUGUGGAUCGAGUUCAGUUCAGGGGGAUACAUUUCCGUAUGGUUGCACGGAGAUGAAAAUCUCACGAAGACAUAGAUACAGAUGUAUCCCGGAUGCGGUCCACUACCCUGCACGGAGGUGAAAACCUCACGAAGGACUAGUUUCUCGCUCCCACUUAAAGGGGUAAAAUGAACCAUGUAAUGCAAAAUGCAAAUACAAAGUAACCGACUUGAUCCAAUCAUGCAAACCCCAUGAUAAAAAUCAAUGAAUGCGAAGAGAAAUCAUGUUUUUUUAAAAAAACUUUUGAUUUUCGACAAGAAGACAAAACAUAACCAAUUCAUGGCUCGACUCUCUAAAAUUUCCCAGUGGAGUCGCCAAGCUGUUGAAACCACUUUUUUGAAAACAAAAAUUUUGGUUAUCGACUUAAAAAAAACAAAAACUGGAGUCGCCACCGAUCCUUUAUUAAGGUGUGAUCGACACACCUUAAAAAUAAUUUUGGUUUGCAGAAUUUGAGAAAAAUAGGUUCGGGUUGUCAGGUUCUCAGCCCAUACGACGUUGUUUUGAGGCCAUUGAAGUUGGCCCCAAACAGCGUCGUUUCAUAGCCCAUAUAAAAGCUAAAUUUCCCUUAAAAAAAUCCAUUUUCCCUUUCUGUUUCAAAACAACAAGGAAAUAAAUCUCCCUUUCCUCUCAAGUUAGCCCAGAAUCCGACCUAACUCCAGCUAGGAUUUCGAUGAGAGCUCUGGCGCCGUCACCCUCGUUGGCCACCGCGCGCGGUGGCCGAAAAUCCUAAAAUGACCCUUUUUUAAACCGUCUUAACCUCGGGGACUCCGAUUUAUCCUUAAAACUCGCUAAAAACCUUCAAAGAUCGAAGGAAGACCGAAAAAACCCUUCGGUUUCCUCUUCUCCGGCCGUCAGCAAGGUAAGUCUUUUCCUUUUUCUUUUUAUUCUUUCACGUAUAUAGGAAGUAAAACGGAGAAAAACAAUAAAAGAGAGAAAAAAAAAACCUAAUCACCUUAAAAGAAACCGAUCUUUUCUUUUAUUUGUGUAUCCUUUUACACUGAAAAAAAACUUUUUUACAGAUUUUCCCCCUAUUUUCCUCUGUCGUUUACACUGAAAAAAAUCCGUUUUUACAAAUUUUCAUCGGCUUUUAAAUAGCCGAAAAUCAGAAAGAAAAAAUGAAACAAAAAUCCAAAGAAAUCUCUUCUGUUCGUGGCUUGUGGUUUUCAUGACAGGUGUGCGACGACUGCAGCAACGUGGGAAACGACGUGCUGCGAUGAAGGCGCGCGAGCGGCGCGAUCUGCGGAGGUGGUUGUGGCUUGCGGCGGCUGGAGCGGGGAGGCUACCUAGGGUUUCUGAAAUUUCUUGUUUGGGUUAAUGUAAUUGGGCUGAAUUUUUGGGUUUAGUCUGUAGAUGAGUAAUUGGGCCUGCUAUGUUUUUAUUUUAUAUGGGCCCGGGCAGAAAAAUUGGGUAUUACAAACAGCACUUGCCAUUGAUGAAGCCGAUGAUUCCAAUGAUGAGGAUAAUGUGCCACUGGCUAAAUUGGCACCACAGGCAGCAAGACAUCAUUCUAAAAGACCUGGUGCUCCUUCCUCGGCCAAGAAAGAAGCAAGAAGAUGAAAAAUGCUAGUGCCCUAAGGUUUUGAGGGAAGCUACUAAAGGUACUAGGCCUGAGCCUAAGAAAAAAAAAUCCACGACUACUCAUCCCAGUCUGUGCAAAGAGAAUGAAAGUUAUAACUGAAAGAGGUUUUAUCAUUGAGAGGAACAUCUGAAUGGGUUUAUUGAAAAUCGUAUUAACAUCUUCCUUGAACAGAAUGAUCUUUUUACUCAAUUACACAUGCCAAGCCAUAUGCGAAGAAUCUGGUGAAGAAAUUAUAUGCCAAUCUCCAAAAGGUCACCCACAUUACAUGAAGUAUAUAUUCGAGGACACUUGUUCACUUUCACUCCUACUGCCAUUAGCAAUUUCUUGCAUCACAUUGGUGAAGAUGAUGGUAAUUAUACUGUGAAUCAUGAUGACUUGAUCUCUCAGUUCACAAAUAAAGUUCAGUCCACUUAUUUGAGAACUCGAACCUAUAUAUAUUCUGCUGCAGGCUAUUUCUAGGAAUUAUUGGCUGCAAAAACAAACAGAGUAUGGUGGUUAACAAGAGAAUGAUAGAAUUGUUGUACAAGGUAGAUUUGUUUAAUCUUGUUCAUCAUGGUUUCUAAUCUUCAAUGUGAUUAUAAAACAUGCAGAAACUAAGAACAUUACGGACAUGCUACAUUUUCCUUCUUUCAUUUAUCAGACCCUGCUAUAACAAAAGCAAGAUAUAAUGCAAUAAGAUUAGGUUCUUGAACCUCCUGUGCCAGAACUCAAGUAUUCCUAUAAACAUUCAGUUGCAGACACUUAUUUUAGAGGUGAUUUAAAGGAUGGAGAGGAUUAUGUGCCAAUUGCUGCUCCAGUUACAACUGGAUCUAUAUUUGAUAGACAGGUCAUCUAAUGCUAAUAUGGCAUUGUUCAAGCAGCUAGAUGAAGAUGUUGCUUACAUUGAUAAAUAACUACAACAUUUAGAAAGCUAGAUUAAGCUCCUGAAUUGUUAGAAAGCUCUAUUCAUCUGUUAUAAUGUUGACUUACUUGCUCAUGAUCAUUGAUGAAGCCUUUGCAGCUUUGAAGAAAAAAAAAUGGGGAAGAUUGUCGGUACCAAUUACACAUUCUAGUUGCAACUUAACUUGUAUCUAGAUUGCCUUGGCAUCUUUUUUUUUUAUCAAAAACCUUUAACUUUUUAAUGCAUGUGCUAGUGUCAUGGGUUGCGCAUGGGAGCAUGCAACCAUGACAAACUUGUGUGAUCCAUCGUAUUUGAGGGAGGUCAUUUGGCCCAACCAAACUGGCCCGUUGCCUGAAGAGAUUAAAAGCCCAUCUCAAGAGCCUGGUAAAUAUGGGAAGUGAUCCAAGAAUAUAUGAUUAUGUAAUCUUAGAGUUCUAAUUGUAUACAGCUUCUAAUUGUGUCUUAGAGUUCUAAUUGUAUAUAGCUUUUAAUUGUAGCCCUUGAUGUACUUUGAGGCUCAACUAUAAAUAAAGACCUCUUUGCUCACUGUAAUUCAUUCAGUUAUCAAUAAGAAUCUUGAAAGUAUUCACUCAAACUUUUCUCUCAAAUGAUCUUACUUUUCUAAGGCUUUUGUUCAUCUUUCAACGUUAGUUCUUAAUUCAUUCUUCUGCUGUUCUUCGUGAGUGCCUUGAGGGAAUUCUAUUGAAUCCUUUUUUGUUACGAGUUAGGCUGACUUAGGCAUUUUUAGAGCAAAGAAACUGCCUAAGGCCACACAGAUCGCGUGAGAGAAAUCUAAGUCCGUGACAGUUGGUAUCCGAGCUAAGGUUCGUAGCCACCGUUGAAAGAUGUCGAAAGAAGUUGAGGGAAUGGAGACCCGUGGGAGGACUAGGAAAGCUAGUCGCUCAAGGGACAUAUUGUCAGCUUUAGAGGAUCGUGUCGUCACUCUCGAGAAUUCCGUGGGGGAUAUUAAGGAGAGGAUUAAUGAUGUCGAUGAUAGGCUCCAUGAUAGAUUGCAGUCCAUACAGGAGCAGCUCAAAGUGUAUAUGACAGAUAAUGUGGAACAGUUGACUGGUAGAGAUGAUGCCAUUGAGGCUAUGGUGGCGGCCUUAAAAGGGGAGAUUGCGGAGCUCAAGGGUGAACUCACAAUCUACAAGGCUGCUUUGGGCAAUGGUGGGUUAGCUGCUGUCGCACCCAAGCCCAAUAUUGAUGUUCCCAAGCCCAAGAAGUUCAAGGGAACAAGGUCCGCAAGAGAUGUAGACAACUUUUUAUGGUGAAUCUAGUAAUACUUCUGUGCCAAAGGCAUCACGAAAGAUGUCAUUAAGGUAACUACUGCUACGAUGUAUUUAUCUGACGUUGCUUUGUUGUGGUGGCGUCGUGGGUCUACUGAUGUGAGACGUAGUGGGACCGAAAUCAGAACAUGGGAGAAGUUUCGAUGUGAGUUCAAAGCACAGUUUUACCCAGAGUAUGCCGAGGAUGAAGCUCGGGCAAAGUUACGUCAGCUUGCGCAACAAGGCACUGUGAGGGAGUAUGUGCAGGAUUUUAGCGAACUUAUGCUCCAAAUCUCAGAUAUGGGGGAGAAAGAUGCAUUCUUUUCCUUCAUGGACAGAUUAAAACCGUGGGCAAAGCAAGAGUUGCAACGCCGAGGAGUUCAAGAACUCACUAAGGCUAUGUCCGUAGCAGAAUCACUUGCUGAAUUUGGUGGGAAGAAAGACAAUUCCAAUUCUUCUAAGCCCAGAUUUAAUCAAAAGGGUAACAGUGGGGGAGAUAAAGAAAGGCCCACUAGGAGCGGCAAUGGUAAGAAGCCUUAGGACAAGAGAAAGAGUGGGCCUAUAAGUUGCUUUCACUGUGAUGGUCCACAUAUGAUCAAUGACUGCCCAAAGAAGACCGCUUUCACGACUAUGGAAGCAAAUGGAGAGUCCGAUGUGGAGGAUAACUAUAUUGGUUCGAUACUAGGGGGUGUCGAAGAUUGAAUGAGCCAUGGUUUGAUGUUUGUAGACAUCAUUGUGGCUGGCAGAAAAUUGAAUGCUCUCGUUGACACAGGCACUUCUGAUUUGUUCAUGUCCAAGGAGGCUGCUCGUAAACUGGGCCUCAAGAUGGAUAAUGAAGUAGGUCGGAUCAAAACAGUGAACUCAAAAAGUGUUCCAAUCAAGGGGGUUGCAAAGGGAGUGGAUCUUUAGCUCCGAAAAUGAUCAGGGAAGGUAUCCAUUAAGGUAAUACCACUUGAUGAUUAUGAUUUUGUGGUUGGACUAAGCUUCCUUGAUCAGGUUAAUGCUCUUAUUUCCCCUUUGAGUAAUUACAUGGUGAUUAGAAACGCGAAACAUCAAUGCAUGGUGAAAGUGACAAGAAAAAGAAGCUUUGAGGGAAAAACACUGCCAGCAAUUCAGUUUGCUAAUGGUGUACGUAGAAAUAAAGUCUCAUAUUUAGCCACCUUGAAGAUUGAAGAGACCGCUGAGUCUGUUAGUGAGACCCCGAAAGAAGUGGGUCAAUUGUUGCAAUCAUUCCGAGAUGUAAUGCCUGCUCAGUUGCCUAAAAAUUGGCCACCCAAGAGGGAGGUGGACCACCAAAUCGAGUUAGUGUCCAAUGUGGUGCCUCCAGCAAGGGCCCCCUAUCGUAUGUCUCCGCCAGAAUUAGAAGAGUUACAGAAACAAUUGAAGGAACUUUUGGAUGCGGGAUUCAUUAGACCAUCUAAAUCCCCAUAUGGUGCGCCAUUGUUGUUCCAAAAGAAACAUGAUAGGUCCUUAAGAAUGUGCAUCAAUUAUCGAGCUCUAAACAAGAUCACUGUAAAGAAUAGGUACCCUAUUCCUCUUAUUGCAGAUUUGUUUGAUCAACUUGGUAGUGCAAGAUGGUUUACCAAGUUAGAUCUGAGAUUGGGGUAUCAUCAAGUUCGGAUAGCCGAGGGGGAUGAACCUAAGACAGCUUGUGUGACACGGUAUGGUUCGUAUGAGUUCCUUGUGAUGCCUUUCGGACUCACGAAUGCCCCAGCUACAUUCUGUACCCUAAUGAAUAAGGUACUUCAACCAUUUCUUGAUCGUUUUGUGGUUGUUUACCUUAAUGAUAUUGUGGUGUAUAGCAAGUCUCUUGAAGAGCACAUGGGACACUUGAGGGAGGUGUUAUUAAGGAGGAGAAAUGCUCAUUUGCCCAACAAGAGGGGUCAUUCCUAGGCCACAUUGUGGGAGGUGGUAAGAUCCGAAUAGAUAAGAACAAGGUUCGAGCCAUUUCAGAGUGGGAGCCUCCAACCAAGGUAACGGAGUUGAGAUCUUUCCUUGGGUUGGCAAAUUACUAUCGACGCUUUGUCGAAGACUACUCUAGAAUUACCACUCCCUUGAGGGACAUGUUGAAAUAGGGGAAGGUAUGGGAUUGGAAUCCGGAAUGUGAGAAUGCUUUUAAUCAAUUGAAGCAAGAAAUGACGAGGGAACUCGUACUUGCCUUGCCGGAUUUUGUAAAGCCUUAUGAGGUACGCACGGAUGCAUUAGAUUAUGCUAUUGGGGGAGUACUGAUGCAAGAUGGGCACUCAAUUGCUUUCGAGAGUCGAAAGCUUAAUGAGACGAAGCGUAGAUAUACGGUCCAAGAGAAAGAGAUGACUGUGGUAGUACACUGCUUGCGCACAUGGAGACAUUAUCUAUUGGGUUCCAGGUUCGUGGUCCUUACCGAUAAUGUUGCCAAUAGUUAUUUUCUAACCCAGAAAAAGUUGUCUCCCAAGCAGGCUCGUUGGCAAGUUUUACUAGCGGAGUUUGAUUUUACAAUGGAAUAUAAACCAGGAAGUGCCAACAUUGUGUCUAAUGCACUCAGCUGAAAGAUGGAAUUUGCAGUAAUUAGUCAACCUAAUGGUUCUUUAUUGGAACGCAUUCGAGAGGGAUUGUCCCAUGAUCCCACGGCCAAAAAUUUGAUUGAGCUUGCCAAAGAAGGAAAAACGAGGAGAUUUUGGCUUGAUGGGGAGCUGUUAUACACUCAUGGGCACCACCUCUAUGUGCCACAUUAUGGGAAACUCCGUAAGAAAGUCAUGAAUGAGUGUCAUGACUCGAAAUGGGAGGCCAUCUAGGGAUGCAUCGCAGUUUGGCCCUUUUGGAGGAUCGUUACUACUGGCCUCACAUGGGUGCUGAUGUGGAAAACCAUGUGAAAACUUGUCUAGUGUGCCAAUAAGACAAGGUUGAGUUAAAGACUCCAACCGGUUUGCUUCAACCCUUGCCAGUUCCGGAAAGGCCAUGGGAGAGUUUAUCUAUGGAUUUUAUUAUUGGUUUGCCUAAGUCUGACGGGUUUGCGAGUAUUCUUGUUGAGGUGGAUAGGUUUUCAAAGUAUGCGACAUUUAUUUCGGCGACCAAGGAGUGCCCUACUGAGGAAGCAGCUCGGUUGUUCCUUAGACACGUGGUGAAAUAUUGGGGAGUGCCACUGUUUAUUAUCAGUGAUCGAGAUAGGCGAUUUACGGGCCGGUUCUGGAUGGAGUUGUUCAAGUUAAUGGGCUCAGACUUGAACUUCUCCAUGAGCAUGCAUCCACAAACAGAUGGGCAAACUGAACGAGUAAAUACAUUGUUGGAGACGUAUCUUCGACACUACGUAAGUGCCACACAAAGGGAUUGGCUAAAGUUGUUGAAUGUAGCCCAAUUUUCAUACAACUUGCAGCGAAGUAGGGCCACGAAUCAAAGUCCAUUUGAAAUAGUGACGGGUCAACAGCCAUUCACACCCAAUGCUGUUGUGACCCAUUAUACAGGACCAAACCCGGUAGCCUACCGAUUCGCAAAAGAUUGGCAAGAGAAGAAUGACUUGGCUAGAGCUUGUUUACACAAGGCAAGUAAGCGUAGCAAGAAGUGGGCCGAUCAGAACCGAAGGGAUGUGCAAUUUCAAGUGGGUGACUCAGUCCUUGCUAAACUACACUUGAUUUUACGAUAUACUGGUUUGCACAAGGGUCUUUUGCGAAGGUAUGAGGGGCUGUUUAAAGUGGUGAAGAGAGUAGGCAAGGUGGCCUACAAGCUUGAGUUGCUAGCAAAACUUAAAGUCCACCCGGUCUUCCAUGUAAGCAUGCUUAAACCAUUUCAUGGGGAUUAAGAUGAUCCGAAUUGAGGCAAGUCCAAACGAGCACCGAUGGGGGUAAAGGUGUCGUAUGAUCGUGAAGUCGAAAACAUUGAGGCAGAUCGGGUAAUUAGACAAAAGUACCACCGACCACGGCAUGAGUACUUAGUUUGAUGGAAGGGACUUCCUGAUAGCAAAGCAAGUUGGGAACCUGCCGAGGCAUUAUGGCAAUUCCAAGGGAAGAUUGACCAGUUCCAUAAAGAGGAUGUGACGAGUGCGUCGCUAGAACAAGUGGGGGAGAAUGUCAUGAGUUGUGCAUGGGAGCAUGCAACCAUGACAAACUUGUGUGAUCCAUCGUAUUUGAGGGAGGUCAUUUGACCCAACCAAACUGGCCCGUUGCCUGAAGAGAUUAAAAGCCCAUCUCAAGAGCCUGGUAAAUAUGGAAAGUGAUCCAAGAAGAUAUGAUUAUGUAAUCUUAGAGUUCUAAUUGUAUACAACUUCUAAUUGUAUACAGCUUUUAAUUGUAGCCCUUGAUGUACUUUGAGGCUCAACUAUAAAUAGAGACCUCUUUGCUCAUUGUAAUUCAUUCAGUUAUCAAUAAGAAUCUUGAGAGUAUUCACUCAAACUUUUCUCUCAAAUGAUCUUGCUUUUCUAAGGCUUUUGUUCAUCUUUCAAUGUUCGUUCUUACUCCGUUCUUCUGCUAUUCUUCGUGGAUGCCUUGAAGGAAUUCUAUUGAAUCCUUUUUCGUUGCGAGUUAGGCUGACUUAGGCGUUUUUGGAGCAAAGAAACUGCCUAAGGCCGCACGGAUCGCGUGGGAGAAAUCUAAGUCUGUGACACUAGAGGAUUUUUAGCGACCUAUUUGAGCUGAAUUCAAGGAGAUUAAAGUUCACAUUAAUUAAAAUUUUGACAAGCCAAUACAUGUUUUAAAAAAAUUUGUUUAUGGUUUUACGUAUGAGAUUGAGAGUACUAAUUUUAUUCAUAGUAAGAAACUUAUUUUAGCGCAUACUUAUUGUAAGCAAAUAGAUCUAGUUUUAUUUCCAAUUUCAAUUUUUUAGAUUUAUAUAUAUAUGUUUAUAUUGUUCUGGUUUGAUCUUGUGAUUUAAAUCAAUAUUUUACAUUAGUGUUUAUUUCUCUAACGUAUUUUGCAACCAUAUGUAAUACAAAAAUAUAUAAAGCAUAUAAUAUAUUCAUAUAGAAAAUAGUUUUAGUAUAUAUAUUUGGCAAUUUUAGUAUAUAAUACACACAAUGGACUAAAAACAGAAAUAUAUUUAGACCUAAAUCAAAAUAAAUUUGAAUAAAGUCUAUUCAUGAUAGAACUUUAACUCAAAAUAAUCUAAAAGAGAUUCACGCACGAAUAUAAUAAAAUUCCAACCUUAACUAUCAACCUUACCGACGCAACUAAGACAUCAUUAAUAAUUAAUAAUUUUAAAAAUCAAGACAAAAUGAUAUAACUAUUUAUCAAAAUUAUUCCACUUCACCUUCUUAAUAGGAUAUAUUUUAGCUCAAGUUGGGGACUCUUAACAAUUAAUAUCUCCUAGUGGACAAGUGUAGAGCUUGGGUUCAUCCGACCACCAUCUUUUUUUGUUCAAAUAAACUUCACUGUAUAUAAGAUAAUAGCCGAAGAAAUGGUGAGAACAAGCCCUCUCAAAUCAAUAAAAAGAGCAUCCAAAAAGUUAUAAUACAUCCCAACCUUUCAAAAAAAAAGAAGAAGAGACUUGUUUUCGAAUCUAUAAAAGCGAUGGUUGAAGACAGUAGCGAACAGGAGCGAUAAGGGAAUCAAGCCCAGCCACCACAUUCAGAAACUCCUUAGUGGUGCAUCGAUGGCAACAAGGUGAUGCUCAUUUCGAUGACCCCAUUGGACUCUCAUGGUUAUCUAAAUCAAAUUGGAUUUAUUGGUUGGACCGGAUGGAGUAAAAAUUGACUAAAUUUAAGGAGAGGUUUUAGAUUGAUUGAUUGAGUGACGAAUUUGUAUGGAUUGAUUGAAUCAGACUUUUAAUAUAUUUUUUAUUUUAUAAAAUUUUAAUUAUUUAUUUAAUCUAAUCACCUGGACGGGUCAAAUUAGUUAGGCUAACGGUUUGGUGUUUUAAUCGGUUUGUCCACUAGUCCAGUUUUAAAAAUAUUGAAAAUAAAAAAUGCUUGCACCAUCAAAACAAGAUGACAAUUAGUCAUGGCAAACUCAAAAAAGGUUCACUUCCACAAGAGAGACACCGAAAAGAAUGACCCUUCUAAAUGAAGGUUGCUAAAAGAAGAGGAAAAUGUCACCUCCUAGUUCGACUACAUCAAAAAGGGGACAACAAUUUUUGGGGGAAAAGGAAAAUGAGAAAGAAGAGAAUGGAGGAAAAGGCGAGGGAUGGAAUCUUCUUGCUAAAAAAUGGAAAUGGAAGCUGAAGGAGAAAAAUGAAGUAGGGAGAGACAAGUGGAGAAGCAUGUGGUAGGGAAGUGUGGGGAAAGGAAGAGAGAAUGGGAAGGUGAAGGGGAAAUGCGGGAGAGGAAGGAGAAAAAUGAUGAGUAGCAAUCGAAUGGGAUGGGAUGUGAUGAGAUUAACUCUAUUAUAAAUAAAAAUAGAGAUGAUUAUGAGGUUAAUUAUCAUAGUGGUAGGUAUAAAAUCGAUUAAGUAAUACAUGUUAAAAUCUAGACCUAAAGAUGACGGUAAAGUCAAAAUAAAAAAUAAUUUUUAAUAGCAUAAUAUUAAAAUGAGUGUAUACAUAAUAAAAAAACUAUUAAAUUAUGUCUAUAUUAAAUAAUAAUAUAUUAUAAAAUUAAUAAUAAUUAAAAGGUAUUAAAAUUAUAUAUAUUAAAUGAUAAUUAAUAUUAUAUUUAUAUUAAAACGAUAUAAUAAAAAUAAUAGUAGUAAUCAAUAAAAAGAAAAAGAAUGUGACCCAUUAAAAUAUAUAGAUUGCACAACCAAAUUCUAAUACAAUAUCAUUUGAUAUUGAUUAAAAUAUAUCGUUAGUCCCUGGACUUUGACAAAUUUAAAAUUUAAUUUUCAUAUUUUUUGGUGAUUUGAAUAUUUCAGUCCAAUAAUUAAAAUUAUAAAUAUUCUUUUUUUUUAUUAAAAUUCGUUGUUUUAGAAUUCUGAUUAGGUUGUCUUUAUAUAGCGUGACAUAUAAUUGACAAAAAAUAAACAUGUUGAGUUGACAAAUAAUGAUAGAAGCAACCAUUGACGAUAAUGAUUGGAUUAGAAUUUUUAAAUUUAAAAAAGUAGGAGGAUUUCAUCUUUUUUAACUUUUAAAAUAUAGGGACUAAAUCUCAAAUUUUAUUAAAGUACGAAGAUUAAUAGUAGAUUUUAACCUUUGAUAUUUCAUAUAGUUAUAACCAUUAAAUUUUUAUAUGACAAUAGUUUAUCGUGUAUUUUCAUGCUUUGUUGAGUUUUUGUAUUUUGAUAUUUUGUUAGGUUGUAUUGUUUUUAUAGCAUCUCACAUUUAAGCUUCAUUUAGAUGAACGGUGAGAUUAAAAAGAGCAGUGGCAAUGAAAUUAAUUAUUGUAAUAGUGAGAGUAAUAAAAGCAAAAUUAGAAGUUUUGUUUAGGGGUUGAAAUAAAAUUAUAAAAUUUUGAAAGCUAAAGUUAAAAAUAUUAUAUUAAAAAUACUUAAAUUAAAUUAUUUAUUUUUUAGAAGGAUUAAAAUUUAAAAUUUUUAUUUAACUAAAGGAUUAAAAUGCUUAAAUUUAAUGCUUUCCUUAUAGGAGAUUAUUAUAUUGCACUUCUACCAUUUGGUAAGGGGAGCUAAGGCCUUGCCUUCCUCCAACGAUGUCUCUAGAUAGUGGUUAUUAUAAUGGUGAUAGGAUAUAUGUUUAGAUUUAAACACAGCGAUGACAAUGAGAAUAAACUAGAAAAUAAUCAUUAAAGAUAUUAAAUUAUAAUAUAUAUAAAUUAUAUUUAUGUUAAAUCAUAAUUAAAUAAUAUUAAAAGUAUUAUUAUAUUACAAUUAUAUGAUAUAAAAUAAUAAUUAAAUUCAUUUUUAUAUUAAAAAUAAAAUAAACAAAUAAUUAAAAUAAUAAUGAUGGAUGGGCUAGAAGAGUAAUUUUCCGCACCUCAAUGCAGGUGUGCCAAAUACACCCAUAAAUUGUGAUGCAUUUCAGUGAAUGGCAAUUUUAUUUUGGGAUGUUAUAUAAAUUUUAUUAGAUCAAUCAUCUAUCUCCGUUACGAGGUAAUUUAGUCGAUUGAGUCUUAAUUUAAUUGGCGUUGGUAUUAUUGUUAUUGUAGGAGGAUUUAGGUUCGAGUACGUCGUAGCACAUUAUCCUUCUAUUUAAGGAUUUAGAGGAGUUAUAGGUUGUUCUAGACAUUCUAUCAAAAAAAAAUACGAUAAAAACUUAUAACGAGUUUAAUAUUAAAAAAAUAAUUUUAAUACGUUAAUAAUUCCUUAGUUAUCUUAUUCAUAAUCGCAUUUAAAUUAAUGCAUUUUAUAAGUUUUGGUAUACUUUUGUAUAUUUUAUCACAAUAAUUAUUCGGUACACAAGUAGAAGAGCGGAUUGAGAUUAUGUCGCAUGUCUUAUUUAUUUAUUUAUUAAUUUUUUAAAUAUCUCUACCCUUACUUAUGAAGUUAAAUUAUUUUAGGUAUUCCAUAUAUAUAUAUAUAUUUAUAUUUAUACGUUAAUGUAUUAAUAUAUUAAUAUUUUGUAUUAUAUGAUCUUUUAGAUAUUUGUAUUUAAUAACUCACACAAUGUUUGUGCCGUGGUCUACUUCUUGUAGUGUUUAAUAUUUUUAGGUCUAGUUUUCUCCAAAUGUUUAUUUUGCUCCUCCUACCUAAGACAGUUUAUUUUAUCAUUUAAAAGCAUUAAAAUAUUAAUAAUAUUUAUAUUUUAAUACAUUAUAAUGUUAGAAUUAGAUUUAAAUAAAAUAUAUAUUUUAAAAAAAUUAAUGGCCAUCCUCAUUGAUUUCUUAGCAAGUUUAAUUUAACAUUAAAAAAUAUUAUUUAUUAUCGUAUUAAGUACUUACAAUCACUCCAAAUAUGUCGUAUUUGAGUUGUGGCAGAACUAAUUGUUAACAUGUCAUAAUGUUCUAUUGACACUGAAAUUAAACUUUUGUUGUGUUGAUAAGGUUUGUCUUUCACCAUAUACAAUAAGUGUUUGUUGUUGUUUUUUCGAAUUGUAUGAUCUCAUGGAAUCAGUUAAUGAAUUUCCAUCUCUUUUUUCUCUCAAUAAAACUUUAAUUUAAUGGCAAGAUUGAAAAUUUAGAAACUUUUAAGAUUCCAACUUUGAAUUUCAACUUAUUUUAUAUUUUAUUUAAAUAUAUUAUUUGUAAUUGCAAAUGAAUUAUUGAGUUGGGAUCAAUUUAAUUUCUUUCCAUUUAAAUUCAAAUUGAAUAACAAAUAUAUAUAAAUAUCAAUAGCGUAAACUAUAAAAAUAGUUACUUUUGUUUACCUUAGAGUACAUUUUAAUUACUUAUGUUUGAAAUGUUAUGUUUCAGUCACUUACAUUAUUGUUUUGUUAUGAAGUGAUCACUUUACCGUUAAACUCCAUUACCUCCCUGACGACAGUGCUACGUGAUAGUCUAAAUGAAUUUUAAAUGCCAACUUGGAUGUCUAGUUGUUGGGAUGAGAGAAGGUUUUUAAUUAAAUAAAUUUAAUUUAAACUACCACGUAAGACUGCCGUUAGGGAAAUAAGGGAGCUUAAGACCACUUGAUAACAAAACGAUAACGUAAGUGACUAAAACGUAACAUUUCAAAUAUAAGGGACUAAAAUAUAAUCUGAAGCAAACAAAAGUGACUAUUUUUGUAGUUUACCCAUAUCAAUAUAAUAUAAAAAAAAUUAAGAAAUAAAUGAAUGUGAUUAGAUUUUAAUUUCAGAAACAGAAAUGGAUAUGGUUUUGCAUUGAUUUAAGAUUUACUAAAAAGGAAAAGAAAGCAAAGAGUUAAAAGGGGUUCUUUUUGAAAGAUGAUGAAUUAAUUAGGCAGAAGCUUAUUAUAGUGAUGGAGAAAACCAAAAUGUAAAAUUUUUUAAAGCAUUUUCUUAAUUUGGCACCAACAAAUCACAGCAGUUGAAUUCAACGGUCAGUCCUUUUCUCGGAAAUUAAGUACUUUCCAUUUCCUCCUUUUUCCUUUCAUUUUCUUCCUUGUUCUUCCUCUCUCCUUCCCUCCCUCCCUCCUCAUCAUUGCCAAUCUCAAUUCUCCAUAAGGUAUUUUUUUUUAUUUUGGUAUUGGAUUGAAGCUUUUCAUUAUGAACAAUAUCUGGAAUUGUAUUUAAAUGUUCUUCUUAAUAUCGGGUUUUGGAUGAUAAAGCUGUUUUCAAUGGAUCUCAUAACUGGGUCUGGUUUUAAAUUCCAUGUGGGGUUUUUUUUUUAUUAAUAUUAAUGGGUUAGGUUUUAGGUCUUUGAAUUUUAUUAAUAUUAAUUGGUUAGGUUGAUGAUGAUGAUCCCCCAAGCAUUACACUGCACAUGUGAAUUGAUUGUAGUUUACUAUUUUGAUUCAAUUCUGAACUGUCUCCAUGUCCUCUUCAAUUUUUUGUUAUUAAGAAAUUCACAUUUUUUUAAAGGAAUAUGUUUUUGAUAUGGUUGCAAAUUCUUACAUUUUCAGAAUGGGUUUUGUUUUCUUUUUAUCUUGAUUUGUGUUGAAUGACUCGAAGCAAGGAACACCAAAUUGGCGAUUGUUUCGUGUGUUCGAGCAUAUGCAUUUGUGUGUGUUUCUAAUUUUAGUUGUUUCUAUACAUUUUUGAUAGUUUAGGAAGUUUGCUUAGCACUGAAUUUGUUGUUUUUUUUCUUUUGUCAAGGUGGGGCUAUUGCUGACUUGAUUGAUUGUUUCUUUAUGGCGUAAUCGUAGCUUGCCGCAUUGAAUUGGGGAUGGGAUUGUCAGCUUUGUAUUGCAAGGUUAAGAACUACUUUAUGCAUCAAUUAAGGCUUUUUGAUGUUCAUCCAGUUAUGAACCUUGUGGUAUCCUAGAGCAAUUGUUGUGGAAAUGGCUACAAACAGUACUUCACACCUUAAAAGGAAUUUGAAGGGCUUUACAUCGGCCCUAAAAUCUGCUGCUUGUGAAUGUUUUCUGAUUGUUCUGCUGUUCUUUUAUGCUGCCUUCUCGUACCUGCUGACAAGAUUUGCACAUUACUGUGGAUUGCAAGCUCCUUGCAUUUUAUGCUCUCGGCUUGAUCAUGUUUUCAGAAAUGAAAAACCUGGAUACUAUUGGAAUCUAUUUUGCAGCAACCAUAGAUCAGAAGUUUCAUCGUUGGUUUCCUGCAACAUUCAUGGCAAGCUGGUUGAUGGUCGUGGUAUGUGUGACAAUUGUCUCUCAUCAGACAUUGAGGAAAACAAAUCCAACUCAGAUAUACAGAGGGUUUCCUUAGAAAAUUUGGGGUUUGAACCUGCAUGUUUUGGAAAUUGUGAUUCCCGGAGCUCGUUUUUCAACAGGGAUCUUUCCCCUGCUUCUAAAAGUACUAGGUUUUGUUUAUGUUGUGAUAAGCCAUGGACUCCAAGAUCGAAUGCCCAAGGAUUACCCCCCCUAAAAUCACGUGGCGUUGCAGUUGCAAAGGCAAACUUUUAUUUGCCACGCCGCUUAAGACAUCGAAAUGGUCUGAAGAAGUCAAAGGAUAAGUUUUCUGCUCCAGCAUUGACUCAUAUAGGAAACACUGGAAUUGAUACAUCGCCUCAUGCAGGAUUCACUGAGCUGAAGAUCACUUCUGAAUCGGAGUCUGAGAUUCCAUUUUCUGAUGAUGAGGUUAGCAAUUGUAUGGUUCUUGAUAUGAACGAGAGUAAGAAAGAAUCUCUAGUUCACUCUGCUCCGGAAACUCCAUCUAAAAGACUGUACAACAAUUUGGUUAAAAGGAAACAGCCUGAUUCUAGUGAGCCUCAUGAUUUUAGAUAUUUUUAUCCCAAUGUCCAUAGUGAGAAUUAUGUCUGUGACCGUAAAGGACAGCUGGCCGAUAAGAAAACCAAUUCUUCAGUUUUGCCGGAGCUUAUUUCUCUAGAUGAUAUUCCUGCAUCAUCCUGCCUUGUGGGAGUUCCAAGUUAUAGUGCUUCGUUACUGUCUGAUCUUAUUUCUCUAGUUGAUAAGCCCCCUUCAGUUAACGUUAUGGAAACUCCUCUUGAAGCAUCAUCGCGAAAGCGUAAGUUAUCUCCCUUUCUGUGUGCAUAUGUGUAUGCAUGUAAAUGUUGGUCUUAUCUUAUAUGGCUUAAUGUCUUAAAUUUGCAAUGGCAGAUGUUACUGGUGCAAGUAAAAAUGAAAAUAUUUCUAUCAACAUGACCGACAAAAGCUUGAAGUCGAUAAGCACAUCAGCUGGAGCUGGUUUCGAAACUGAUCAAGUUGUGGAUGAUACUGCUGUGGUACAUUCUGCGCAUGAGGAUCUAAAUGCUGUGAAUACAUCACCAGUUUAUGGUGAAGAAAAAGGUGCCUCUGUGUUUGUUACGGAAGAACCAAUGCUGAGAUAUAAUAAGGGUGUUAGCAAAUAUCCAUCAUUGUCGGUUCAGAAUUCUUCUGGAGAAGGGAUUGAUUUAUCAUUUAACAAUGUAGGUUCUGAGUUCCCAGAUGACGACGACGACUUUGAGACAACUGAUGAAUCCAAUCCUUAUGGGGUUCAGAGUUUUGAUAAUCUAUUUUCUGCGGAAAGAAGUGAAUUUGGUAGCUUUGGAGUUAACGAAGAUCAGUCAUUGGCAGUUCAGAAUUCUUCUGAAGAAGGGAUUCAUUUAAGUCCUGAGUUACAAGGUCAUAGUGAUGACUUUGAGACAACUAAUGAAUCCGAUCCUUAUGGGGUUCAGAGUUUUGAUAACCUACUCUAUACAGAAAGGAGUGAAUUUGAUAUCCUUGGACCUUUGAAUGAAAGCACUUUCAGUGAAAUUGAAGGUGAAGAUCCAGUCGAUAGGCUGAAGCGGCAAGUUGAGCAUUAUCAGAAGUGCAUGGAUGGAUUAUAUAAGGAAUUGGAGGAAGAAAGAAAUGCCUCCGCAAUAGCUGCUAAUCAGGCAAUGGCUAUGAUUACAAGGUUGCAAGAAGAGAAGUCAAACCUCCAGAUGGAGGGCCUGCAUUACCUAAGGAUGAUGGAAGAGCAGGCAGAAUACGAUGGAGAUGCCCUGGAUAAAGCCAAUGAUCUUCUGGCAGAAAGGGAGAAAGAACUACAAGAUCUGGAAGCAGAGCUUGAAUUUUACAGAUUAAACUUCACAGAUGAAACACAGAUAGAGAAUUUAACUGGGGCAAGCAUCAACUUAAGCAACGGGCAUGUUUCUACCAAGACUACGAGCACAUUUUCCGUAAAAGAUGAUCUGAAAUUUCCCUCGAACACAAUGUUUCCCGACAGUGAUAAUCCUGUAGCCAAAUCUGCAUGGUCAGAAUUCGAGGAUGAGAAGUUGUACAUUUCUGAACGUCUGCGAGAUUUGGAGAGGAAAGCUAGCAAGUUUGCUCGUCAUGGUACUUUGCCACACAUUUCCGAUAGGGAAAGCUUGGAUGAAGCAGCAAAUGGAGGCCAACAUCAGCAAGAGUCCCUUGAUGAAAGUGCUCCUUCGCAAGAAUUGUCAAAUACUUCAGUAAGUGAAGAUCGAGUGGUUAGUAAGGGAAACAGUCAUAUGGUUUCCAAUGGGCAGAAGGGUUCUGAGAAUUGUAAUGAAACUGGUUUGGCCAGUGUUGAAAAUGAAAUUUCUGACCUUAACGAGAAGCUGGAAGCACUUGUGGCUGACUAUAAAUUUCUUGAGAAUUCUCUAAAAUCUCUUCAAAUUGGAAAUGAAGGUUUACUUCUUAUUCAAGAGAUACUUCAUGAGUUACGAGAAUUGAGGAAACUGGGGAUAAGGAGGAGGAACAUGUCUGCGUCAUGAGCAUUAUGUUUAUCAUUUCAUGGUAAGCAUUCUUUUAUAAAUGUCUCUCCGAAGAAAAUAGUCUCUUCUUGGUGUAGAUCUUGCACAUUCAGUAUAAACUUUUUGCAUGCCUUGACUGACUGUUGCGGAAAUUGCUUUAUGCCUCUCGUUGAUUAACACUGCCUCAUGUUUGUUUUGUUUCAAGUAAAUUGCUACCAUCUCAAGCUGAUCAUUUCUUUUUGGUUUUGUAACAAUGAAUGCUGUAUGGUCAUGGAUCUGCAAGAUAUAAUUAGAUUAACUAUGAAUGGUGCCACAUGUGAAAUGUGAGUUUUGUAGGAUUAAGAAUAGAAAAUAGGAAGCAAUGAAGAUAGGUAUUUGAGAGAUAACUGGAAGUGACUGUACCUGCAUCCUAUUUACCAUCCAUAAGAAACCCGGGUUUUGCAUCAUCAUGCUCGAACGUGCAUCAGAUGUUCAUAAUAUAUGCCAUAUUUAUUCUGAGGUUCUUAUGUAACAGAAUGAACUUCUACCAUUGAUCAUGUUAUCAAACUCAAUUUCAAUUUAGUGCUAUGCUGCUUCAACUCUUAAUUUUUCUUGAAAUACCUAUGAUUGACAUUCACGUCCGACAAAUAUCUAGAUAUUGAUAUGGGAAUAUUGACUGUAUCCAACAUGCACUUAAACUCGAGUAAUGCAAACUUAAUGCCUUGCUCUGUUUAGUUAAUCAGUUUUUCUUUGUUUGACAUCCUAAACCUUUGGUUGUAUAAUCAUGAUCGACUACAUGACAUUUAUAUUUCAGGUGCAGUCAGAUUGAGGGUAAACUGAGAACCAUGAAGUUUGAUUCAAGAGUUGCAGGAUCUCAGCUUACCACGAAAUUGUGAAUAACCAAGAUCGGUUUUACAUGCUAGCCACCUAUGUUAUCCCCACUCUUUAUUUAUUUUAAAGUAUCCGUAUCCGACAUUUGUAUUUGAUAUAUAUUCGGGCAUGGAUAUGAGGUUUGUUCCUACAAUGAAAAAAAAAUUUAGAAAGUUGAGCUUACUCCCAUGUCCGACUAAGAGUAAUAUUGGUAGGUGGGAGUAAAAGUGUAAAAGUAAUUUUUUUUUAUUGCUUCGGCAAGGGUUACAUUUGUGGUAUUUUUUUGAAGCAGUGUGAAUAGGUUUCAAAGCGGGUGAUUUUUUGGUCUCAUUUACUUCCAUUGAUUUUUUUUUUUUUGAGGUUUGUUCACAUUUCAUAGUAAGCCAAUCCUACUUCAAUUGGAAAUUCAGAACUUCUCAAUAUAAAUAGUUUAUUAUUUUCACAACUUCUUGAUAUCUUGUGCUGUUUUGAUUCUUGAUUCUAUUCCUUUUGCUUGAUAUCUUUAGUACAUAGAUGUAAGGAGAAUAGAUUGUAUGAAAUUGUGAUUCCACGUCAUCUCAAUCCCUUUCUAUAGGAGAAUGAAAAAUAAAAUUUUUACUCCUGAUUUUAAGUUUUUUCCUCUUGGAAAAAAAAUUCAAAUCAACUAAAAAUGCCAAAAAUCAGAAGAAGAAAAUUUGAUUUGUUAUUCUUCUAUUGGAAAGGAAUAGCGAUGAUGUGGAAUCACAGUUUCAUGCAAUCCUUUCUCAAAUGUAAGAUGCUCUAUGUAUAUAAAAAUUGUUUAGAAAAGAUCCAACAUAUUUAUUUCCGGAGUGAGCAUAAUCCGAAUCGAUAUUAUUAUAAAUAAAUUUUCAACUACAACCAUUGUGCAAUGGUUUCAAAGAGAGAAGUCCUUGAAAUUGGUCACAUAGGUGGCUAAUCUCAGUCAAAACAAUCUCAAAGUAAACAAAACAGCAAAAGAGAAGUAGAAGAAACACAAGAAUUAGAACCACCAAAUGCUCAUUAAAAUGUAGGUUAAAUGAGUCAAAUAAAUCCCAACUUAAAGCACAUAAUUUGGCAUGAUUUUGGAAUUUAAUUAUAAUAAUAUUAGUAAAUUUUGUUUAUUUUAUGUCGUGAAGAUACUAAAAUUUAAGCUCAGUUUGUGCAAUUGCGCCGGAAAUAUUCAACUUGGCGUAGAGCACGGCGCCCUUGAGGAAAUUUGAGCAGCAAAAAAGAGACUUUCUUGAUCAAGUUAUCUACCAUGAUAUUUUUAAUAAUUAUUUGUUAAUUACGAAAUAAUAUUUGAUAUAUUGUUAGUAAAAUUUAAAAAUUUCACAAACAAGAUGAGUUAGACAAGUAUAAUAAAAAAAUUAAAAAUAAAUGUAUUAAAGAAAUGAAAAAAGUGGCAAUUUAUAAAUAUACUCGUGGAAUUAAAAAAUGCAUUAUCAGUGUAUCAAAUACUCACCAUUGAAUGAGGUGUUCUAGUUCAUUUAAAAUUAUUAUCUUUAUCUUUUAUUUUACGUUAAGAUUUUUUUAUUAUUUUAAUUAUUAUAUUUUUUUGGGUAAAUUAAAUAACUUUACGCACACUAUUAAGAUAACGUAUUAGCCCGUGUAACGCUAAUAUAGUCUGCUUGUACUAAAUCUUGUACAGAAUAAGAUUGAUCUUCAAAUACUUGGUAAAUUAUUAUAUUUUUUUAUUAUCUUUAUAGAAUGAAGUUGGAAUAAAACUCCUCUAUAAGAGAUAACUUUUGGCAAUAGUUAAAAAAGAACUGAAUAUGAAUUUUUCUUUUUUCUGUGUAAUAUUCUGAAGAAAUGAUUCGUUGAAAUAAUGAGUCACCAUUGAUAUCAACACAUCUGGGAUCGCCAAAUGUACAGGAGUUCCUCUAUUCAAUCCCUUUCCUUCUUGUUGCUGGAUAUCUCGUUCGUACACAUCUUCUCUUUGUUUCCCGAGCCUUAGUGAGUUACAGACAGAGUUCGAAAAGGUCAAAUCUUUGAUGAUUCCAUCAUACAUGAUUGAGUUGCGAAAACUUCUGGAUAAGUAUCUAGAAGAAAUACGGGGUUUUGCUUUUGACGACAACAUGCCAUGGGGUGGUGGUCUCGCUUAUGGGGUCAAAUCAAUACGUUUUAAAAAAGAAAUAUUUGAAUAUCAAUCUCAUCGAUGUCAUCAAUCUCAUAAGUAUCAUACCAAAUCUGAUCAAUCGAAUCAUUUUUUUAAGAAAUACGAGACAUCUAAGUCAUACAAGUAAAUAUAUCUAUUCAUUGAUAAGGAAAAGAAAAAACGUGAGCGGUGAUUAGAUUGAUGAGAAAAGAGAACAAUAAUCAUAGGUACUUCAAGUUUGUUGUAGAACAAUUUUAUUUAUGUUUUAUUAUUAUAUUUUAUAGCAGCAAUGAUCAUAAAGUAUGAGAUGCAUUUUUUAUUAAAUUACUUCUCUAUAACAGUUUACUAAAUUACUUUUGCAUUGUAGUCACUUGUCUUAAGUUUUAAUAAAAUUAAUUUUAUUCCUAAGUGAAAUAAAAAUAAUAAAUUUUGGUUAAUAUAUUAUUUCAAUAAAAUGUUUAAAUUUUAUAUAAAAAUGUAUUAAUCAUAUGUUAUUAAAUGAAGGCUAUCUUUAAUAAAUGGAAAUUAUUAUUGUAAAAUUUAUUAAAAAUAUAAUUUAAAUCUCAUCAAUUAUUAUAAAUUAUAUUUUUUAAAUUUGAGAAUUAAAAAAAAUUAAAUAUGAUCUAAAUCUCGAAUGUUAUUAUAGAUGUCUCGAAUGAAAUUAUAAGUGUAUAACAACUAUCACUCGAUAAUAUUCAAAAUUUUAAUAGGCAAAUAUUACUAUUAUAAAGAGAGUUAACUAUAAUUUUUUUCGAGAUUCUCUUAAUUAUGAAUUUUUUUUAGCGAAGAGUAGAUAGAAGCUCAUUCUUACUAGAAUUGUGAGGUUCAAAGUGUUCUUCAUUCUUUUCUUACAUAUAUGCUCAUUCUCUGUUUUAUAAGAAAGGUGCUCUUAGUAUCAUUUCAAGUAUGAUCUCUUAUUCGAUAUUUAAGAUAAUAAUCCGUUAAUUAGAGUAAUUAGAUCCGUAAUUAUCUCUUUAUUCUAAUAAAUAGAACAAGUUAGCAUAAUUCGAUUGAGAGAGUAACUGGGUUAUGUUAUGGGAGUGAGUUAUCUAAUUUAAAUAAACCGCACGGUUAGAUUUAUUAAUUAGAGUCAAAUCUUUCUAAUUAGUAAGGUGAUUAGUGAAUAAAUCAUCAUAAGGUCUCUUAUGCUUAUCCAUCUAUUUUGAUGGUACAAUAUAUCUCAUGGUAUAAUGUUAUAAUAUGUGGCACAUUUGAGCUUUAUAAUAUUGGAAUAAAUAUUAAAAUUAUACAUGAAUUUUAUUUUAAUGUGCAAUUUGAUAUAAGAACUUUCAUAUGAUGUAAUCAUAUACAUGAAAGUUUGUUAUCAAUAUGUAUGGUCUUGGACCAUCAAAAAUGAUUUUUCUUUUGAGUUUGGCUACUUUAUUAAUUCACUUACCUCUAUCACGUCAAUAUUAAUCACCACUGUCGGAAGUUUUGUUCUUAUUUAUAGUGACAAUUAUAUGUCUCAUGAUCAAGAAUAUUUGAGAUUUUUUUGCUUAUAUGAGUCUGUUCAACACUUCAAUGUUGGGAUUAGUUACUAGUUUGAAUUUGAUACAAAUUUAUGUUUUUGGGGAAUUAGUUGGAAUGUGUUCUUAUUUAUUAAUAGGUUUUUGGUUCACACGAUCUGUUGUGGCAAACGCUUGUAAAAAAAAGUUUGUAACUAAUAGAUAGGCGAUUUUGGUUUAUUAUUAGGAAUCUUAGGUUUUUAUUGGAUAAUGGGAAAGUCUCGAAUUUCAAGAUUUGUUCGAAAUAUUUAAUAACUUGAUUUAUAAUAAUGAGGUUCAUUUUUUAUUUGUUAAUUUAUGUGCCUCUUUAUUAUUUUCCGGCACAAUUUCCUCUUCAUGUAUGGUUAUAUUACCUGAGGCCAUGGAGGGGCUUACUCCUGUUUCGGCUCUUAUACAUGCUGCCACUAUGGUAGUUGCGGGAAUUUUUCUUGUAGCCUAUCUUCUUCCUUUUUUUUAUAGAUAUACAUAUACAUAUACUCAUUAAACUUUGAUUUUAAUCUAAUUGCGCACAUUUAAAAGGAGAUAAAUAUAUUUGUUUAUUUUUAUAUUUGAUUAAUAUAAUUGUUUGUGCUUACAAUAUAUAAACGUAAAGUGGUACUACGUCGAUAAUGUUGCUAGUAGUUUAUAAAAUUUGAAUCAAAUUAAAAUAUCAUAUAUAAAAUUGUAUAAAAUCAAAAUUCAUAUAUAACAUUGCAUAUUAAACUAAAAUUCAUGUGUAGUUUUAAUAUUCACCCACAUAAUAUUCAACAUAGAUCCAAUGCUUUCAUAAGCUUAAAAUUAGCAAUCGGCCUCGAAAAUUCCAUAUAAAAUCAGGUUUUCAAUAAUUUUGCAUUUCAUAUUCCAUUUCAAAAAUAAGAAUUUUAUGAAAAUUCAAAAACAAAAUCCGAAAUUAGAAAUGUCAAAUGGAUCCUAAAAGCAAACUUGAGUUACUUGAGUUGACGAAUCUUAUUUUAACAACUGAACUCAAUUUGAUUUUUUUUUAAUCGAAUCGAAUCGAGUUAAAAAAUUUUGAGUCGAGUUAAUGAAUCCUAUUAUUUAUACUCAAUGUGGUAUUUACGUGGACUGAUUAUUUAACUACAUAAACAAUAUAAUGAUUUUGUCUUUUAACUUAAUGGGUAAACAUUUAUCGAAACGACGAAGUUUUGCCUUUUUCUUAUUCAGAUUUUCAGAUAACUCGAAUUGUGUAAUUCAUAUUCGAGUUAAACUAAAAAUUUUAAUUUUUAUUCGAAUCACUCGAACUAUUUAAUUCAAUAUUUAAAUUUUUAUCAAAAUUUUCGAAUCGAAACAGAUUUUACUCACCUAACUAGAAAUUCAUAAAUAUGGCGACAAGUAGAUGGACAAAACGUCGCUAAAACAAAUAAUCUGGGUGUUUGUUUUACAAACACAAUUAAAUAUAAUUUUCAAUCAAAGUAAUUUUUUGUGACGGAAGGAAACAAAUGUAUAAAUUUAGGGAUAAAAAAAUUUCGAUUCGAUUUGAAAAAAAUUAAAUUUUGAGUUAAUCGAAUCGAGUUAUUUGAGUUUCAAGUUCGAGUCAAGUUGAAUUUUACAAUUCAAAUAACUUGAAUAAUUCGAAUAACAGAUUAGUGUAAAUACCUCUUUGAUCCCUGUCAAAUUUGAAAAUGAGCAAAUUGAUCUCUCUCAACAAAAAACAAAAAAGAAAUUCAAAAUACUUAUAAAAAUUAUAAAAAUAUAUAUAUUUUUUAAAAAUUUAAAGAUUCUAAAGAAUGUAUAAACAAAGUUAAAAUUUUAAAAAUUUUCUAAAAUAAUAAUUUUUAGACCUAAAUAAGUUAAUUAAUUAUUUAAGUUUAUCAUACUAAAAUAAUUUUAUUUUAUUAUCAUUUUGCUUUGAAAAAGCUUUCAAUUUCAUGUGUUCUAACAUGAAAUUAGUUACACUGUAACAAGAUUUUAAUUUGACAUGUUUAAUUUUUUAAUUUAACUCCAACAAUUUCACUCGAUUCGACUCAACUCGAAUUUCAUUUCACUUGACUCGAUUCGAAAAUAUUUCAAAUCAAAUUAGGAUGAUAAAAUGGAACUCGAUAACUCAAUUUAUUCAAAAUAUUUUCACUUGAUUCGAUCGAAUGCUAAUCCCUAUAUAAAUUAAUAGCAUAUUAUAACGUCGCUAAAGCUAAAAAAAGCGUCGUUAACUUGUUGCGUUUCUUGUAACAAACUCUCCAAUCUCUUGAAUUGCGAUGCUUUUUAAGGCGAUUUUGCUAGGGCGACUAUUUUUUAGUAGUCGUUUUAAGAACAGCAAUAGGUAAUAAAAAAGGGGGACGUCUAGAUGCAGCUUUUGUUGUAAUGUUCAGUUUGUAUAGUACAACAACAAACACAUGUUCAAAAUUUUCAAUUAUUUGGCAUGAUUAGCCAAGUCAUCUUAAUCUUGAGAAAAAUACGAGCACCCGUUAAAGAAUCUGAAGAUUUUUCAAUUUAAAUAAUUUUCAUUUGUUGCUUGUUUUCAAAGAAAAAUUACUUAUUAGAAUUUUACCAGCUAAAUCUGACUUUAAAUCUCUCAUAUUUUUAGAAUAAAUAUGGGCUCAUCUCAUCCAUCCACCAUGUGGAAUGUUAUGAAAUUAUAUGAUUUUGAUAGAUGUGAGUUAUUAACCCACAACAUGUCAUUUGUGAGAUUAUUUGCUUAAAAAAUUAAAAAGGAAAAUUACAACGGACGUAAUUGAGACAAUUUUGCUAAUGUUGAUUAGUUUAUAUCUUAAGCUUUUAAUGAUAUUGUAUGUAAGUUGAAACAAUAUUCUGUUGCAAAGCCUAUUGCUUAUACGCAAAAUUUAGUGAAAGUAUUAAUUAAACGCCUCUAAUUAAUAGUUAAAUCAUUACUUGUGAGAACACGGAUUCUCAUACAUAUAUGGAGAUAUAAUAUUUUAUAUGCAGCAACACUUAUAUGCAUUAAGCUAAUAAACUAACCCCGUUACAAUUCCCUUAUGGCUAGGAAUCACAUGUUUGUAAUUUUUAGAUGUGUGAUAUAUAUUUCGAUUGCUUCACGAUAAUGCAUAAAAUGGGUUUUAGAAAAUAUUUGGAAUAAUAUUAACUAUGAAUCUUUUUAUAAUUAUCAAAUAUUCUGAAUUGUUAAUUAGAGGUUUAGUUAUGAUGUGACUUGUCAAUUAUUUUAGUGAGAUAAUUUUUUCAACAUUAAAUAACUAGAUCAAUAAACUCUUGGGAUUAAUUAUCUAAAUGCUUUAAAGUAAUGUGAACCAUAAUUCAAAAGCAUUGAUAGAGUAUUGAUCCAAACUGAUGACCUAAAGGUGGUUAAAUUCAUUCAAGAAAGUCAGCCGGCAAGUGUGAAUUCAACCUUGGUAAAGAGGAUUCUACAACUGUUAAAGCGGAUUGAAUAUUGAAGAUAAGGUAUGUUCCAAGAGAGGAGAACAGAAUUGCGGAUUUAAUAGCUAAAAUGACCUCCAACAAGAAGGAAGAUGUUUAAGUUUUUGAGGAACUUCCCGAGGAGAUUCUUGAGGAGGAAUACAGUGAAAAAUCAUUGUAUUUUUACUAUUUUUCCUUAAUAACAAGAGCACAAGUCCCCCAUCAUUUGAUGUUGAAAUUUUAUUUGUUAGUUUAUAGUUUAGAGAGAAAAAGUUGGGAAAGUGUUUGAAUUCCAAAGUUUUGAAAAAAAUGUAGGAUUUAUAUAGUAAAUAUACCAAGUCAAAGUUCUCCUUAUAACUGGUAGACUUUUUUUGUCGGCCAAAAUACUAAAUAAAUUUUAAUUCCAAAUAAAUUGCAAGUUGAUAUAAUAAUAAUUAAACCAAUAGGAGUCUUACGUAAUGAAUUUCCUUUCUUUUUCUUUUUACUUUUCUUUUGAGUUAAGCUUAAUUUUUUAAAAAAUAUAUAUAUUGUUGAGUAAUUUUUCAUUGUACCUCAUUAGAGGGGAUAAUCAAAUAUUUAUAUAUAUGGUUAUUGUUCAUAAAAUUGACGUUCUCAGUAGACUCUAUGCAUGCAGGACAUGUGUACUGUUCUGGGUUGCGUGUUAGACUUCAUGGCCCCCACGUGCAAACUCCUUGAGUAUAUGCGAGCCGUGGCAGUGAGCUCUCGUUGUUGACUUCUCACUGUAAAGCUUGUGCAUAUCCAUCCAGUAGAGGCCUCCACAUGCGAACUUCUUGAUUAUAUGCGAACUGAGACCGCGAGCACCUCGUGGCAUGUGCGAGCUGAGGCAACGAGCUCCCGUUGCUGACUUCUCAUUGUAAAACUUGCAUGUAUCCAUCCAGUAGGGCUUAGCCAGGUCGCAGAUAGGCGACCUAGACCUUAUCUGAUUCUCGAGUUGAUGAUCAUAAGUACAUAAUAUAUAUAUUCAAUUUCAUCCAAAUCCAAACAAAAACAUGGAUCAAUUUGCCACAAAAGUACCAAGGAGAUAUAGAAAUUAUAGUUACCUUCCUCGAAUUCCUAUUAAAAAUUUUUGCCAAAAUUUUUAAAUGAAAAUAUUAAUUUAAAAAAUUGGAUUUUGAUUUUAUUUGUCAGAAAUUAAAAUGCAUACGUUUUAUAUAAAUUAACUAAUAUUUUUUAUAUAUCAAAAGGUGUUAAUGUCAAUUACACGUCUCAAAUGCAACGCUACCGUUCUACAACUUAUUUUAUCUAUUGACAUUUUUUGAUUUACGCAUUUUGAUUAUUUAUUUUAAUGCUUUUUUAUUAUUUUGAGCAAUAAAUCUCGAUAUUAUAAUUGGAGAAGAGAUUGAAUCAAGAAUAUUUUUCAAGGGUUCUAGUACGAUUAUUUGUGUAAUUUAACUGAUUGUGGAUAAGUUAAAAUCAAGAAUAUCUCAUUUAUUUUAUUCCAUAAUAACUUAUUUGAUUAGGGAGAAAUUUCAUAUAUUCAUUCAAAUCAAACUACGAUGCUUAUAUAAAGACUUGUGUUUCAACUUUUGGCGGAGAAGGUGAGAUCGCUUAUAUGUUCAAUGCUAGGAACCUGUUUUUAGGCAAUUACUUUGUAAACAUUGUUCUUCAUAUUCAAUUUGUCGUUUAAGUUUUUAAGAGAAAAGUCUUAGUGAGGAAUUGAUGUAUAGGAAUGAGAUUGCAACUUGACAAGUAAGUUGAAUUUAAAUAACGUCUUAUGCUUUUAAUUCAUAGCAGAUUACUUUCUAGAUAAAACCACACAGAAGUAGGAAAUUUUCUUAACUGUGUAAUUAACUUUUGUGUACAUCUCCAAUUGUUGUUCUUUUAAUUAGUAUAACCAGUUGCAAUUGAAUGUGCAACCGAAAGACAAUUUCACUGAAAUUUCAAAAAAAGAUAUAUGGAUUUCAAAUCAACCGCCAAAUAAGCAAAAACAAACUCAUGAGCUUGAAAACAAGUAUGAAAAAAAUUAAAUUUACUCGCAUUUUUAAAGAUAAAUUUUAAAAUUACACAUGAAUUUUUAUUUGUUACAAUUAUAUAUAUAAUUUUGAUUUUGAUUUUUAUUCUUCACAUUUUUUUAAAAAUAAAUCAAUUUGAUUAUUUUCAUAUCGAAUAAAUAUAAUUAUUGAUACAUGCAAUAAGUAAACUUAAAUGAUGUCAUGUGUCAUAGUGUUAAACUUUGUGAAAACCAAAUCGAAAUAAAAAUUUUAUGUAUACAAUUUAAAAAACAAAAUUCAUAUAUUAUAUUGCAGAAAAAUAAGCUAUGAUAAGCCCUUAAAUUUCAACCUUUGCAAAGCACUCAAUUAAUCCAAGAAUUUUGUCACUUGAGGGAUGAUUGGUUCAUAGAAUGUAAAAUUAUUUUCAGUAAUAGGAUUAUUUAAUACAUUACUAAGUAUGUUAUUUACUUUAUUUAGCUAAAAUUUAAUAUUUUAUUAUUUAAUUGAUUUAUUGGAAUUGCAUUUUACUAAACUAUUUUUAUUAUAAAAUUUGUUUUUUUUAACAAAUUUAUUCCCCCCCAAAAAAACCCCUUAAAAUGCCAAAUUAGACUAUGCUAGGAAUCCGAUUUUUAACAUAAGAAAAAAAAAUAAAAGAAUAAUUUUUAUUUUUAUUUUUAUAAUUAAAAUAAAAAAUUUUCUUAUCCAAAAUAUGAUAUUUGAAAAAAUUUACUUGACGGCGGCACAUUAUUAUGUUUUUUUUUAACAAUCACAUGAUAAGUUCUUUUUUUUUUUUUUUGACAUAAUACCUAGAACUAUCCAUAAUCUCUCCCCAACCUAUAAACAAGAAGAUAAUGCACUUCAACGCAUUCAAACAAACGUCUUCCUACAUUAACAAUAAUGCACAUACCGGUCGAAUUAAGACUCAAUCAACUAUUAUAUUUUGAAAGCUACUUCCUAGCAAAGAGGAAAUUCCUAGCCACAUAAUAUAGUCAAAUAUGGCUGCCAUUUAGUUUUCCUUUAAACGAAAACAUGCUGAAGAAAAGGAAAUAAUUCAGGGUUGAUAAAAGAUAUAUAUGGUGAUUUGAAUAUCAUACGAAUUUUUCUUAAAUUUUCUUUAGUUUUUUCUAUAGAAAGCUUGACUUAUGUUUGAGUAAAUAAUUUUUUUUAAAUGAAGAUUAAAGAAAAAAAUAUUAUGUGAAUCUUAAUAUUAUGUGCUUUUUUCCCAAAAUUAUUGUUUAAUUUUGAAUAUCAUAUGCUUUACCUAUGAAUUAUUGUUUAAUUAAUUAAUGAGAGUAACUAAAAGAGACUAAUAGAAAGAGGAGAUAUUGUAGAAUGGUCACUAUUGUCAUCUCUUCCUCUAUGUUCUAUUGUUUGUAAACUAAAUUAACUUUCAAUUUUUAAAUCUCAAAUUUUUUUUUUUGUUAUGAGUUUAAUUUAUUUUAUCAAAAAUAUUACUAACAAUUAUUUAAUUAAUUUAAUAUUACUGUUUUGAAGCUUAUUUGCUUUGUUAUUUGCGAUUUAAAUUGUCAUUUCGGUAGAAAAUUUCACUGAGGUCAUUUAACUUUCAAUCAAAUUCUUUUUUUUUCCUUUACAUGAUUUUAGGUUUUAUUUCCAGCUAUGACGAUUAUAUCAAUUUGGUGGACUAACUUACCCUUUAGCGUUCUUUUAGUAGCUGACUUAAUUAUUUGGUUAAUGGAUUCAUAUUUUAUAACAAGGACAAUAUAGUAAAAUUUAUUUUUAGGUUAUCUUACAUUUCAGCUAAAUGAACCAAAUAAGGUAAUCUCACAUUCCACCCGUAAUUUUACACCCCAUAAUCAUAUUAUAGAACGUAAUUUACGAUUCGACAAACCAAACACCCUCUUAGGGUUAAUGUUUUGUUAGGUUUUCUCAUAGGAACCUUACACUCAUGGAUAGUGAGGUAAAUUUAAAUUUUCAUUUCCCUCUUCAAAUAAUCAAAAAUAGAUUACGAUGUACAUUGAUGCAAAUUACAAUUUACAUUUUUUAAAAUUUUUACGAAGAUCUCAACCGCCAUGAAUGCCAAGUUCUCUUUAAAUAUUAUCCACACCUGUUACAAAAUAAAUUAAAUUAAAUUAUCAUAAUUAAAAUUUUAAUGUUUAACAAAGAACUCAAUAUUAAUUUACUAAUUGAGUCUUAGUGCAGUUGAUAUCAGCAUUAUUGUCUAGAGCAGGAAGACGUGAGUUCGGACGUACUAAAGCAUAUUUAUUCUCUUAUUUAAAGGUGGGUAGAAAUUAUAGAAAAUUUUAAGUAUGAUGUUAAAAUACAAUAACUCAUAUCAAUUGAACUUUUUUUUUUGGUAACAAGAAAUUGAAUUAUUAAACUAACAGGAUGUAGCAGGAGUCGAAAGCACAGACAUGUUAUCCAUCCUUAACUGGUGACGGACUAAAGAGGGAGCCCUAUGGAACAUAUGGACACCAAACAGGAAAUCCUUCAUUAUUCCGGCCAACAAGUGAGUGACAAAAUUCACUACCUUUAGGAUCUGCUCAAAGACAACACUCCAAUCUCGACUGCAUAACUCAUGAAUUCUUAGAACCAAAUCUCUAUGUAAAUACCCUCUUAAGUCACCAUUGAUCUUUCUAAUAGCAAGUGCACAAUUCAUUUCAACAACGAUAUCUCUUCAUUUAGCACCCCACACCAUAAUAAGACCUCAUAAAUUAUCCAAAGCUCCGCUUUCUCUGCACACACUUACCAGUAUUUUUACCUACCACAUACACCCAAUUGUCAUAUUCACCUCUCAUCACUGCUGUUGAUGCGGCUAAACCUGAAACUGAAUUACUAAUACCGUCAAUAAUGAAACCUGAAAGAGGUGGGCUCUCCUAUUCCGUCUUCUGGUACCUUAAUAAUUCUAUAAUCAUUGCCUCCAUCUCAAUGGUGUGCAAAAAACUCGCCACUCUCCCAAAAGAAUUUUUUUUUUUUAGAAAUUAAUUUCCAGAAAAACCUAUUUUAAGUUUUAAUUAUUUUUUUCUACAAUAUUGAUGUAAAAAAAAAUCUAGAACUUACUACAUAUACAUGAGAAAUUAUGUACAUUUGGGUCUAACCCAGCCGCCGUACGUCAUCUCUAAUUCUCGCCUUAAUUUCCUUUUUUAUUAUUAAAAAAAUCCUUUUCCCCAUAAUUUUAAUUCUUUUAAGAUAUUUUGUCCUUUAGUUCUUGCCUAUAUAAUUAUAAAGCGUAGGGUUCCUCAAACCUUUAUUGGAUCAAAUCAUAGGUUUAUCAAGAUCACUUGUCAGUUUAAAGCAUUUACAAACAGAACGGCCUUCAAUGGAGGAGUUCUUUCAAUAUCAUUCAAGCUCUCAAUCACUGUUUCGAUUGCCGUCGCCGUCGACGGAGACUUUGCCAGGCUUCUGGGAUGAGCUUCUUCUCAACUUCAAUGACUUCGAAGAAAUGGUUUGGGAUGAUAUGGCUGCGGCGGCCCUGGAUAAGUCCAAGAACUCCGUUAAUGGCGUAAAGGAAGAACGUGUCACAUCGGAUAUUCCUAAAAUGGAAGAGUUACCCAAGGAAGAGAAAGCUUACAGAGGUGUAAGGAAGCGACCGUGGGGGAAAUACGCGGCUGAGAUUAGGGAUUCAACGAGAAAUGGAGUUAGGGUUUGGCUUGGAACAUUCGACAGUCCCGAAGCCGCCGCUUUAGCUUACGACCAAGCGGCGUUUUCGACGAGAGGACCAUCGGCGACGCUCAAUUUCCCGGUGGAAGUCGUCAGGGAAUCGCUUCGGAGCAUUAAGUACCGAUGCGACGAAGGGUGCUCGCCGGUGUUGGCGCUGAAGAAAAGACACUGUUUAAGGAAAAGAUCGAAGAAGAAUAAGAUGGUGAGCCCACAAAAGGAGGUAAUUUCAAGAGAGACACGACAACAAAAGAACUUGGUCGUGUUGGAAGAUUUAGGAUCUGAUUACUUGGAACAACUUCUAACUUGUUCAUCUUGAAACCUCACUCAGGUUCUUUUGUUUCAUAUAUAUAUCUAUACCCGUUUCUUCACUUUCAAACAAUAUUGUUCUUAGUUCUUCUUGGUUUCAUUGAAUCUUUGGAGGGGAUGAUUUUCCAUGGCUGUUAACUGCUUCUUCCAUGGAUAAAAUGUACUCUUUUUUUUCUUUUUUUUUUUUUUUCUCAAUUUUAAGUUUUUGUAAUGUUAAAAUAUGGAAAUAUAUGAGUUUUACACUAAGGUAAAUAGAUCUCUUUAUAGUGAUAAUAUUAUAUACUAAAUAUAAUAAUUUAUCUUUUAAUUAAUUUCAAAGUAUUGAAUAAAAUUAUGGUAUAAACUAGGAAUCCACUUAAAUUAAUAUUUUAACAAUAUAAAAAUAAUAUAAUUUUUAAUGUAAAACAACAAUAUAACUAUUGGGUUUAGCAAUAUUUGAAAAGAAGGCUCUAAUGCUAAUCUUAACAAGAAAAAGCUUUUUUAUUCUCCCUAACUCUUUCAUUUUGUUUUCUUUUAUGCAUAAUUGCAUCGGAGUUCAUUGUCAAGUUAAUCUAGUAAUGAGUAGUUAGGAUGUAAUUUUCAUAUUAAGUGUAUAAGGUUUUUAUAGGCAUAUUCAUAUAUAACAAAUAAUUAAAUAUUUUUUAUUUUCUUAUCAUACUUAAAUCGUGACAAAUUCAAUUAUCAACGGUUAACGUGCUAUGAUGUUUUAUUAAUAUUUUUUUAAUUUUUUUAAAUCAAAUGAUACCAUUCCUAUAAUAGAUUUCCUUUUAAAAACUACUAAUAAUCAUUGUAAAUAAUAAUCUUGAAAGAAAUUCAUUGGUUAUUGACCAUUGACCAGGCUUGUGGAAUUCAAGCAAGACCAUUGAGUCAUAAGGUUGAACCUAAGCUACCAGAUUUGUCUGAAUCUAACUUUGACAUUUACUAGUUACAACAAAUAUUUAACUUCAAAACCCAAAGUUAGAAUUAAUUGAUUCACGAAUCAGCAUAAAUAGAUUUUUUCUAAUUUUUAACAUGUUUUUAAUUUUAUAAUAAUUAUUUUUAUUUAAAAAUCCAUCUAUCUAAAGAUGGGAUAGUGAAAAGGAGGCGAAAGUGACCAUCUGUCCCUUUACAGGUAGUGAUGUUCAAAUCAUCUAAACUUAACCCUAACUUUUGCAUUUUUUUAAAAAUAGAAUUGAUGGGAAAAUAUUAAAUAAAUAUUGCUACGUCUGCAAAAUCAUCUAGUUUGAAUAGGUUGUUCAUUAGCUAAGCUCCAUGCGAUCUGAUCUGUAUUCUUCAAACAAAUUAAUCAUUUACACUGGUUCAUGCAUCUUACCCCAGAAUAUUUCAAACAAAUUUGUAUAUCAAUGGCCUCAUCCAUGAUGAUGAAAGAUCAGAUUGGAUUAUUCAGUUUAAUAAAAAGUAAUUAUAACAUUAAUCAUUUACUAAGUUAAUUUUAUCUGUGGUUAGGUUGAUGCCACGUAAUUUUUUAGGCAUUUAUUAGUUUUCCAUAUGCUUUCAAACUUUUUUUUUAAAUGUGUAUUUAAAUUGAACUUCAACCCUAAAUGCUAUUCGUUUUUCAGAAGAAUGUUGGUCAAACGAAGAACAGAAGUAGAAGGGAGAGAUCAGUGUCAGAAAACAACAAAAUAGACGGACUCAGUAAGAUUCAAGUUUGCUAUCAUGUAAACCCAGAGAAUCAAGAAACACCUAAAACCCCAAAUCCACUCAAAAUCAUCCCAGAAAAUUAAAAAAAAAUCUAAUAACAAAAGGAUAUUUUACACAUACUGUAUGCCAUGCUUCUUGUCCCUGCCUUUCCAUUGUUUCCUCUCCAUAAACAAACAUUACAUAGUUUCUUUGAUUUUUUCUCUCUCAAUCAAUCCUAACCCUAAGAUAGGGCGUAGAUUGGCCCAAAAAUGGUAAAAUUGCUUUAUAGCUUUGGCUUCCAAAAUAUUAUCAUUCAUCUCUAGUCUCUACCUCUCUAAAUUAAUUUUUCUGGUUUCCUCCCUGCAUAAAACCUAGACUUUGAAAUUAAUGUUUUCAAUCCUAACCCUUACACUAUUGGUCUCAAUCCUUCUCUUUUUCAAAAGUUUUCAAGAACCCUAAAACUCUGAACAAUAUUCACCCUUUCUUUCCCUAAAUUAACUUAGGCACUUGACACUUGAGUAACCCAGAGUAUAACCCUAAGGUCAAAAGUCAAAACCUGGGCUUAAUAUAUUAAAACAACACCAACAAAAAUUUUACUUACCCACAUGGAAAAUGGAAAAUUACGUGGAAAUUACAAAAUUCUAGUUGGGUCAGUUCAAUUAAAAAAUAUUAAAAAUUCUAUAUUUGGGCACAAUAGUGUGGGAUGAAUCAUAAUGAGGUUAAGCUAAAUGUUCAUGCCUCUGGUACUCGAGUUUUCUUGCCAGCUAAUUGGGUGCACUUAUUCACUAAUGGUGCGGUGGAUAGAGGGUCUGGAGCUACAUUUGCUGGUGGACUGUUGCGAGAUCAGAAUAGAGAUUGGGUCUUGGGUUAUAACUAUUAUCUUGGAAAAUGUGCAGUCUUUGAGGUUAAACUAUGGGGCAUUUUAGAUGGCAUGCUUAUUUUACUCAGUAAAGGUUAUAAUGGAGUUAUGAUUCAUACAGAUAAUUUGGAGGUAGUUCACGUCCUACAGGAUAAUUUGUUGGUGACGUCGGGCAUUAUAGUCCUCAAGAGAGUCCAACGGAUCAUGAGAACUGAAAAGCAAUGGUUGAUUCGGUAUGUUCCCAUAAAAGAUAAUCAAGUUGCUGACUAUUUGGCCAAGUUGAAUUUAGGUGUGAGGACAUGCUUACAAGUUUAUGAUGAAGUUCCUCAUGUUACCUUAGAAGCUCUAAAUCAAGAUAAAGCUAAGAGUGCUUUUGAUCAAUUUAAUUUGAUGUAAUCUUUGUUUUUUUUUAUCACCAAAAAAAUAUAUAUUAAAAAUCAGUCAAAAAAAAACUAAAAAUCAACUCAAUUGAUUUUUUAAUCGGUUCAACAAGUUAGCGGUUCUAUUGGUCUAAUAUCAUUUUUCAAAUAAAUAUUUUAACUAAUUCUUGAUACAACUGGUUCGAUCGGCUCAAUUGAUUUGAUGAAUUGAUCUGGUUCAAUUCAAAUAUCACUGAUUUUUGUUGCUAAACUAAUGGCACUUUUAAGAUGAAGUACAUAAAAUAUUUUAAUUUCGAAAAGUUAAAUGAUUAAAUUAAAAUAAUAAUAAUUGAGAAGAUAAAAUAAAUCUAAUUGCAUAGGACAACAUUCUUACAAGUUACCCAUUAAUAAAAAUGGGUGGUUCAUUCAGUCAAUACAUUCAAUCGAUAAAAAGAUAAGUAAGAAAUAUGUAAAAAUCGAUUUUUGGUAUGUUUUAUUAAAUUUACUUUUCAAUUCAUAAAGUUUCAACUUUUAGCCUUCUGCGGGUAUUAAACACAAAUACAAAAUUAUAUUAAUUAAUUAAUUAAUUAUUAUAUUUUAUAUUUAAAUUAAUUUAUAUUCGAGUUAUCCAAUUUAAUUGAUUCUACCAGGAAACUAAAUGAAUUGGUAUCUUGUUGAUCACACUAGUUUGACAUUAAGUACGGUUUUUUGUCAAUGCAAUUUUUGUAUUAUAUAAGCAAAACUCAAAAGUUGUCAUGUGUCUUAUUUAUUUAUUACGUCUUAAAGGGUACAUGUCAUCCUUUUAAGUCUUAUUUGUGGAGACUAAAAUUUCAAUUUACAGUCUAACUAUUAGAGAAUGUAGUAAGUGAUUCUUUAAGAUUUUAAGAUCAAUUUAUUGUGUCGGAGCACUGUUUGUUACAUCCUAUAAGUCAUCAUCUUAAGGAUCAGGAUGCUACUAGUUCGAUUUGGUUCAGUCAAGUUUUUUUUUGGAAAUUUUAAACUAUCUAUCAUUUUAGUUCGAUUCAAUUUUUUUAUAUUAAUUUUUUGAUUUUUGAUUUUUAGACUUAUUUUAAUAAAAUGUGCUUUUGUUUUAUGGUUUUUGAAUAUUAUUCGACAAAAUGUAAAACUCUUUUCAUAAAUGUUUCUAAAAUAUAAUAAUUUUUAAAAAAAUAUUAUAAAAUUUUAUAUCAAUAACUGUGUUAAUAAUUUGUGAAAAUUGAAUUAAAUUAAAAUUUUACGUAUAAAAUUACAUAAAAUCAAAAUUCCUGUUUAAAAUUACAUAUUAAACCAAAAUUCAUUGAUAAAAAUUUAUCCCAAAAUAAAAACAUUCAAAGUUAAAAUAAUAAACGUAUUUUAAUUUUAAAGCAAUUAUAUAAAUUCUAAUUAGAAAAUUACAAAAAUUAUCGUUAUAAAAUUUACAAUACAAUGUAUUUAACUUUUUAUUUUAUCAGUAUCUUAUAUAGUAAAAACACUUUCUAUCCAACCCAUUCUACGAACAAAAAUUAUGUAAAAUUUGGGUCAAACCCCGCCGCCGUACGUCAUCUCUGAUUCUCAAGUUAGUAUUAUUAUUAUUAUUUCAGAAAAAUACUUUUCCCAUUAUUUAAAUCUAUGUUCUUUUUAGAUGUUUUGUCCUUCUAAUUCUGGUAUAUAAAGCGUAGAGUAUCUCAAACCUUGUCGGAUCAAAUCAUAGGUUAUCAGUACCAGUUUUCAGUUUAAAUCAUUUAUAAAGAGAACAGCUUCAAUGAAGGAGUUGUUUCAGUAUCAUUCAAGCUCUGAAUCAUUGUUUAUAUCGCCGUCGCCGUCGUCGGAGACCUUUUCAGGUGGCUGGGAUGAGCUUCUUCUUAACUUCAAUGACUUGGAAGAAAUGGUUUGGGUGGAUAUGGUGGCGGCGGCCUUGGAUUUGUCCAACAACUCCAUUGGACAUUCCUAAACUGAAAGAGUUACCCAAGGAAGAGAAAGCUUACAGAGGUGUAAGGAAGCGGCCGUGGGGGAAAUACUCGGCUGGGAUUAGAGAUUCAACGAGAAAUGGGGUUAGGGUUUGGCUUGGAACAUUUGACAGUCCCGAAGCCGCGGCUUUAGCUUACGACCAAGAGGCGUUUUCGACGAGAGGAUCAUCGGCAACACUCAAUUUCCCGUUGGAAGUAGUCAGAGAAUCGCUUCCGAGCAUUAAAUACCGAUGCGACGAAGGCUGCUCGCCAGCGUUGGCACUGAAGAGGAGACACUGUUUAAGGAAAAGAUUGAAGUGAGCACACAAAAGGAGGUAAUUUCAAGAGAGACACGACAACAAAAGAACUUGGUCCUGUGGGGACAUUUAGGAUCUGAUUACUUGGAACAGCUUCUAAACUUGUUCAUCUUGAAACUGACGGACUUCCGACAAGAAUGGUCAUAUGUUAGAGACAGACCACUUUUGUCUCCACUUCCCAAGUAUCUAACGAGAUAGCCCGACCCUUCCUUCGGUUUCAAACAUUGUUUUCGGUUUCAUUGAAUGUUCGAGGGUUGAUUUUUCAUGGCUGUUAAUUGAUACUUGUAUGGAUAAAAUGUUUCUUUUCAAUUUUGUAAAGUUGAAACAUAUAUUUAUAUAAUGAUAAUAUUAUAUUAAACACAAUACAUUAAUAAGUGGUAGAGGAUUCGAUUCUUAUUUUGGUAUGGAGUAAUUUUUUUGAUGUUAACCUUGGAUAAAUGAAUAAAUUUAAAAUUCGUGUCCAGCAUCUAUCUCUUAAUGAGUUUACAGAAUACGAAAGAUUAAUUAUUGAACUCGCUCCGAUAAAUACAUUGAGAAAUUAAAAAAAUCUACUUAUAUUAAUUGUAAAAUUAAAUUUGUUUAAUAUGCUUCUUUUUUUUUAAUAAUAUUUUAACAAUAUAGCUUAAUAGUAUGUAAAUGCACUCAUCACAAAGGUAAAGCUUUGAAUCAAAAAUAAUAUUUGUAUUGAUCAUGAAUGUUACUUUAUCAAUAGUUUUUUUUACAUUAGGAAAACAGUUGGCUUUUAAUUUCUCAAAAUUCAACUAUGUUAAUAAAAUAUAAAACAUGACCAUCGUAUUAUUAAAAUAUCAUAAAAUAUAUAUAAAAUUACUUUAAAAAUUUUAUACUAAAAUAUAACUGCACCACUUCUUGUUAUUAUUACAAUAAUCAAUUAAAUAUAAUAAUCUUAAAAAAGAUCAUCUACGACAGCAAAAUCCAUUGUUUAUAGGCCAUUGAUGAGAUUUAUAAAAACCCAAACGAGUUCUUUUGGGAUUCAAAACUAAAAGGUCAAAGUGUCAAGCAGAUUGUGUUUUGAUCUCUUUACAUUGAAAAAUUGAGUAAAUUAAUUUUUAUACAUUUUGAAAGGUGUAAAUUAGUUCAUCUAUUAAAUUUUAUUUGUUAAAUGAUGACGUAAAACAUUAAUUUAAAUUGUUAAUUACGAAUUUAGUCUCUGAACUAUAACUAAAAUAUUAUUUUGAUUUUUUUAAAAAAUUUUAACUAUAAUUUUUAAAAAAUUAAAAAUAAUCUUAAAAAUAAAUUUUUUUGCAUGGAAAAGACGUGACAUUGCCUCUUGCCAUGUGCUGGUCAAACUUCAAAUAUCCUUCACCCUAGACCAGUUCAUGAGUUGAACUAUCCGUCUAAGAUCAAAGGCUCACCUAAAAUUUGAGAGAGUUUGGAUAAAAAUAUUAGGGCCGUUUAACCUAAGGGUUGGACUCAGGCUUGAACAUUCAAUGAUCGAGCCUGGCCCGAGCCCGACCCAUUUUUAAGUUUAUAAUACUUUAUAUUAUGUUAUAUUUAUUUAUUAAGUAAUUUAUAAAACAUUAAAAAAAUAAACCUAUAUUAAAUAUAUAAUACUACUCUAAUGUAAACAUUAAAAUAAUGUGAAGAUUAUUAUAUAAAAAAUUUCAAUAAAUAAAAUUAUUAAAUUAUUAAAUAUUAAAUUAAAAUAAUAUGGGUGGGCCUAAAAUGGGGUUGGGUUAGUCUUUUGCAAAUAUGGACGAGUUUGGGCAAACAUAAAAUAUAUAAAUAUCAUGCAUAGGCACGACCUGAACACAACCCAGUCCGGCCCAUGAACACCUCUACUUCACCCACUGAGUUGGAAAUUUUACCUUGAAACGAUAGUUGGCCACCACCAUCAUUGUUUCUUCAUUAAAGGCCUUCCAAAGAGGGCAUUAUAAGCAGGGGAGAAAUUAGAAAAAAAAUUUAGGAGGCCAAAAUUAAAUUGUAAUUUUUACAAUAGUAAAAAUGCAAUUUCACCGUUUUAAUAGCCUCUAUCUUUAUAAUUUUUAAAGAAUUAAAUCAAAAUUUUAUCAUUUCAGGGGGGCCAAAGUACAAUUUUACCUUUACUAAUUUAAAAUUUUAAAAAUUUCAAAGGGCCUAAAUAAAAAAUUUUCCAUUUUAAGGGGACAAGGCCCCUGCCAGCCUCACUGGUUUCGCCCCUGAUUAUAAGAUGUUGGAUGGUCCACAAUUAGAAACUCAACCAUAUUUGUGAUUGUUCAAUCAUCAUCACCUAUUAUAACUGGUAACGUAAUUGAUCCUCUGACUUCAAUCAGCUGAUUAAAUGCCUGCUAACUCAACUCUUCCAUCACACGUCCAGUAUCAAUCAAAAUCCUCUUAACUUCAAAUCCUACAAUCAUUGCUGAAACUACCAAAGGAUCAUUGCCUUCUAGAUCACUCAAUUAGCUUCAUCUUGAUCAAAAAAUCCAACUUUAUGGGGUAUUGAUAAAUUAAAUAAAGUGUAAAACAUUAGAGGUAUCGAAAAAGGGAAUUAUUUAAGUUCAUACAUGUCAUGACCUAUUUUUAUAAAUGUUUGGUAUUGAUAAAUUGAAUGGAAUAAUUGUAUAGAUUAAGAAUUGGAUCAAACCGAAGAUAAUCGAGGAAAAGCCAAAAUUGUCAAUUAGUCAUUGAAGAUUCAAUUUGUGUGCUAUUUUGAUCAGGCAAGUACAUAUGGAACUUACCACUCAAUUUUUACUUUAUGUAUGAACGGUAUUUGAAUUUACACUUGUAUAUAUAUGAACUAAGUAGAAUUAAUGAAUUUGGCACUUAUAGCUCGAAAUGGACUGAAUUGUAAGUUCAUGUCAGUAUUGGUAUAGAAAUAGAACAAGAUGUAAAUGUGAUUGUUGACUGAUUAUUUGUGUUAAAAAUGAGAAUUAAAGUUAUGUACAGGAAUUGGUUUUGACAUUUAUACGAAAAUGAUGCACGAGUAUGACAUGCUAUUAGGAUUAUACACGUAAUUAAUCAGGGAUUUAUAUGUUAUUACGAGAUCUAGUAUUUGUUGCAGAUUCUCGGGUUAUACAUAUCGUUGGUUUAGCCCGGACAGGUAACCUUGAUACAAUGCCAGCUUGUCUGAGAAAUUUUGUUAAAAUGGUAGCUUAUGUAAGCAACCCUAAUAUAUGUCAACUUAUGUAAGCAAAAUAUUCUCGUGUAUCUGAGUCUGCUUUACUGUAGUUCCAUCGAGUGAUGUUCAAUUGAUUGGAAAUAAAAUUUAAAUCAUGAAAUGAAAAUAAAAUAGUGUUAAUGAUACCUGACAUAUGAAUUGUUAUAUGAUUAUGUUUUAAAUGUUGGCAAUACUUACGAUCCGAGAAUGUAACUAACACAUUCGAUUUGUGGUGAUAUUAUACAUAGAGAUAUGUCUUAAUGUGACAAGGAAAGUUAAAUCGGUAGCCAAAUGAAUAAUUGUUUAUGCUUUAAUGAUCAAAGGUUCAUUUUUAUAUUUUUUCGCUAAUAUUAGGGAUUCAGCUUUCUAAAAACCCUAUAAAGGUUUUUCUAACCUUUCUAUUUUUUGUUCUAAGGUUUUCUGGCUAGAGUAGUUGUAACUAUCAUAAUAAUAUUCAUCAUAGCUAUCAUUCAUAUCAAUAUCAUCUACCACAUUUUCAUUACCUUGAUUUGCAUGUUGAUGAUUGAGAUUUGAAUGGGUAGAUUUAUCCCCUCCAUGCCUUGGUUUUUUUAUCAUAAUUCAUCCUACCUACUUUUAACUCCCCAAUAAGCUUUACGUUUCUUUCAUUUCUUUUGUCUACUUGCCUUUAUCUAUCUAUUUUCUCUUGGAUAAACUUUUCCUACUCUUCAUAUCUCUUUUACUGGGAGGACAUUUGUUUCUACUUAGCUGUUAUUCUCUCUUGCAUGUCCAGAUUUUGUUGACCACCUAACUGGUGAUGCUGAGAUCCUUGGUCGGUUGGUGAUGCUCUAGCAUGAUGUUGAUUCUGGGGAUUGUAAUACCAUGGGGUAUUGGUAGAAUUGUUGAUAUGGAUUUUGUUUAUUUGGUUUUGAGGAUUGGUUUGAUUUUGCGGGUUGGUCUUCUGGUUGUCAAGCAAGGGGUUUGGGUUGUUCUCUUUUGAUCGAUGUUUUCUCCUAUGUUAUGAUCAGUAGAAUCUAUAACUUGGUUACAGGUGGGAUCAAACUUAGUGCUUGGAGGAUUACUUACACCUAGGUUCGUCAUGGCUGUCCACAUUCACUGCACUAAUUGUUAACUAAUGGGGUAAAUAAUGGAAGAAGAUGGUGAUUGGAAGAAGGGAUGAUCGAUGAAAGUGGAGAGAGAGGUUUUUGUUUUUAGAAAUGUAAAAACAAAAUGUCGAUAAUGGCAAUAUAGAACGAUCGCAAAGGAAAAAAAAGAAAAAUAAUAAGAACACAUAGAUUUUACGUAGAAACCCUUUUGGGAAAAAAACAUGGGCAGAGGAGAAAAAAGUUCACUAAUGUUGAAAUUCGAAUAAUACAAGAGGAGUUUCAACUACUUCUAUUUAUAGGUUGAAAAACCUUAUUCUAAUCAAUGCCAAAUAGAAUGAGAGAAGUACUAUACGGAUCUACUUGUACAAUCAAUAUCAAAUAGAAAUAGAAAUAGAGUAGUUCUAUAUGAAUUUUACUUGUAUUUUAUAUUAUUUUAUUUUUUAACAGGAAUUUGGGUCACACAACUUUAAUAAUCUCCACCUUGACACGAAUUCUCAACAAAAAAGUUCUUCACCGUGAACUCUCAACGAAUAAGUUCUCCACCUCUUCCACAAAAACCCUUAAGGGGUAAUCUUCAACAAUAUACACUAACCAAGUCCAAGCAAUACUCAAACUUGGUUAUAAGAAGUGACUUAGCCAUAAUAUCUACAGGAUUAUCAUGAGUACUAACUUUUCUCACAACAAUAUCACCACGAGCAAUAAUAUCACACACAAAAUGAUAUUGAACAUCAAUGUGCUUUAUUCUCUCAUAAAACAUUUGAUCCUUCGUAAGGAAGAUGACACUCUAGCUGUCACAAAACACUGUACUAAUCUAAAAGUCUUUAUUGAGUUCACCAAAGAGUCCCUUUAACCAAAUAGCUUCUUUACAAGCCUCAGUAAUUGCCAUGGUCUUAGCUUCAAUAGUAGACAAGGCAACUGUAGUUUGCAAAGUGGCUUUCCAACUAACUGCGCAACCUUCAAUUAUAAAAACAUACCCUGUGAGAGAUCUUCUUUUAUCAAGGUCUCCAACAAAAUCAGAAUCAACAUAUCCAAUGACUCCAUCUCUAGUUCUUCCAAACUGCAAAAAAACAUCAGUAGUACCUCAUAAGUAUUUAAAAAUCCACUGAACUGCUUUUAGUGUUCUUUACUGGGAUUUACCUUGUAUCUACUAACUGCACUAACUGAAUAUGACAAAUCUAGACGUAAGCAAACCAUAGCAUACAUGAAAGAUCCCACUGCACUAGAAUAUAGAACACGUGACAUGUAGUCAAUCUUAUCAUUUAAUUGUGGAGAAAAAGUCAAUAAAAGUCUGAAGUGGGCUGCUAAUAGAGUACUAACAAACUUGGCAUUCUGCAUAUUGAAUCUGCAACUAACUUUCUCAAUGUACCAUUUCUGACUUAGGUACAAUUUACAUGAUUUUCUAUCUCUGAGAAUCUUCAUCCCAAGUACCUUCCUUGCUACUCACAAAUCUUUCAUCUCAAAUAAUCAAACCUCUUGUAUCAUUGUCUUGGUGACUGUUUCAAGUUAUAAAGGGAUUUUUUCAGCAAGCAAACAUAGUUCUCCUUAUUUGAGACUUGAAAACCCUCUAGUUGUUGUAUAUAAAUAUUUUUGUCAAGUUUUCAUUGCAAGAACGUUAUUUUUACAUCUAAUUGUUCAAGCUCCAUAUCAUACAUAGCUAAAGCAAGGCUCGAAUCAAAAUAUGCUUCACAACUAGAGAAAACACAUCUGUGAAGUCUACAACUGGAGUCUGAUUGUAACAUUUUACAAUAGUCUUGCUUUAUAUUUGGGUUCUUCAACUUUUAAAGUCCCCAUUUCUUUUUGAACACCCAUUUACAAUAAAUAACCUUUUUACCUUUAGGAAGCUUUACUAGAUCUCAUGUUCUAUUCUUAUAAAGUAAUUCCAUCUCUUUUUGCAUAGCAAUCAUCCACUUUCUUGAAUCUUCGCAGCUAAUUGCCUUAGAAUAAGUAGAUGACUCUUAAUUUACAUUUAUAUCUUCAGCCACAUUUAAAGCAUAAGCAACAAGAUCAACCUCAGUGUUCCUCUUUGGAGGUUUAAUUUUUCUUAUAUGUAUAUUCUUGGCAAUAGCAUAUUGUAUACUCUAUUGUAGAUCUUGGAUCAAUCUGAAGCUCCACCUACUUUUAUUGGUCUUUAUUGGAAGAGUCUUUAAAAGAUAAGUUAUGUAACAUACCAAUUUCAUAAAAAAAAUAACAUCUUUGCUAAUCACAACUUUUUUUUUAUUUUCAGGACACCAUAACUUAUACCCUUUAACACCAGCCUUAUAACCAAGAAAAACAAAUUUAAUGGAUCUAGGUUUCAAUUUCCCAUUAUCAACAUGAGCAUACGUAGGACACCCAAAAAUCUUCAAAUUAGAAUAAUCAACAGGAUUACUAGACCAUACCUCUUAUGGAGUCUUUUUCUCAAUGGCAAUAGACGGAGACUAAUUAAUCAAAAAGCAUGCAGUAGAGGUCGCUUUAGGCCAAAACGACUUCGAUAAACAAGAAUUCAACAACAUACAUUGAACCUUUUUCAAUAUUGUUCUAUUCAUCUGUUUUACAACGCCAUUUUGCUAUGGAGCAUGACGAACUGUCAAGUGUCUCACGAUCCUUUCUGAUUUGCACAAUUCAUUAAACUCAUCAUAACAGAAUUCCAAGUCAUUAUAUGUACGGAGGUGUUUUAUCUGUUCUCCUGCCUGUUUCUUGAUCAUAUUUUUCGAAGCCUUAAAAGAGGAAAACACAUCACUUUUCUGCUUAAAAAAGAAUACCCAAAAUUUUCUAGAAAAAUCAUUAAUGACCGUCAGCAUAUAAUUAGCGUCACACCUUGAAGGCACUCUUAAUGGUCCCCAAAGAUCAAAAUGAAUGUAAUCCAACAUUCCUUUUGUGUUAUGGAUUCCUCUAGUGAAUUGAACUUUCUUUUACUUCCUAAAAAUGCAGUGUUCACAAAAAUUCAGUUUGCAAAUGCCUUGUCCAUCAAGAAGUCCUAUUUUGCUUAAUUUUGUUAUGUUGUUCUCACUCAUAUGCCCUAAACGCAUAUGCUAAAGUCUAGUAAUAUCAUCAUCUGAUAAGGAAGAGGAAGCAACGGUUGCAUCACCAGUAACAAUAGAACAUUGCAAAACAUAAAACUUGAUAGUCUUUCUCUGCUCUUUCAUCGCAAUGAGGGAACCCUUGCUAAUCUUUAGAACCCCACUUUCAUUUGUGUACUUGUGCCCUUUUGAAUCAAGAAUACUCAAAUAAAUCAAAUGCAUCUUCAAUUCUAGUACUUGUCGUACACCACUAAGUGUUCUGACGAUUCCAUCGAACAUCUUAAUUUUGAUCAUGUCAAUACCUGUGAUUUUACAUGAAGUAUUAUUUCCCAUCAAAAUAACACCUUUAGACACUGUUUCAUAUAUUGUAAACCAAUCCCAAUUAGGACUCAUACGAAAGGUGUAACCAAAAUCGAAGAUCCACUCCUCGCUCGCUUUCGAGUUGUCGGUAGAAGCAACUAGGAGUUCACCAUCGCUAUAGUCUUCUACAACAUCAGCUUCACUGGAUUGUUCUGGUUGUUUUCCUUAUUGAUUCACAACCUCCCUUUUGAUCUUGUCUAUAACUUAUAGCACUAAGAUUUAAUGCGUCUUUUCUUCUUACAGAAGUUACAAGUUUUACAUCUGUUUGAAAAUAUCAAUCUACCUUUAGAUUUACUACGAGGAUUUCAUUCUUGUGUCCUUUCAUGAUUAUCAUCAAUAUUUCGUUCUUAUCUCCCAGAACAAUGAGACCCUCUCCUUGAGAGUAGGAUCCAACCACAAGGUGUUUCAUCUUGUCAUACGAGGUUAAAAAAGUAUAGACUUCAUCAACUGUGAGAGAUUCGUGACCAUACAAAAUUGUAUCUCUAAAGGUUGAAUAAGACAGGGGCAAUGAACAAAGUAGAAUUAACCCUAAAUCUUCUUUAUCAUACUGAACCUCUAUGGCCUCUAGGUCUACGAGAAUUUCUUUAAACAUAAUUAAGUGUUCGUAUACAUAUGCACCUUCCUCCAAACGAUGAGCAUAAAGACAUUAUUUCAUAUGCAACUUGCUAGUUUGGGUUUUCGACAUGAAAAGUUGCUGCAACUUUGCCCAUAUUGUAGUGGCGGUCUUCUCCUCAUCAUGUCCUAUAGAAUUGCAUUCAGUAAAUGCAAAUGUAAUUGCGUUAAAGCCUUUCGAUCUUUAUGCUUCUUCUCUUCCUCCGUCAAUGUCGAAAGCAUCUUACUCAUCCCUAUCAGGGCAUCCUCUAAAUCUAUCAACGCAAGAAUUGUCUGCAUCUUUAUCUGUCACAACGGGAAUCUAGUAUUGUGAUCCAACAACGGAAUAUCAUACUUCAGUGUUGCCAUUACCAUGAUCGAGAUAAGCAACCUGAAAAGCUUGAUACCAGUUUGUAAAAACUGAACGUCGAUAAUGGCAAUAUAGAACGAUCGUAAAGCAAAAAAAAUAUAAGAACGCACAGAUUUUACGCGAAAACCCUUUCAGAAAAAAAACCACGGGCAGAAGAGAAGAAAAUUCACUAAUGUUGAAAUUCGAGUGAUACAAGAAGAGUUUCAACUACUUCUAUUUAUAGGUUGAAAAGCAUUAUUCUAAUCAAUGUCAAAUAGAAGGAGAGAAGUUCUAUAUGGAUUCUACUUGUACAAUCAAUAUCAAAUAAAAGAAGAGUAGUUAUAUACGAAUUCUACUUGUAUUUUAUUUUUUAAUAGGAAUUUUGGUAACACAACUCUAACAGGCAAAGUAAGGGAUUUCAAGAGGAAGAAAUGUUUAGAUGAGUCUUUGUGAGUUGUUUGUAUGGCCUUUUUAUAAGAGGGGACAAAUUUGGAUACAUGUCCUAAGGUCACUGACAUAGAAGUCUGAUUUGAUACUCUUGGCAGUGACAGUGAUUCUACGUCCUAGGAUGAGACAUUUUAGGCUUACUAACAAUCAAUUACCUUGGGCCUCCACGUGGUUCUCAUAUAGUCUUAGUGAAGAUGUCCUUUUUUAAAGUUCGCCGAGUUGAGGCUCGCAAACUAAUAUGGAUGAACUGUGAGGUCCACAAGGUAUUUUGGGAGGUCCGCAAGAUUCGCUACAUAAGCUAUACUAAAAAAAAUUAUAUAUCAAAAUAUGAAACAAAAAAUUAUUGCCGACCUUCUUUAAGAAUUGCGUAAUUAUUUACAAAAGAAUAAAAAUAAUUAAUUUUUUUCUCAAAAAAAGAAUUUUUAGGAUUUGUUUGGUAAGGUUUGUUUCACAAAAUUCUGAAAAUUGUGUAAAAACAGAAAUUUCUAAGAUAAUGGAAAUAUAUUUUGUUGUUUAAUUAUUUUCUUAAAGAUCUAUAUUAAUUCUUUUCAGAUAAUACUAUUAACGUAAAUAUUAAAUGUUAAUUAUUAAAGUGUUUAUUGACAAAAAAAAUUGAUAUUUUAAUAUUAUCAUCAGGGGCGACGCGGGAGCUGACUAGCAAGUGAUUUGAUCUCUUUAAAGUGAAAAAUUGUAGGUUUGACCUUUUAAAUUUUAUAAAAUUAUAAGUUAAUACACGUUAAAAUUUUAUUUUGACCUUUUAAAAUGAUAAAUUUUUAAUUUAAUCUUUUAAAAAUUAUAAGGCUAAGAACUAAUAAAAUAAUAAAAUAAUAUUUUAAUUGUCAUAAAAAUUUAUAACUUAACUUAAUUUUAUCUCAUAUUUUAUGCAUUUUCUAUAAAUUUAAAGAGAUGAUGUAUGAAUAAAACAAUUUCAAGGUUAUUAUCAUCUUUCAAAGAAUACGGUAGGACUAAUAAAGAAAUUAUUAUUAUUAGUAGUAGUAGUAGUAGUAAAGGAAGAAUCUAAGUCUUCUUUACAUCAUGGCCGUAAUGGAAGCUUAAGAGUCAUAAAGAAAUGUUAGGUGAAGUUGCAUGUUGAUGUUGGCACAUAAAAAGUAAAAGUAGAUAAUAGAAAGUUACAUAUAUUGAAGUUGUAACAUUUCAGCCGAUUACAUGAAAUGAAAGGGCCGCCUUGUAAGACCCUUUCUUUUUAUUAUUCAUCCUCUAAACCCUAAUCUUUCAGUACCUCAACGAUCAACAACAAAAUCCAUGGCGGACAUAGCUCUGCAACUCUUUUUAUUACUUCCUACUUACGUUACCCUACAAAGAUCCCCCUGAUUUUGAUUGCAUUGGCUUCGGCUGGAGUUUAAGCAUCGGCCCUCCUCUCGGACUGUGAAGGAGUGAAGAAAAAGGUGUUUUUGUUGUUGAACUUAAUCCGCCUUGCAUCUUCUCUUGACACCUGAUACGACGCUGCCACCACUUCCUCCGGCAGUGCUCGCAUGAAGGAGACACUUCCAGCCAUUGGGGUGUUGGUGGCUUCGCUAUUGGUGAAGAAGGAAAUCCAUUCGGCUCCUUCGUUUCCUGCUUGUUUCAUGAACGCAAAGUUCUGUGGCACCGUCAGGAGCUGACCUUGCUCCACGUUAUCGUCGAACACUGCGUCGCCGUUGUGGUUCACCACUUGGACUCUGGCACAGCCUCUUAACAUGUAGAGUAUUUUGUGAGCGUUGACGUUCCAUUGUGGAAUCAAACCAGCUCUCUGCAAAAACAAAUGUUACAUACAGUGUUAUAUAUGAUUCAAUAUUUUAUUGAAUAUUGUUAAGAAAUAAAUGUCUCGAGCUUACGUUGUAGAGGACACCCCUCUCGGCGCUGAGCUCAAGUCGUUGGAGGAUGGGGAGGUUAAACCUGUUGAGGGUGGAAAUACGACCGGCUUGUGGGUUGAAAAUGUCGGCACGUUCAGGGUCAGCAAGGUUCUCCUUGAUCCUCAUGGAGCAGAAAGUUUCCUCGAGGCCAUUAUCUUGAGACCCUCCUCUCGUAUGGCGGUAUCGCUGCUCCUGCUGGCGCUCCUCACGUUCUUCUUCCUCCAUUCUGGGUGGUGUUACGACUUGGAGUCUGUCCCUGACUCUGAUGAUGGUGCCUCUAUUUCCUCGUACACGUUGGAUUUUCCUAAUGAUGUCGUGGUCAACGUUGAAAGCUUGAGCGAGGAAGUUUCUGUCGAAGGCACAGAGAAGGUUGUUGCAUGAUGAGCUUUCCCGCCCCUGCUCCUCCUCCUCCUGGUGGCGGCUGCGGCGGCUGGGGUUGUCUUCUUCUUCUUCUUCUCCUUCUCCUUCUUCUUCCUCAGACUCCUCCCCCCUCUCACUUCUUCCCUGCAUCUGCUGUGCUAGCCUCCUCAGUUGCCUCUGUUCCUCUUCUGGGUUACCAGCAAGAUGGAAUCUCUAUAACAUUACAAGAGAGAGAUCAUCAAAAACAAAAACAAAAAGUUAUGUAUAGAAAGGGAUUGUCAAAAUUAUAAAAAAUUAUAUACUCUAGGGAUGUUGUCGAGCUGAUUAGCACUGUUGCCAGUGUCAAGUAGAUUGAUAGUAACAACACGCUCAUUGCCAUCAUUGUAGCUCCAGUGAACCACACCCUGCGGCAAAGCAAUGAUGUCACCCUGGCGGAACCGUCGGACUUUCUGGUGCUGGUCCUGGAACCUGCCACGGCUUUGAUGCUGCCAUUGCUGUGAAUCCUGGAAUGUUUCGGCACAUCCAGGCAUCACAAUACCUUGAAUACCUCUUCCUGAAAAAACAAAUUUAAACAUCAUUUUGUAUUUUAUACCAACGAUAAUAACACCAUUAGUGACGCACUAUUAUACCUUGGACAAUGUAGAGAAGCUGAGGAGCAUUGGUGAAGGAAGGCAAAACAAGGCCAUUAGGUUCAAUAGUCUGCCUCAUUACAGAUACACCAGCACACCUGAGCUGUUGACAGUUGGGGUUCCACCACUCGGUGGUGCCGGCUUCGGAGCGAAUUCGGGUCUGGGGUGCAGAGGCGCGGAGCCUAUUGAUUUGACACUCAUUUUGGGACUGCUGUGACGAAAAGGUCUGGCGAGCUAGGCAGCCAUUGAAGAGAAAAAGAAGGGAAAGAAAGAGCAAAGAAGGGUUAAUCGCCAUAUCUACGUGUUGAAAUGGUUAUUUGGUGAAGAAGGGAGUGGAGGGAUAGUGGUAUUUAUAGGGGAGAAAGAGUGGAAAAGGAGGUCAGGGUUGUGUCGACACACAGCAGUUUGCAUGGGGGAGUUGAGGUUAAUGGCUUACACAUCAUAGACUGGGGGAGGGCAGGUGGCUCAAAGCUUCGAUGAAUACUUACAAAUAACAAUACCAGGAAAUGAAGAAGAAUCCGAAACCACGAUAUGUCGCCAGAUGAGAUUGGUUAAGGAGAGAGUCUUGAAUUUUGGUUACACUAAUCAAACCAAAAUGAUUCAUCAAUUUAUUAAUUAAGCGUUCAAGAGUUCUUUAAAACAUGAUUCAUUAUAUUAUGAUUUUAUUUAAAUUUCCAUUUUCGUUUAAAAAACAUUAAUUGAUUUUAUUGUUAAAAAUAUAUAUUUCUCCUCGUUAACUUGUACUUACUACAUAUAUUAAGAGUUUAAAUGAGAUCAUUUUAGUCUCACCAAAAAUCCAUUCAUUUCACAAAACAAUAAAUUUUAUUUUUACAGUAUUUAUAUAUUUUUAUAUUUUAAUUUGACCCUAAAUAUCAUUAAAUUAUAUUUAAUUUUUAACUUUUUACUAAUCUACAAUAAUAUAAAAAAGUGUCAAAAUUAUUUUAAUAACAACUAAAAAGGGUAAGGAGAGUGAAAAUGUGGUGUGGAGGCAGGACGUGAAGAACCUACGCAGGGAAUUACUUGUUUGUUUGUGAACUGUGAUGGUGUUGCGACAACUGGGCCGUAGCAUGUUAUACCUCUUGCCAUCUGUUUAAGCCAAGUUGUACUACAUUCUAUACGGUCGUACAUUAUUCCGAUAAUUGCAAUUUUUACGAUAUAAAAUAUAACUGAUGAGAACAAAAAUAAGUCAAACAACUAUAGUAGUGGUGGAAAGGGUAAUUUUAGAAUUCUAUUUUUUUGAUAUUCAAGUCCGUAAAUAUUAUUGUUUAAUAUAUAUGAGGUUAAUAUAAAAGUUAAUUAAAUUUUGGUAUCUUAAUUUUAUCAAAUUAAUAGUUAAUUAGGAUACAAAAAUUAAAUUGUAAAAAUUCAUUGUUAUAAAUUUUUAAUUAAUCAAAACACCAAUUGAGCAAUUGAACUACUAUUAUAUGACCAAACGGUGGUAGAUUCUAAGUGUUAUCCACUAAGAAAUGUUAAUUAUGCUUAAGGUUCAUUAAUUUAAAGUUAAUUUUAAUUAAUUAAUUAAUUAAGUGCACAAAAUGAAUGCAUUGAAGUGUAAGCUUAAAAUAGGUAUCAAAUGGCCUAAAAUGUACCAAAAAUAGAGUCCACAUUGCGACUUCAGCAAUGGAGCUCUGGAUUUCAGACCACGACGUGAUGAGGAACAUCGUCGUCACAACGAUGCCAAGUUAGUAUGUAACGUCGCGACGAGGAACCCCCUCAUGUCGCGACGUCAAUCCAAAAUUUUUAAAACUUUUACAAAUCGUUUCUUGUUUGAUUCCAGGCUAAUUUUAGAGCAUACGUAAGCUUGUACAAGACCCGAGAAAAGUUGUAUAUCAUGUUUAUGGCUUGAAAAUGUUAUGUUUGUAUGCAUUAAGCUGUGAAUUGAAAGUUAAAUGUUUGUAGUUGCUUCGACAAUGAAUGUGACAUCCUAUAGCUCGGAUCCAGUGAUCAGGUCGGAUGAGGUGUGUUACAAUUUGUUACUAUUUUUUAACUCUAUCAUUGUUCAUAUUCUUCUUCCUUAACCCAUUUUUUUCUCCACAUCACCCUGCUUCCCAAAUUGAGUAACUCUACUUAAAUGAAUUGAGGAAUAGAUUUAGCGAAUAUUUUGUGAAGCAGGAGUGUGGGAGGGUGGCGUGGAGAAGAAAAAAGAUUAAAUGCUAAAUUGGGAUCUAACUUUUUAAGGGUUGCUUAAAUAAAUGCCAAACCUUUUAACUAUUCAUAUAAGGCAUAAUCAUUAAAAAGUGCUCAAAUAAAGGUUUUCCAUGCACUUCAGUCUUGUUUGUAGUAAAAAUUAGGUGAAUGCUGACAUGUUUAAAAUAAAACACAUUACAACUGAAUUUGAUAUUGCUUGAAAAGAAAAUAAAAUAAUAAAAACAUCAACUGAAACCUAAUAUACGACAUUUGAGAAGUCCUUAUUUAAGCACUUUCGAAAAAAUUUGGCCUUUAUUUGAUUGUUUUGAAAGGUUUAACCUUCAUUUGGACGCUUUUUGUAAAUGUUAGGUCCUUAUAUAAGCAAUGUCUAAAAGGUUGGGCCCCAAUUUUAGCAAAAAAAAAAGGGUUAAGGAAGAGCAGGAUGAACAGUGGCAGGGUUAGAAUAGUAAAAAAUGAUGGCAUGGGCACAAUCAAUCGUUUUUAGAGGUUUCUUGGGUGAUUAAAAUGAAAGUACUCUCUAAUGGUGGUGAUUAAAUUGCAAGAAUUUUUAUUUAGGUGACAAAAAUAAAAGUGGCCUAAAAGUUGAGUUAUCAGCUAAGUAGUUUACCCUAAAUUUUAAAAAAAAAUUAACUUUUUGAAUAAUUUAUGUAUUAUAUAUGUUUUCUUUAUUUUCCAAUCAAUAUAAUAUACAUAAUAUUAAAAUUAAAAAAAAAACUGAUGCGGGGCAUUUUGAUAGUGUCACAUGUCAUCUUCUUUUUUCUUUCUAAUGUUGUAGGCCAAUUUAAGUAAUAGAUGAUGGUUUGAGUAUUAAAGAAAGCCCAAAAAAAAUUUAAAUAUUAAAAUGAGAAAAUAAAUAUAAUAGACGAAAGGAUGCAUUAAACAUUUUAAUAUAUUUUAUUAUGUUAUUUCCUCACGUUUUAAAUUAUUUUUAUUAUCCCCGUGAAUAGUUAGUUUUACCUAUCUAACCUUUUUUUUAGAUUUAAAAAUAAUAAUAAUUUAUUUAUUUUAAAUAUUAUUAUUUUUUAAAAAGUUUACAACUAAAAAUAAAAUUAAUCAUAAUUCAAUCACAAAUAUAUGCAAAAUCAAACAAUAAAAAACAUAAAAAGACUAGGAAUCAAAAUAAUUCGAACUAAAAUUAACCCUCUAAAUUAAAACUUACACAUAUUAAAAUUAAAGACCUACAAAUAAUAUUACUUGAAUUUAGAUACUCAAAUAUCUAAAACCUAGUCUUUGCGAAUGGUACUAAAGCUUCACAAUUAUUAUUAUUUAAAAUAAAAAUUGUAAAUAUGUUUUAAUAUAUAUAUAUAUAAUUAAUUAAUUAAUGUUUGAUGUAAAGUACAGAAAUCUAAGUUAUUUAUUAUUAUUGAAAGUGAAAAGGUCAAAUUACACUGGAAUCAAAAUUUAACUUUUGGAAUUUAAAUUAAAAUAGAUACCGUCCACGGUGGGACUCGAACCCACAAUCUCCCGCUCCGGAGGCGAGCGCCUUAUCCAUUAGGCCACGCGAAACCUUGUUCUAUGAGGGUUGAAUUUAUUAUUUAAAAUAAUAAACAUUGCGUAUACGUAUAUUUGUCAAGGUAAUCAGGUUUAGAUUCCAUAUUAGCCCUAUUAAGAUACGAGGUUGAAAUAUAACUAAAAAAUAUAUUUUUAUUAAAGAGUCACUUUCGAACAAUGUGCAUGUAUCUCAAUAACUACUAUUUAUGAAAUUUAAAAACUCAUUAUCAAUACUUUAUGAUUUUAAAGGGAUAGAAUUAUAAUGUAAAAGGGGAGAAUCUCAAUUAUUAAUGCACUUCCAAGAGGAAAAUCAUUGAAUUAUAAUGUACUUGGGACUUUUAUUUUUUGUUUGGUUGUCAUCAUUGCAGUGUUAGUUGAUUUCUAGUUAAAUAUCCAAUUAAACUAUACAACUUGACAGUACAAAGCAAUGAGGACUGCAAACAAAUACAUGUAAUUAUGUUAUCCAGAUUUACCAUCUUCUUUAAAAUAUAUAUAUAUAUAUAUAUAAACCCUCUAAAAAGGAAUUUUAAGGACUUGAUUGUUAAAAUAUUCAAUAACUUUUCAUGUAUAAUCCCAAAAUUGUUUAAAUCUCUAAGACAAAAGGGUUUACACCAUUUCUUUCCCAUAGAAGAGAGGUUGAUGCUAAUGUAUAAAGAUCAAUGUAGCAUCUUUUACAAGAUAUAUUUCAAAUUCUGAAUACAUGUCUACCCAUGUUUGAUUUAAUACUCCAUGAACAAAUCUGAAGCUGAACUGGUGGAUGAAUACCAUCUGUAAGUUCUAUAGGAAUUCAUAGUCUUCUGUUGUCUACACCGAUAUAAUGGUUUGUUUAUUGUUCUCCAGCCUCUGGGAUUAAAAAGUUUAACAGAAAAGAAUUGGCUAAAAAUGUGUUGUAUGAAUUGCAAAGGUGAGACUAUUUGGUAUUGAUGUUACCCUGUAAAGCUAAGAAGGACCCAAGGAAGAACUCUGCAUGAUAUAUGAAAGAAUGUCAGGACACCAACCGAAAAAAUAAAUUUGUUGGAGAUGCAGCUCCUUGAUUUGUUUGUAAUGCCCGCUAAUGUCAGAACAAGCUUAUGGGGUUACAGAUGAACACCUGGGGCAACAAAAAUUAAAAGAUAAGAUUCAACAGCAGAAUCGAUAACUAAUAAAGAUCACCACCCAUUUCCCAAAUUGCUAUGUAAUUUAAUACUCGAGUUUUCAAUGAGCGUAACAGAAGAACUGAAGAUAUUUAGAUACAGAAUUUUCACAAAAAAUGAGGCAGAAUGAUGUCAUGUGAUAACACAAGGGAAUAUGCAAAUUUAUGUUACGUUGAUUCGGGUGUUUGUGUCAAAUACAAGCAUGUGCUUGGUAUGUGUAUGUUUUAAUUCUUUCAUUUAUUUGGAAGGUCCUAAGAUCAUAUUCCUAUAUUUAUGUUUGAAUAUGUGUUAGGCACAAAUACUUUAAAAGAAUGAAGAACCAGAGUAUGAUAUACAGUGCAAAAAGACAGAUACGAUAGUCACUGCAUCUGGGGAUUCCAUGACUCUGUAUGUUUACUUCUUUAUGUGGCUUUUGGAAUAAGAAACUACACUAAUAAAGUUAUCAACAAUUUGAAACAAAAAAUGUAUAUAUGAGAACAUUGAAUAACCAGCAUGUUUCAACCUUUCAUUUGAACUUAUAUGAUAAUGAUAAAGCAAAUCACUUUUGUAUGCCAACUCUAAAUCAAGUGCACAGUAGAGUAAUAUUAACAAAGUUAUCAAACUGUGGAUCCAAAUUUUCCUCAACAGGAAGCAUGUGAACUUGAGCUGAAGGCAAAAAUAUAGCAAUAAAGGUGACCGAGUCAAAGCACAUCAUAAAGAAUUAGUACUGUCAAAGAGGGAACUAUAGCAAUAUAGGAGAGCAUCAGUUAGUAGUAAAAAUAGUAGAACUGAAGCGGUGAAUCUGUUUGUAUUUCCUGAUUCUGCCAUUUGCAAUUUAUUAUCAAGCCUAGAGACCAAUUUACGUUUUAGUUAGAUGGAGAAGAAACAAGAGAUUAGCCUACCUUUAUUCUAUACAUAAUGCAGGAGUGCAUCGGCUGAAGAAUUCCUUAACCUACAGCUCUGUCCCAAAUGAACAUCACCAAAGACAUACCUACAUCACCAUAUAUCAGUGGAAAUCGUAAUAUAACUUGGGAACAGGAGGAAGAGCCAAAAAUAAAAUAAAAAACGGAACCUGUAUUCACAGUAUUCAGGCCAUGCACAUCGAGCUUUUCCGUAGUCCCAGUAACAGUCAUCAUCCCUCAAGGGCCCUCGCUUUGCUAUCAGCAUUGUUAUAAUGAGUAAAACUCAAAUUAAUCUUUGAGAAAAGUAAAACAGUAAACCAUGUUUUACCUUUUGUAACAAAUUUGGAUGGUGAAUCAGCAUGAAUAUCAUGCCAAAUCUGGAGCCAUAACUCUCGCAUUAGAGCUGGUGAUCUAACGAUGUUCCUGUGAUUUGCUACAUGAAGAUGAUAUCAGUUUUACCCACUUGUAAUGAUAAGAAGGCUGAUGUCAAAGAACAUUAGUUAGCAUUGUUAACUCAAUUUUCUUGUAAAAGAAAAUAAGGAAAAAUUGAAAGAGUGCAACUUAAUAUGGAGAACACAUUAGUUAGAAAUGGUUUAAAUAACGCUCCUCAACAUAGAGAUACGGAGAAUGCAAAGUAAACAAGCUAAGCAGCUAAACCAUGAAUGAUAGACAAGCUUUUGAAUUAUUUGAUUGUCCUUUAGCAAGAAUCUGAAAGAGGAGCUCCCCAAUUAACAUCACUCUGAUUUUUAUAGAUUAUGCUGGAAGUAAAUCAGCUGAAAGAAAUUUAUCCAAAACCAUAGAGAACCACUUUCAUUAAAAUCCCUAACUGGAUAACAGCACAUAAUCACAACAACCAUAAUGCCGGGCUAUUUAAGAUUCUUAAAAAGCAUAGUAGCAAUGCAAUUAAGUUCAACAUGAUUUGAAAUCGUACUACUAUAUAAGCCAUUUACUGAGAAAAGAAUUAAAAGGUAUUGUCACCCACCUUUAUCAAGCUCCCAAACUGCUGUCCUCUUUCCUGGAAUGCUUUCCGAGUCUUCAUAGUAAGUUAUGUAUUUGACUCUAGGUGACCUUGUCAUGUUGGGGACUACAUCUUCAUUAUGAUGCUCAACAUUCAACUCCACUUGUACAUCUGACCCAUCAUGCUCCGACUACAAUAUACAUGAGAAAGUUUUACUAUUUCAAACUCCCAAUAGUUAUGUCAUAUUUCAGAUAUGGAUUACAAAACCAUAGCAGACAUACUCCUUUUUAUUAUAUCAGAUGGAUAGUGUUCAUAUGUUUUACCUAUUUGCUGCACGAAUGAAAUACUCUAUUUUAUUAUAUAAAGGGAUUGAGAGAAACAUGCAACAAACUAUGUUAUACAGCUCAUAAAUCAAAUAGCUCAUCAAACUAACCACAAAAAAGAAAAAAAAGCAAUCUGAUAUAUGUGAUGUGUUAAAUAUCCAGAAGAUUGAAAGCUUUUCAAUAUCAUCAUCAUAAUAAACAUAUCAAGGCACUUGCAUUUGACCAAGAAUACCUGUGGAGCUCUUGUUAUGUUCACUCUGGGCCCAAGCCAGUUCUUGCACCAAGAUAGGGAAUGAUAUGGUACCUGUCACAAUUAUGUAAGUGUUAGACCAGUAACUAUAAAACUCAGAUCAGUGAUUGUAAUCCAGUAACAAAGAUUCUUGAUGCAUUUGAAGAAUGAAAUAGAAUGAUAUAAGGGUCACUGAGCUCACUGUCUCAUCACCACUUGCAGGUCCUGGAUUUCCUUCAACCUGAUUCCCUGACCUACAAGAACAAGUGCUACGCUAUUUAAAAGUAGAAUCUAAUGAGAUCAAAUCAUCUUUCAAUAUUUAUUACUGCAGCCACUGCUUUACCUCGUUUACAACAAAUAAUAGUUACUGUUAGAGCUGUUUUAGUUCUAAACAUAGGGAAGAGAUAUGAUUUAGGCAUAAAUGCAGUUAAACAGAUUAACUGAUCCAGUGUGGAUGAUGCUUACCGCGAGACCAGUGAUCCUUCAAUUUCAUAGAUGACAUCAGUAAUUAUCCAAUUAUCAGGGUAAGGUUUGCCGCUUGGUGCAAAAUAAUAACCAACCUGCUCGCAUUAUCAUUCAACACGAUAUCAUCAUAAAAAUUAACCACAAUGAGUAAUAGAAAAGCAAUAACGAUGUGUAACAACUAUAGUGCUAUUCCCAUUUUGUCAGUUAUUCAAACAGCUCUUAAGGGGUUCCUAAUGCAUGACAAUAGUCUCAAACAUGAACAAGAUAAUUAGAAUUUAUAUUCAAAAUUUAACCAUACCUCAGUCCUAGAAUCUACUCCAUAGAUACAGAAAACAUUCUUAAUAGGUGGUCUAUCCCAUGGUGUAAGAGGAUUCAGAACAGGAUCAUCAUGAUAUGACCUGAAAAAUACAACAUAGAAAUAAAGCCAAGUCAAAAUAAAGAAGUCUAAGUUACAUGGUUUGUAUUAAUUAAACUUCCAGGAAAAUCAUUAUUCAAACCAAUAGAAGAAAGUACUAUGAUAAAUUACAAUUAAAAAUAGAAAUUUCAGUUUGUCAAGUAUCAGCCAACAAUGAGAAACAACCACAGACUCUGAAAGAAAACAUGUUGAAAGCAUCUUGACUGGUCUUCAGUGCAAGCAGAUGGGAAUUGAUGAAAGUCCAUUUAACAUUAAUAACUUAUGACAACUGUCAAGCCUGCUUAUGUGAUAGUUCCAUGAAAAAACCACAAUCAUCGCAUCUCCAUAUAAUUUUAAUUAGUACACGUGAUUCAUGUUCAAGAUGAAAUCACUUAGUAUUAGUAUGUCAACAAUCGACAAACAUUAAGAAGAUAUCAGAGUCAGAGAUUGUUAAAUUAUUUGAAAGUAUCAUAGCUAGUAUAAAAUACAUUUAAACCAUGCCUAAACACUUCUUCUGUAGCUCCACAUGAUCUUUUAAAGCAAAAAUGCAGCUCAAGACUCUCAAUAACGAGAUUUGGGAUGAAAAGCCACUUCAUAUAUCAAAACUAGCACCUACAACAUGGGACUGCAUGCAUGAUACACUAGGUGCCAUUUAAGUAAAAUUUAUGCUGAAAGAAGAUUUAAGACCCGACAACUAGAGUUAUAAGGCUUCUAUUAUGAAAUGUUCACCACAGGCAAUAAAGUUGACAGACAUCAUUCUUAUAAUCAAUUACGUCUAUAUCACCAAAUAAUGACCUAGAAAAAGGUAAAUCAUAAUUUUCUCAAAUGGCAUAAAGUUGUGAGAAUACCCACUUCUUCAGUUGGUGCAAGGUCCUCUUGCUAUCUGAAUCAUAGUCCUCUAUUGCUUUGAAAAAGGUCCCAUCUGAUAUUUCACGAGCUGAAAAUGACAACUGUGUUGGGAGUCCACAUUCCAUGCUAGAGUAGUUGGUCUGGGAAAACUCUGAAACUGAUGGAUAGGCGUCAAUCCCUGUUAAUAAAAGAGAUUGCUGUGAGCUUUAUAGCAAUUAACUACAUGUCAUAAAAACAAAUAAAUAAAUAAAAGAAUAAUUUAUUCCAAAGCCUUACCACGGGUUGAAGGUAUUUCAAUGUUGAUUAUAUUAGUUGAAAAACCAGAGUAAUUUGACUGAAAUUCCUUUUGCUCACAUUGAUAGGCAUUAGGCCCCUUCCUGAUUCCCCCAGAAAAAUGCUUCAAAUACAUGGCGUCUGCCCUACAAUACUUUGAAAAUGGCAUCAUCCAUAAUGAAGAACCAAAUGAAUUGAACAUCAACCGAGCAGUUCCCUGAUACCUUGCCAAAAUAUAAAGUAAAUAUAUGUUAAAAAUGCACCAUUAUAUAACAAAUAUUUUUAAUUCCUACAUUUUAGGGAGCAAUGGCAGUCAGUAACAGCAGUAAAUUGAUAUAGAUUCCAUCCCAGUAGUGCAACUUAAUGUGAUUCAAUCGAGUUGAGUUAUACAAAAUUGAGGACAUCAGGGCUUACAAAGAAAUUAAGGAAUUCUGUUGCCAAUUUGCUAUUCCUACAUGUGCUGUAAGGAACAUCAAUAACUUAACUGUUCAGCAUAAAUGUUUUUAACAUCUUGAAUUUUCUCUGGUACUAUUGAAUCAAAGUUUUUCAUAUUGCAUUACUAGACCUGUUUCAUGGAAUCAUGGGAAAUCUUCGGGUAGUUUUAAGACUUCAACAGCAUGUAUCCCAUUGGAAAUCUAUUAUGUUUUCUACAAAAGCUGCCUACAAUUACCUAUCAUUGAAUGUGACAGCAGAUUAAUUUGUUACAAGGUUCUACCAUAAGUUUAAUCUUCAUAUGCUAUUUCCAUAAAGGGGACUAGUUUCAAAAAGCUGUAUGAUAUACUCCAGAGCCAAAAAUCAAGACUAGAUGGAAGAGAAUAACAGCUUGGAGUAUUAUGUUCUAUGAUAUUCUCCAGGGCACAAAUAUCUAUAGUUCUAUAUUGAAUAUCCAUUACUGUUACAUAUGCAUGCUCAUAUAUUAGCUGUUUAAUUGAAAAGGAACCAUAACAAAGGUAAGCUGCUUUCCACUUGAACAUUUAAACAAAAGCUGUUAAAGAAGUUCAUGCAGGAACUUAGUUUUAAGAUUGAGAAAAAGUAGAAUGCAACCUCAGAAACAGGAAGGCCAAAUGUGUUUCCAGAAAGCAUUCCUUUGACUGUCUCAGUUGAACCAAGAAGAGGAGCUCCUAGAAGGAAAAAGAAUAAAAAGUGAAACCCAAGAAAGGGCAAACAUUACUAUUCCAGGAAAAUAAAGGAUUUUAUGCAGAGGAUCAUACCGACAGCAAAAAAAGCAUAAAUAUGAUCAUCCAACCAUUGGAUGUACUGUUUUGGUGCAAUUUCUAGCUUUAACCACUCCAAAAAGUAACGGAAGACAUUAUUACCCAAUGAAUGAGCAAACACAAUUGAUGGCCCCCCUCGAAGUUUAAGAGCAGUUUCGAAUGUCUGCCUACAACCAGAACUAGCACACUGAUUAAAAUAGCCUAACUCCACUGUCACAAUAUUGCAAUAAAGCAUAAUAAUCAGUUGGAAAUCUGUAACUAUUAUGUUAAUUUAGUUUAACAUCAAUAAGAAAUCAUGAAAAUUCAACUUAUGAAAAUCUACAACAAUGCACAUUCGAUGUAUCCUAUAGUUAAAAGUGGCAGAGUAGCACCCAGCCCAAUAUACGGCUCUAGGGUUCUAGUCUUGAGAAAUCUGGACUUGGAUUCUUAUGUUGGGUGCAUAGAAAAUAAACAAUUGCAAAGCACAACCCAAUAUAUAUUUUAUGCCUCACAUAUAAGCAUCUAUAGACGCAACAAUUUUCUCUGACUUGGAUUUAAACGAAAAGCAACUAUAACUAAAUUAUACACUAUCAACAAAAUAAAAGAAAUGCUACAUCAAAAUCAACUUUCAGACCAAUGACCAGAAAAGUAGUGUGUCUUUGGAAGUUACUAAAAAAGAGGCAUCACAAUUCAGAUUUGCAGAAAUCAUGUAAUUUAGGUCUCUUUUGGUUAUCAGAAAAUAGCACUGGAUCCAAGCAUUUAAACAAACAAAUACAAUUCCACUUAUACAAUUUCAGAAUCAUAAAUUCAGUCUCCAAGAUGACGAAAAUACUCUUAUUAGAUUUAAGAAUCUUAAGGUCCUUCAUGGUGCCCAAUCAUUCAUAUCAGUGAAGUUCUACAUUCAUUGAAAAUAUAUAUUCAGCAAAAUCUUGUCAGAAAUAGAUGUUUCAAUAGGAAUAAACAUAUUUACUUUCAGUUAUGAAGAAUGCAUCCAUGAUGUACCAAAAGAUUAGUUACUGCAAAUAAAAAGAAAUUUAUUUGGCUACAUGCAUCAGAGGUAGUAAAAAUAGAAUGAACCAGGAAAUAUGCAUACUUUAACUUGUAAAAGUAAAGGUCUCGCUCCUCAAGCAUUGAUGGUGACAAUCUCCAAUCGUAUGGGGCAGCUAUAAUUGCAUUAGCCUCAAUACCAAAUUCAAUGCACCACUUAACCCAUUCUUUCCACACCGAAGAAAGAGGGCCUGUGGCCACAGAGAAAUUUUAGUUAAACAUGAAGCAUUUUGCAGCCACUUGAAAUACGUUUUAGAAUCACAGAAAGUGUGUAUUAGAAAGAAAAAAAAAGGAAAAAAAAAAAAGAGAGAAGAAUACCUGUAAUGUAACCUGGAUCAAGUUCAGUAAUAGCAGAAAGACCACUAUCAGGACGUGACUUACAUUCUGGAUUAUCAGUUUGGUUGUACGGAUCAAGUAACAUACACUUAAGCCAACAAUUUACAGCUGAGAGGAGCUGCAGAUCAAAGAAGCGUAACAACCUUAGUAUAUUAAAAACAAUCAACUAGUCACCACACGAUACAACCUAUGUUACUCCCAACUCUUCAUUUUUCCUGAAGUAACCAUGUCCAAAACUUAUUCGGAUAUGGAUAUAGGAGCAUGAUAUAUGCAAAAGAAGUCAGAUAAAAUUGAGUGUAUCCAGGUCGGGCACAUACCCGCAUCCCACACUUAGCAUUUAUCUACUAAAUUCCUAGUCGAUAACAUCCUUCACUGUUAACCAAGGCCAAGACGUACAUAAGCUUUAUCGGAAAACACUCAAAUUCAACUUCUUAGAACCUAUAAUACAUCCUAAAAUCCCAUGCACGAGCAAAUAAAAACAAGAUACGAGAAAUAGAAAAAAGGUUAAACAGGAAUAUAUGUGCAUAUAAUAUUCAAAAAGAAAGUUAAAAGACAAUUUUAUUCUGCUAUCUCUAUUAAUCAACUAAACUUUUACUUUUUUCUAACUAUUUUGUUUGUUUAAUCCAAGAACCAGACAGAAUAUAAGCAUAACAGAAACACGAGGAAACCAACUGUAGAUUAAAACGACAAAGAAGAUUGAAUAAAACGGCGAUAAGAAGACCAAAAGUAGGGGGAAUCCUUACUUUAGUAGUGUCGAGCCAAACCAAGUCGAGGGGAUUGAAAUCGAGAGGAGAGUAAGGGCAGUCGAGAAUGGACCAAGCUCUCAACUGAGUUGAAGCGAAUCCAGGGAUUAUUAUCCCCGAUAGCUUUGAAUAAUCUCCUUUCAACUCUCCUUCACCGAGUUGAAAUGUUCCCAAGAAUAGAACUGCCGCAAGUGUCAUCGCUAAACGGCGGUGCUCUCGUUCGUCUCCGCCCAUGGUUGAUUUCUUUGUUUCUCUGUCAUUAGUCAUUGCCUGGGCCUAGCAGCCAUUAAAAUGUUUACAGAGUGUGUGAUGGCUGACUUUUCAACUUCCAUUGGGGGAAUUAAAAAAUAAUAAUAAACACGUUGAAAUCAAAUUGGUUUUUAAAUAUUUUGUAAAAAUAUAUAUAUUGAAAAAUAAACAGUGAAACGGCGACGUCUCGCUUUUAACUAACAACAUUCCGUGGCGCCAAAAGGAAGGAGCUGAAGUUUUUCGAAGCAACGAAGAAUCCGAAGCUGAGAUCCGUCCAUCAACACCGGCAACGGCGGAAAACGACGUCUCAAAGAUCAAAGCAGCAGUCUUCCAUUUCCUCGAAUCUUUGAGUCGGCUUUCAUUUUCUUCGCAAGAUUUGUAUGGCACAAGCUAAAAGAAAACCAAGUAAGAUCUCAAAUACAUUAAGAAAAAUCUGAUUGGAGUCUAAAUUUAAUUGAAUCUAUCGCGCUUUCAAGAAAUUAGGAUUUCACAUCACUUGUCUUCUAACUCAAAAUUUAAAUGGAUUCUAAAAUUUAAAACAUUUUAUUUAAAUCCUCAAAAUAUUAAUAUUGUAUUAAUUAAGCCUUUUCAUUAAUUUGAUUACCAAUUUAAAUGUUAAAUGUCAAUUUAAAUCUAUAGUAGCAAAUUUAAAACACAUCAAUAAAGCUACAAAUACGUGUGUACUUAUGACAUUAAAAAUAUGUUAGAUCCAAACAUAUGUUUACAAUCCGAUCCAUAUAUUUUAAAUAUACUACAAAUCAAUUUACUUUAAAUUUUAAAGACUCAAUUAAAAUAUUUUGAAAAUUAGAUACUAUUUUAAAACUCGAAUAAUAGUUUGAGGAUAUUUAAUGAAAUUAACUACAUAUAUUAAUCAAUUCCAACCGUCCAUUUGUGCCAUCGGCCUUAACGUCAAGACUGUGCUCCACAAGUUAUAACAUUGUCGAAUUGAGUCAAGGAAUUCAGACCAUCAAAUAACUGAAUUUGAACAUUUUAAUACUUGAUUCGAGUAGCUCGAGAUCCUAGUUGAGCUUUAAUAUUUUAAUACAUAUUUUGAUUAUUCAACUAUCAAAUUAUAAAAUUUAUUUGAAGAGUAUAUCUGGCUCACAAAAUAUAAAAUUAUCAGAAUGUAAGAUUACUUAAGAUAUAUUAUUACAGUGUCCUAUUUAAUUCAUUUGCUUAAAACGUGAAAUCUAUUAUUUGAUUCACGGAAUAUAAAAUUAUCUAAAAGCAUAUUUUAGUAAUUAUAUAAUAUUGUUUGAAGAAUAUUGAUACGAAAGUUUAAACAGUAUGCUUAUAUUAUAUUAAUAUAUCAAUUUUCCUUUUUAAGUACAAACAUUAUCUCAUUAUUUGAAUGCAUCAACGUCCUUUGCUUUUUUAUUUUAUCACUAAGUAUAUUUUUUUUAUAAAAAUUAUUUUAAAUAAUUUCUAAAUUUGAUUAAUAUACUAUUUUAUAUUAAAUAUGAUAAGCUAUAACUUUAUAUAUUUUUAUUAAUUUUAAAAUAUUAUGCUAUAAUAAAUUUAAAAACUACAUACAGAACUCGUAAAAUUAAGACUUAAUAUAUUAUUUGAUACUUAAAUUUGACAUUUUUUUAAUGUGGUGUCCGUGUUUUUUCUUUUGUCAAAUGUGAUACAUGUAUUUGGUAAAAUUUAUGAUUUUGCUGCUUGAAAGUAAUUGUGUUAACUAGUGUUUAAUUACGUUUUGGGAGUGAUUUAAUGAAAAUUUAUAAUUAACUAAUAAUUCUUUUAUCAAAUCGAUCUUAAUAUGAAACUUUAUUUAACAAAUAAAAUACAAAAUUAAACAAAUUCACAAUUAACACUAAACUUUUUCCAUUAACAAAAUCAUGAAAAUUCAAACUUAAUAAUGUUAGCAAUUAACUUUUAUCAAAUCCACAAUAAAACUCAAACUAAAUACUAAUAAGUUAACAUCGUUAUAUUUGAGUAUCAAAAUGUAUAACUUUUGACAAAUUCAAACACAGGUACCAAAUUAAAUUUUUAUUAUUUAUUUUACAUUUUUACAAAAAAAAAAUAAACCUUAAAAAAAGUUAUUUUCUCCAUCUUUGUUCUUCAAUUGAUCGGAAAUUUUAAAGCUUCAUCGGAAAAGUUAAAAAUUCCCAUACUUUGGUGAGCUUUUCUAGAUUUCGGCCAACUCUUUUUUCUUUUUUAAAUUUCAAUUUUUGUAAAUAAUUUUUUUAUUUACUUACUUUCAUACGAGAGUAGCAUCACAAUUCUAAAUUUUUAUUUUUUGAUACAAUGUCUAGAAUUACCCAUAGCCCUCCCCAACUAUUAAAUAAGAGGAUAAUGCACUUUAGUGCAUUUGAACUUACGUCAUCUUACACUAGCAAUUUUAUUUUAUUUUCCUUGAAUAGAGCUACUCGUAGACAAAGCACAUUGCAAUUUUAAGUUUUUUUUUUUUUGGUAAUCCAUUAUGAAUAUAUUAUCUAUCUCUUUAAUCAUAUGAUUCUUUUAAAGAUUAAAAACUAACCACAAAUUUUCAAUAUUAGGCAAGAAUAACUAAAACUAUAGUUUAUUCAUAACAAAAAAACAUAAUAUGAUACAAUUAUUUUAAAAAUAUGCUAAUUUCAUUUCUUACUAUGUUCAAAAUUUGCUCUUACAUAAAAAGAAAAGUUGUAAAAAUAAUAGUUAAUAUAUAUGAAUUCAAAAUAAAGAAAAUGACAUAAUUGUAAAAGUUAAGAAAAAAAAUGGGUAACACAUGGUUUGAGUGUGUAAGUGUCUCGGGCCGCAGAUCGAAGCCUGUGACCAAUGCACACAUAACGUUCCAUGGAGGUCGACUAAUUAAAUGAGACUUAUUUGACCCACUUGAACUGACCUGAUUCGUGGAACACAUGGAGAUUAAAGCCUUGGUGGCUCAGUGGAACGCUCCAGUAAAACUAGAGUUAUCAUGGUGAAUAUUGUAAAUCCUAAGGGAUAAGAUUGUAUAGAGUUUAAAUCUCUUUGGACUCUAAUCUUGUAGAUAGGCACUAAUCUCAGCCAUUGAUGUAACUCAAUCUGUACCGCUGGAUCUAAGAAAUUUAACUAUAAAUAGAGCCCCCUCUUUAUUUGUAAUCAUUUCACUUCAUUAUUGAUUUAAAGAAUAUAUUUGAGAGCAUUUACUUAAACACUUUGCGUGCAUUGCUUUCUUGUGGCUUUUCUAUUCAAUUUAAGUUCAUUUCUCUUUUGAAUUGCUUCAACUUUAUUUUUGGUGCCUUAGAGAAUUUCUAAGAGAAGUCUCACUUAAAGAGAAUUAAGUUGACUUAGAUGGAUUUGAAGUAGAGAAAUCGCCUAAGGCUGCACGGUUUGUAAGACUAAAAUUUUAGCCCUAUGACAGUUGGUAUCAGAGUCAAGGUUCAAAGGUACUGAUUGAUAUGAAGAAAGGACUAGAUAAGUAGGUUGACCUUAAAGAAACUGGCGUGAGGGAGGUAAGAAAGAUAUCAGAUUAAGGAAUAUGAUGCCAACUUUAGAUAGUAGGGUUGCCAAACUCGAGGGAUCCGUAGAUGAUGUGAAUGAGACCCUUGAAAAAGUUGAAGGAUGCAUUGUAAAGCUAAAAUUGAGGCAAUAUCAGCUCAAAUGGCAAGUGGCAGAGGCCCUCGAUGUUAAUGUAGAUGUGAUGCAAGGGGUUCUCAAUAUCGUUGUGUGUAAGUUGACUAAGAAGAAUGAUGCUCUCAAGGUAGGCCAUGGCGUCGGCCUUGAAGGAACAGAUUGAGGAGCUCAAUAAGAGCACGUUAUCUGCAAAUUUACUUUGGUUAAUAGGGUGUUAUUUGCGACACCCAAGCCUAAGGUAGAUAUCAAUGAGCUGAAAGAGUUCAAUGGGACGAGGCCUACAAAAGAUGACAACUUCUUGUGGGGAAUAGAUCAAUACUUUCGUGCCAAAGGCAUCGUGGAUAAUGCUACUAAGGUAAAUACUACUAUUAUGUAUUUUACUGAUGUCGCUCUAUUAUGGUGGCGUCGUAGGUCUACAGAUGAAAGAUGAUGUGGUAUCAUUAUUUAGACUUAGGAGGAGUUUCAGAGUGAAUUUAAGGGGUAGUUUUACCUACAGUAUGUCAAGGAUGAUGCUUGAGCUAAGUUGCAUCAACUUACGUAAUAAGGCAUAAUUAGAGAGUAUAUGCAACAGUUUAGUGAAUUAUGCUCCAAAUUUUCAAUUUGGGUGAGAAUAAUGCAUUCUUCUCUUUAUGGAUGGGCUGAAUCUUAGGCAAAGUAAGAGUUGAAACAUCUAGGAGUCAAAGAACUUACCAAAGCCAUGACCAUAGUGGAGUCCUGAAUCAAGCUUGUUCCUAGGAAAGGCAAGUUUGAGUUUUCCAAGCCUAAUGAGAAGGAUAAUGAUGGGGGAGAUGAAGAAAGACAAGUUAAAAAUGGCAAUGGUGGAAAUGGUGGCAAUGAGAAACCUCAUAAUGGGAAGUGAAAGUCCAACAACAAAUCAAAAGAGCUAGUGGGGUGCUUCUUAUGUAGUGGUUUGCAUAGGGUGCAGGACUGCCCAAACAACGAUCCAAGCUAUUCGUAAUCAGUAAAGAAUAUGAAGUGGAGCCUGAUGAGGAAAGGAUAUUAAAGCUUGGGUCAAUGAUACUCAAUUAUGCUAAAGCGGAGAAGGAUCACAAGUAGAAAAAGUUUAUGUUUGUGGACAUCAACAUCACAAGAAAAAGGAGAAAUGUUCUUGUUGAUACGGAGGAUUUUGAUUUGUUUACAUUGGAAAAAGUUGUGGGUAAACUUGUUCUCUUAGUUAGCAAAUUGAAUAAGAAUAUCAAGAAUUUAAUUCUAAAGAGGUCUCAGCUAUGGGAGUAGCACAAGGAGUUGAGCUACAAAUUGGUGAGUGGAAAGACAAGGAAGACUUAAUGAUUACAACCUCAUGUUUGGUUUGAAUUUCCUUGAUCAUAUUAAUACUCUUUUGGUUCCUUUUGCUAAUUGUAUUUAUAUCUUAGAUACUCAUCAAUGACAAUGCAUCGUGUCGGUGAGUCAUGAUAAGAAAGGUGGAACCAAUGUAUUGUAGGUAAUUCAACUAGCCAAGAAUGUUCAUUGUGGCAAGAACAUUGACUUAGUAGAUCGGAGUCUACGAAGGCCUUUUAGAAAUGCUAAAGGCGCGACAAAUCGAAGUGAAACCUAUUGGGUUAUCAGUGGGGCUACCACUUAUGAGAGAGGUGGUUUGUGCAUCAAACUUUGGGGGGAAAUGGUGAUGCAAACUGGACAGCUAGAUUGAGUAAAUGCUACAAGUAAGGUACAUCUCAAACACUUUCCUUGAGGUAAGGUGAAUGGCUUACAAACCAGAAUCAGCAACAAUACUCAAGGUUAACCCUGUGUUGAAGCCUAUUUGUAAGGAUCAAGGGGAUCCGAACGAGGCAAUUCGCAAUGGGGGCAAGUAAAAAACUGUGGGCUCUUGCGAACAAUAUGAAUAAAUAAAGGAAAUAGUUCAAGUUAGACAGUAACAAAGACAUAAGCUGAGGCAAAUGUUUUGCGGGGCGAAACUACCUAAUAAAGAGAAUGGUUCAGAAUCAACUAAGGUGUCGUGGCAGAUCUGAGAUGAGUUAGACCAGUGUCAUUCCGAAGAGGACAAGAGCAUCGCGAGAAUGGGUGAGGGAGAAUGUCACAGGCUGUAAAUCAAAGCCCAUGAAGAAUACACACAGAACGUCCCAUGGAGGUCAACUAAUUAAAUGUGGCUCAUUUGACCCAUUUUAAUUGGCCCGUUUGUGGAACACAUAGAGAAGUCCAUCUACUUAAAGCCUUGGUAGCCUAGUGGAACACUUUAGUAAAACUAGAGUUACCAUAGUGAAUAUUGUAAAUCCUAAGGGAUAAUAUUGUAUAGAGUUUAAAUCCACUAAGACUUUCAUAUUAUAGAUAGACACUAAUUUCAGCCAUUAAUUUAACUCAAUUUGUACCGUUGGAUCUGAGUGAGCUCAACUAUAAAUAAAGCCCUCCCCAUUCAUUUGUAAUCACUUCACUUCAUUCUUGAGUUAAAGGAUAUAUUUGAGAGCAUUUACUCAAACACUUUGUGUGCAUUGCUUUCUUGUGGCUCUUUUGUUCAAUUCAAGUUUCUUUCUUUUCUUUUUUUGAGUUACUUCCACUUUUAUUUUUAAGUGCCUUAGAGAGUUUUAGGGAGAAUUCUCACUUUAUGAGAGUUAGGUUGACCGUGCAGUUUGCAAGACUAAAGUUUUAGCCGUGUGACAUAAGGUGGUAGUUUAAAUGUAAACCUAAUUUUUUAAUCUAUACUAUUAUUUAAACUCUUGACUGAGUUGAUGUCACGAGUCAACUGGACACCAAAAAACAGUAAAAAUAUUAUUCGACAAUAAGUAAUAUUAUGGGAUGCCCUUCCAUGAUUAAAAUAAGUAAUAUUAUUUAACAAUAUUUUAGUCCUUUCACUUAAAAACAAUAAAAAUAUACAUACGAUGGAAUUUGAAUCCACACCAAUUGCAUUAAUAAAAACCUUUAAUUUACCGCUCAAGUAAAUAUUUAUUUUAAUAUUUUUAUACAUUUUAAUUUUAUUGUGCACACUUUAUUACCUAUAUCAGUUGUAUCUAUACUAUUAUUUAAACUCCUAAUUGAAUUGGUGUCACGAAUCAAUUGGACACCAACUAGGUUAGAGAAAUUAUGAAAAUAUUCAUUCGUAAUUAAAAUAAGUUAUAUUAAUCAAUAGUAUUUUAGCCUUGCAUCUAAAAACAAUAAAAAAAAAAUAUACAUAUAGAAAGAGAUUUGAACCCACACCAAUAACAUAAAUAAAACUUUAACUCUAUUUUAAUUUAUUUAUACAUUUUAAUUUCAUUAUACCCACUUUAAAAAUAAUUUUCACAUAAUUUUCACAGGCAUGCAUAAUAAAAUUUAUAAUUUUUAUUUAUUAUUUUAAAUGGAAUCUUCACAUCAAAGUUGCAGACUUGUUUGGCUUUUUAGUUCCCAAGAGGAUUAAUUUCAUUUUAUUUUUUUAGCACUAAUGGCAUUCUCAUAUCGACUGAAUUGAGGCAGCUGGAUAUCGUAGCUUUGUUUUUGUUUUGUAACAUUCACUCAAUGAACACACUAAAGUUGAAAUAUCAAAUUUCAACCUAAAAAAAAUUUUGAAAUAUUAAAACGUGAAAAGUUUAAUUUAAAAAAAGACAAAGCUAUAUACAAUUUAAGAUAUUGAACCAAGCCUUAUAGUUAUCACCAUUUGUUCAUUUCAUAGCCAUAUCAAUAACCAUCAUUUUCUUGUAUUUCAGAUAAAUACAUAUAACCAUAUAUAAACAUGCAAUUCACAAUUUCAAAUGACAGAUUCAUGUAAAUGAGCUCAAUAUCAUUAGCUGUUUAAUUUCUGUCACUUAAAUUCACAUACACAUAAUUUAUUAACAUAACCUGUCAAACACAACCUCUGAAUGGUGAGAUCACAUAAUUGAGCUCAAUUUCACUGUUCAAUAUGUUUUAUCACAUAAAAUUUGCUUAACACUUACCAUAAUUUGUCAAAUUAGAGAACGUCUUACGGAAUUGAGUACUUCGUUUUCACAUUGUCAUAUUAUAACUAUGGUCUUGCACAUCGUCACAUAUCACACACCGAAGCCAUAGCCUAGCUAUGGUCUUACACGGAAAUCACAUAUCACACUGAUGUCAUAUCCCAGAUAUGAUCUGACACGGAAAUCACAUAUCACAUCACACCGAUGCCAUAGCCCAGCUAUGGUCUUAUACAGAAGCACAUAGUCACAUCACACCGAUGCCAUAGCCUAGCUAUGGUCUUAUGCGGAAGCACAUGAUAAUCACAUUUUCACAUGUUGCCAUGGUCAAACCAUGGUCUUUUCUGUCAAUUCAUCACAUAUCAUUGAACGAAAGUAGUCAUUCCUGCGUUCUGCUCAAUUUGACAUUUUAGUUCUUUUUACGUACUUUUACAAUAUUCACACUUUAAAUACGAACAUAUGAAAUGAUUCAUCAUUUCUUUCAUUUACUAACAAAUAAUUAUUAAAUUCAGCUAUAUGAACUUACAAUUCGAUUUUUAUAACAUAACGAUAAUCAUAAUUUCAUAAUAACUAUUUGAAAUAAAACAUUAUAUCAUUUCUAAUUCAACUUUUAUUGAUUAUAAUCGGGCAUAUGACCAAUUUAUACACAAGUCAUUCAUAUAUUUUCCUCCUCCUCCUCUCUAUUCCACAUCCUUAAUGUAUAUAACACGCUUAUAAGUAACAUUAUCUAUAAUUUCACUAUUUACUUAUAUGUAUAUUCAAAGCUGUCCAUUCGUGUCAUAGUCACUAAAUUAUUUUUAUCUUGAGCUACAGAACUCCAAAUUAAGAUCCGCUUGAUGUUUUUGAAACUAGAUUCAUAUAUCUUUCUACCAUAAAAAUUUCAGAAUUUAUAGUUUACCCAAUUAGUACAGUAAAAUCUUCAAAUUUAUCCCUGUUCUGUUGUUUGGCAGCUUUGACCUAUGCUUACUAAAAAUUAAUUAUCUCUUAGCAAAGAACUUGGAUGAUAUUCUCAUUUCUUUCUAUUGAAAAUAGACUCAUUAAGAAUUUAAAAAUAUAAAUUUAAGCCCAUAAUUAUUUUUCUCCAAUUUUUGAUGAUUUUCCAGAGUCAGUACAGGGGAACCCGAAAUCAUUCUGGUAUUGUCUCACAAAAUUUAUUAUAUCUCAUGAUUUACAAUUUCAUUACUUACACUGUUUCUUCUAUGAGAAACUAGACUCAAUAAGGCUUAAUUUCAUAUUUUAUUCAUCUUCUAAUUCGAUUCCCAUAAUUUUUGAUGAUUUUUCAAAGUUAGACUACUGCUGCUGCCCAAAACUAUUUUAGUGCAAAAUGUUGAUUGCCAUUAAUUUUAUUAUAAAGGUUUAAUAUAACUUUUGGUACUUCAACAUGCCAUUUAUUUUUCUAGUACUUAAAUUUGACACUUAUUCCUAAUAGACAUAAUGACUUAUUUGGUCUUCCAAUUUUACAAAAGAUUUUAUUUUAAUCCUCCAUUUAAUUUUUUCUUUCUUUUAAUCCUUAAACUUGCAUUGCUUGUCAAAUCAACUCAAAAUGGAUAGAAAAAUUAACAUUUGUUAAUAUUGUUGAUAUUGCCAAGUAAGCAAUUAAUUUUUUAAAAUUUAAAAAUUCAAUUUUUUUUAUAAAAUUUAUUAAAAUGAUUAAAAAAUUAUAAAAUAUAAAUAAAUAUUAAUUUUUCCAUCCAAUUUAGAUUAAUUUGACAAAAAACGGAAGUUAAGGGCUAAAAGAGACAAAAAAAUUAAAUGACGGCUAAAACAAUUGUUUCUAAAGUUGAAAGGCCAAAUAAAUCGUUAUACCUUCCUAAUUUGGUACUUAAAUUUUUUUUAGGUCCAAUUUAGUACAUAAACUUGACAACUUUUCUUAAUUUGGUACUUAAUAUUUUGUUCUAGUCCAAUUGGGUACUUGAACUUGUCAAAUGUUAUAUCAAUUACUUCAAUGUACUAAUAAUGUUAUUUUUAUUAUGAGGUUACAAAAAUAAUUAAUGUAUAGUAGAUGAUAUGAAUUUUUUUUAUUUUUUUUAUUUUAUUAAUUUAAAAUAAUGAAUUUAUUUUAUUUUGAAUUUUUGAAACUCUUAUUUUCUUAUUCAAUAUUAAUUCGUUAAACAUAACUCAAUGCAUAAUUUUUUAACACAAAUUUCCUCUAGUACAAACAAUAUUUUUGUUAAAUUGAAAGUUUUGUGGUCCUUCUUAAAUUAUUCUUGCCAUUAACAAUCAAAAUAAUCUCAGCCUCAAUAUAAAGUAAUAUUUGAGCAUAUUGUUUACCGUAAUAUAAAGAAACCAAAUAAAAGUAACCAUUCCAUGUCAUUUAUCAUAUGUUAGUCAUACAUUUUCUAUUUUUAUCUACUUAUAAAAAAAUAACACUGUUAGUGUUUUGCAAUAAUCUGUAUAACAUUUGACAAGUUUAAAUAUCAAAUUCAACCUAAAAAAAAAAUUUAGGUAUCAAAUCAGGAAAAAAUGUAAGUUAUUAAAAUCAAUAAAAUUAUAUCUCAAAUUAAUAAAAAAAAUUUCAAAUUCAAGUACCAAAUGUUAUAUUAAGCAUAUUACAAAACCCAAUUUUUUCUCACCUUCCGCAUUUGCCCUAAAAUUUCACGAAAAAUAGGUUUCUUUCUCCCGCUUCUCUUCUUAAACACCUUCUCGAUGUCUAAAAUUGAUACCUUAUUAAACACGCGUUAUCUUAAUUUUUAAAAAUGCAAAUUUAAUUUAAUAUUUAAUUGUGAUCCAAAGAAAUAAAGAAAUUUAUUUAUAUAUUUUUAGAGUAAAUAGCAUUUUAUUUAAAAAUAAAAAUAUCACCAAAUAUUCUUCCAUUAAUCACAAAAAUAUCAGGUUCUAUUUUGAUUUAAUCUAUGUAAUAGGACAUCCCAUUUUUAAUAAAAAUCAAUGACAUUUCACCCAACCUAUCCAUGAAUCCAUGAUUUAUAAUAAAUCUGAAAUUAAAUCAAGACAUUUUUUGAAAAAUUAGGUAUAUAUGUUGGUUUAAAAAAAUUAAGGUUUUAGGCCGUUUUAUUUGAAAAUUAGGGAAAUAAUGUGUCCUACACGGUGAGUUUUCACCCUCUCCUAUCAUGCCACCAGAAAUCACUUUCUGUAAAAAAUAAUAAUAAUAAAUUAACGAUUAGAUUGAGUUUUGAAAACCCGAAAAUCCCGGAAUAAAAUUUACAUCUCAUCUUUUUCAUAGCAAAACAUGAAUAUUAUCUUUAAAAACUUCUCAAAAAAUCGCUUCUUAUUAGAAAGUUUUUUUACUUGUCAUGACCGAUCUUUUCCAACAUUUUGAAAGAUUUCUCUUAUUCGGUGGUAGAGUUUCCUAUAAAAUGAAGAUUGAUAUGGAGAGAUUGUCAUAGUUAAAUUUUGAGCAUAAAAUUUACAUAAGGAGAAAAUUGUUGAUGUUAAAUAUCUGAAGUUUAAAAAUCGACCCAACAAAGUAACUUAGAUCAAGUAAGCGUCGUUUGAAUUUGGUUAAUGAGUAUAUAUAUUUUUGUAUAAUAUUUUUGUUUUAAACAUGUGAAACAGGUUUUUUGGCGAAGAUAAGUAGACGAAUUAAAGUCGUUAUUUAUUAUGACGGUCAAAUUUGUGACACCAAAAUUAUGGUCAUUUUUGUAUCAACCCAAUAUACAGAAUCGGCUUUCAAUUAGAUCAUCAAAUUGAAUGAGAUUCUGACAAGAAUUAGAAGGAAAGUCUCAGUUUCAAGCCAGAGGAGAAUUUCGAACUCGAAAUAUAUAUACCUAACAUCAAUGAUGUAACAACCUGAUUUUCAGUGGUAACAAAAACAGCGAUUCAAGGUCACCAAUUCCGAUGAGUAAGAUCAUAAAUUUUACUAUUUAGUAUUUACGAGUCAAAUGUGGUUUUAGGAAGACUUUUAAAUUAGUAAUUUGUGUUUUAUAAGGAUUUAUUCAGUUAAAUGGUUUAGAAAAUGAGAUAUUGAGACCUCGAUUCUAUAAACCGAGCGAAAAUAUUUUUAUAAAUAUUUACAGAGUGGCAUUAAGGUAGUAUUAAAGUUUCAUUAGAAAAUUUUAAUGUUUUGAUAGCUAAUUAAUUAAAAAGGACUAAAUUAAAAAAAGUGCAAAACUUGCUAAAGUGAUUAAAUAGCAUAAAUGGUAAAUAAGGGAGGACUAAAAGGAAAAAUAUGUCAAGUGGAAUGGCUGAGGCGGCAUAAGUGUGAAAAAUAAUAAUAAAAUCAUGUGAUUUAAGGGCAAAAUUGGAAAUAAAUAAAAUUCAAAUAUUAAAUUGAAAAACCUAAAAGUUUCUAGACAUUUUCUUCAUCAAUUUUCUGUCCAAAAACACCAUUUAAGACCUCUCAAAAUUGGUUUUCAUAUUUUAGCUUCAUGUGAGUUUAAUUCUUGCCUUUUUCUUGUAAUUUUUAUGUUUUUAAGACUUUUACAAUUAGGUCCACUAGCUAUUUCAUCAGUUUUUUUAUUUUAUUGAGAAUUUUAAAAGUUACCAUUGAUGAAUACUCGAUAUUUUUGAUGAAAUAACAUGGAUUUAGAGCUUUAAUUUUGUUGUAUGAUGAUUUUAAUAAGUGAUUUGUUAAAUAUUGAUUUUAGGACUAAAUUGUGAAGAAUUAAAGAAUUAGGGUUUGGUAUUAAAUUUAUACGUAUCAAGGGCUAUAAUAUAGCCUAUAAUAUUUAGAUAAAUCAUCAAUUGAGAAAAAUUAGUUCAUUUGAUAGACUAAUUAGGAAGGGGACUAAAUUGCAAAAGUUGUAAAAAUUAGGGUAAUUGUGUAAUUUCAAAAAUUGAGGGGUAUUAAUUGUGAAGUGAAUUGGAACUGAAAUAUAUGCCAAAGAAUGAGUAAUUUUAUAUUUUAGAUCAAAAGUCCGUAGAUACUCGUGAAAAAGGGGAAAUUAGAAGAAUAGUCUCUGAACUUUUACAAAUUUUACAAUUUAACCCAGGUAAGUUCAUAUGGUUAAAUUUUAUUAAUUAUAUUGAAUUGGUGAAUUAUAUUAUGUAUUUUAUUAUAUUUUUGAAAAAUGAAAUAUUGUUAAAUUAUAAAUUUGAAGUGAAUAUCUGGUUUAAAUGGAACACGGUAUUGAGUACAAUCAUUGUGUGACGAAAGACAACAAAGGAAGAAUUGAUGAAAAAUUACCCAAGUAAACUGAGGUUCAGCAUUUUUUACGAACUUUCGUGUUUACUUUCCGUUUAGCUCUCACGAGCUUCUGUUUAACUUAUAUGAGUUUCCAUUUAACUUUUUUGAGCUUCUGUUUAACCCUUAUGGGUUUCCAUUCAACUCUUAUGAGCUUCCGUUCAACCCUUAUGGGUUUCUGUUUAGCUCUUAUGUGCUUCUGUUCAGCCUUCAGGCUUCUGAAAAUUAUGUACUCAUAUCUGUAAGUCAUUCUCCAAUUUGGUAAGACUUGGUAAGUGACUUAUGUAAUUGAAAUUGAAAAUUUUAUUAUUUAUUAUUGAUAUUGAUUUGAAAUAAGUGAGUUCAUUGAUUAAGGUUGUGAUUGACAAGAAGAUUGCAUGAAUAAUUUUGUAAAUUUGAUUUGUUAUAAUCGGUUCGGUAAGAUUUAUGUUUAACUUAUUAAACUUACUAAACUUCAUUAAGCUUACUUGUGUUGUUUAAUGUCCUUGUAGAUAAAGUGAGGUCGGGAGAUCGAAUCAACACAUCAAGUCACACUAUCCAGCUCAUCCCGAUAGUCUUUGAAACAUAUUAUAUGGUUUAUAUGGUAUGUAUAGGGUUGGAAUGGUUUUAAGUAAAAUUAGUUUGUGCAAAUGUUAAAAAAAAUCACAUUUUGUUAUAUAUUUCCCAUCAACUUAUAUAUGUAUGGUUUAAUCAUGCUUGAUAUAUGUUUGGAGUAGUUAAAUGAUGGAUAGCUUAUAGGCAUAUAGGUGAAUGUGUAAUAUAUUUUAAUUGACAUAAUAAAUCAAAUAUGUGAUUUAAUCAAUACGGUAAAUUAAAAAUGUUAGGAUGUAGGUGGUAAUAACAUAUGUUUUAAGCUUGAUUUAGUUGUACUGAGGGAUUUGUUAUGGCUUAUGAGAGUGUAAUUUGAAGUGUUUAGGUUGGAAUUUAAAUGGGUGAGAAAAGUGCCUUGAAAUGGCCAAUUUUCGUCCACACGGGCGUGUGUCUUAGCCGUGUGUGACACACAGCCAAGCACAUAGGCAUGUGGUCUAGCCAUGUGUCCCCUGCAUCGUUAAAAUUUAGAAACAUAACACUCAAGUUUUUGCACACGACCUAGCACAUGGGCGUGUGGCUUGGCCGUGUGACCCCUACACCUUAAUUUCAUAACACACGGCCUAGCACACGGGCUUGUGACUUGACCGUGUGACUCAAGUCAGAGAGUUACACAGGCAUGGACACGGGCUGGGACACGACCGUGUGCCUCACAUCGAAUGCCCACACGGCCUAAGACACAGGCGUGUCUCUUGGCCUUGUGAGCCACAUGGCCUGGCCACACGGGCGUGUGUCCCCUGCACCUAAGAAAAAGAUUUAAAAUUUCGGGAAAAUUUCUCUGAGUUUUCGGUUUAGUCCUGAUUUAUUUUUGAUGUGUAUUUUAGGCCUCGAGGGCUCAUAUAAGGGACAAUAUGAGUGAUUUAUGAUUGGUUUCUGAUAUGUAUAUUAAAUGUUAUGAAAUUUUUGUAUUCAAAUUUGAAAAGUCCGGUAAUGCUCCGUAGUCCUGUUUCGACGACGAAUAAGGGUUAAGGGUAUUGCAAAUGAACCCUAUUAGAUAUGAUACAUUUGAGCUUGAAAGUGACAUGGAUGUCGAGUUAAUCCUCAAUGCGUAUUACUCUACUAAAAAAUCUAUAAUAGAGUUAAAUGCCCAGUUUGUCGAUAUCGAGAAAGGUGGUCCGAGUUUGACAAUAGUUCCAAUUAAUUUGUUACGAUAAUAGAAAGCAAAAAGUCCAACCACACAGCUAUGUGGUGGUUUCAUGAUGUUGUUACAAAGCUCAUAUUUGAUAACAAAGAGUCCUUACAACCUGCACCGGCGAAGGGAUAUCCAACCCUGAACAUGAAACCACAAUUGGGAUUGAUAACAAAGAGGAAGUUGAAAACAAAAAGGAGAUGAAACCAAUGAUGACCCAAUCCGGGAGUCCCAGUUGAAUGGAUCAUAUUUGUAUUAUUUUUUGAACCAAAGGCUAAACCUAUUAAACCAGAAGGGAAUGGUUUUGACAGUGAAAGUCUGGACAAUGCUAGAGGAACCCAACCAAAUUUUACAGCAUAUAAACCUCCACCCUACAUGCUUAAUUCAACCUUGAUGCUGAAGAUGGGUUAAAAUUUUCAAAACUUCUUCCUAAAAGAUCAAGCCAUGCAAAUUCUCACAAAUUUUGACAAUUUACAAGUUGGAAUGGAGUUUUCCUCCAAAGAUGAUGUUGGUGUAGUGAACCAGUAUAACAUAAAGCAUGGAGUCCACUUUGAUGUUACAAAAUCGCAAGUUAAAAAAUAUAAGACGAAGUGUGCAAUGCAUGAAAGUAGAUGUCUAUGAAAAAUCAUCUGAAAUGAAGGUGAAAGUCUAGAUAAUUAAAAAAUAUGAUGCUCAACAUACUUGUGUUGUUGCAGAUAUGUCACAAGAUCAUCUGAAAUUGGAUUCUGACCUUAUCUCUAACAUUGUCUUAUCCAUAGUGAAAUAUUUGUGUUGUUACAUGUAUGUCACAAGAUCAUCCAAAAUUAAAUUCUUACCUUAUCUCUCACUUUGUCUUACCUAUGGUGAAAGUGAAUCCUAAGUUCCCGUGCCGGUUUUGAUUGAUGAUAUUUGCAAUGAGUAUGAUUGCACCGUGUCGUACUACAAGACAUGAGUUGCAAAACAGAAAACAAUGGAAAAAAUGCAUAAUGGAUGAAAUAAAUCAUAUAACUUGUGACAAUGGUUGAAGGUAUAGAAUCAAGACAUCCCAAGUACUUUCAUCGGUCUGCAAAUGGAGUCUGUGUAGCAUGAAAAUUGAUAUGACAUAAUUUGAUAUGUCAAAUUAGGCUUCCCAUUAUGCUUAAAGAGCUUGUUUUUUAGCAAUUUAUAUGUUUUUUUCGUGUUUUUACUUAGUUUUCGUUCUUUGCUUUAAUAAGUGAUAUAGUGCGUUUUAUGCCACUUUUGAGACUCGAAAUGAUCAAAUGUGCCAUAGGGAACCUAAUGGUUGAUUAAGCGUUGUAGGGAGUCAUAGGAGGCCCGAACAUGAGCGAAAACAUCACCUAGAAGGGGGUAUCGCGAUAUCGAAGUAUGAAAGUCAUGAAACCCCUACAGUGCUAAAUUAAAAAGGAUCGAGGCCAUCCACAUUGGUAUCACAAUACCAACUAUGAGUAUCGUGAUACCCAACUCCCAAGGAUUCCUCCAAGUCAAGACCAACGUGGGUAUCGUGAUACUCCUGACGAGAAGAGACAAAAAAUGAUUGUAGGGGCAGACUUUGUCCAACUUCAGCACCAAUAAAAAAUACACACUAAAGGGCAAUUUGGGCAUAAAUGUUAGGCCAGGAAAAUGCUAAAAUAGGCUAAAUUUGGCUGAAAGAAAUGAGACACUUCACAUUAGCUAGUUUUUACAUUUUUCUCUUCAUUUUUUAGAGUUUAGUUCUUCUUCUCCAUAACUUAAUAUUUAUUUUCAUGUUCAUUUCUAGUUUUUCUUAGUUCCAUUGCUGGUAGUUAAGUUAGUUGUUAUUAUAACUAGGAUUUAUUUACUCGUUUAGCACUUCAAACUUCAAUGUAUUUUCACUUUAAUCCUAGUUUAAUGUCAUUUAGUUUUCCUCAAAUUUCUUUGUUAAAAAUAAUUCCUUUAGUAUUUUCAAUCACUUAUCUUGCCGCCAUUGUUGUCUUCUCCAAGCUUUUGCAAUAAAGCUUGGGUUUUUAUUUAUUUGCUUUUGGUUUAAGCUUAUGUUAGUUUUGUCUGAUUCUUUGUUGUUAAUAGGUUUAAAUAUAAGCAUGAGUAGUUAAAUCCUAAGUGAUCGGUUAAUGAAAAUGAUGGAUAACUGAUUUUUUUAUUUGAAACGAUCCCACACUCGGCAGACGUGAGCUUGAGGAUAGCAGAGAAGACUACUCGGUUGAAGCACUAUCCUAGACGAAUCAAAAAGGUACAAUUUUGACUACUUGGUUGAAGCACUAUCCUAGACGAAUCAAAAAGGUACAAUUUUGAUUAAGUAUUUAUUACUUUAGAUAUCACAAUCAAGAUCUUGUUUUGGAAAUUUUUUAAAACUCUGGUUUUCCCUAAAUUUAUUUUUCGUUGCGUUUUCCAAACCCGUUUUUUCCAACAUUACGAUAUCCAAGUGACAAGGAAACAUCUUAUUUCAAUACUGACGACAAUAUCGCGAUAUCCAACCCUAGGUAUUGCAAUAUCAUUAUCGUAAAGGAACAAAAAAUGACGUCAUGGGUAAUGUUUGUCCAGCUGAAACACCAAUGAGAGAAGGCCCAUUCAAAGGUAUUUUGGUCAACAAAGUGGGUCAAAAUUUGUUGCUAAAUCAACCAAAAUUGGCUGAAGAGAGUGAAAGACUACACUAGUUUAGUUUUUUGCUUUAGUUUUCUCUUAGAUUUUCUUCCCCAUUUUCUAGGGUUUCUUCUUCUCAUCUUCUUCCUUAGUUGUAGUUAUUAUUUUUCCUGCAAUUUCUUGUUGUUCUUAGUGUUAGUUAAGUUAGCUAUUACUGUAGCUAGGGUUUAUUUGCAUUUCCAGCCCAUUUACUUCACUUGUAUUGACACUUUCAUCUUUGUUUAAUGCAUUUUCAGUUUCUUUAUUUUACUGUUAGAUGUUCAUCUUUGUUUUGCUCUAAAGUUUUCUUCAUUAAAAGUCCCAACUUUAUCAGUUUUCUUAAGCUUUCCUUUUAUGGUUGUCAUGGUUGUUAUUUUUAUGUUUGUUAGUUUAGUUUUCAACAUGAGUAACUAAACUCCUAAAGAGGUUGGUUGAUGAAGAUGUGGUUAAGCUGAUUUUAGGUUAAGAGACUAAAUUGUAACAAAUUAGACUAAAUUGAAUGAACGUAAAAACUUAGGAUUGAUGACCCUAAGGAAAGAUUGCAAGUGAGACCAAGCAGUAAUCUUGUUGAGCACUAAUUAAUUAGUUCCGGGUUAGCAGGCAAGAUCAAGAGAUAAACUGAACUAAUUUGUAUAAUUUGGUAAAGUUGAGAUCGAAACGUAAAAUGGAACCACUUUAGGAGUUUAUGCAAUUUAGGACUUAAUUGAAUGAUUAGUGAACCGCAUUGAAGCCAACCAACCACCUCUUGUUAUUUAUUUGUGAAUUUCAUAACUUUACAUCCUUUACUAUUUAGUCCUUUAAGUUGUUAACAGAUAAUUGAUCUGUCGUAAUUCGGUGUAGUAGAUUAAACUAAUUUUCGUACUUUAGGAGCUUGAAAACAAGUAUUCUCAUUAGGUUUUAAUUAUGUUUUAGUAAAUUUAAUUAAAUUCAAUAAAAUAUGCAAAUUGAAUCUUUUAUUAACCUUAGAGGCCGAAUGAGGUCUAAGGGUGACCUAAUGAACUUCGUGAGUGUACAGGAGACCAUUAGAAGGUAUGCUGAACCGAUACUGGUUGCUAUAUCGCAACACAGAGGUUCAAUGUCACAAUACAGGAAGUAGAAUGGAGGAAUUUUGAGACUGCCUUCGAUGUCGCGACAUAGCUUGAGUGUGUUGCGACAUAUCCCUGAAGACAUCUUGAAGAAAAGUAUACUAACUUCUACUUUGCAACACAAAUCCUGAUGUGCCGCGGCAUCGACUCUGGACAAGAAUUAAUACAAGUUAGAGGACGUUUUAGUCUUCACAAUCAAAUUUAAAGCUCGGGAAUAUCAACUAACCAGGGUUAAGGACGACGGUUACCUCAAAUCUAUAAAUAAGCUCAUUUGCCACAUGUUAUGGAUAUCAAUUACUUAGCUUAGAAUCUCUCUUUUAAUUCCAGUUUAGCUUUUCUCUUUUCUCAGGUUUUAGAUUUAUUUUCAGUUUGUUCUUUAUUUUAUUUCAAGAGAUCUGAUUUGAGGAUACAAUCAACUCUUGUGGAUUCGCUUUUACUAACAAUACAAAUUAGUCUUUUUCUUAAACUCUAUACUUUUGAUUCACUUAUCACGUUUACACUUUAUAUCGACUCUAUACUGUUUAUGAAAACCAUAAGGAACUAAUCCCUCUAUGAGGGAUUAGUAAGUGGAGGUAUGAUAUAUUAACUAUUUUAUAGGGUUACUCAACGAAUCGGCUGUUUGGAAAAGAAAGAACCUAAACCCUAGGCUUGACGACCCUAGGAAGUCAUCAAUGUAGGAAUUAACCCAAAAUUGGUAUAACCUAUUUGUGAACACCUUCACCCUAAGCCAGUCUGGACUAUGAGGUCGGAAGAUAAAUAGUCCUUAUUGACUUGUUAUUCUAGUGGACGUAUCGGAAGAUCAUACUAGGAUAUCGACUAGUUGAUUGACAAGAAACCCAAAAGGACAGUUGAUGAAGAUUACGGAAGAGCUAAUCACCCAUAAUCAGAUCUGAUUAAUUCCACUUUUCAAUUUGUUGAUAUUUAUUUGCUAUAGUUUAUUAUCAUAAAAAUCCCAAAAAUCUCUUUUAUUUAUAUUUGCGUAAUGUAACCUAUUUCAAGUACUAAUUAUAUCUUUUGGUGUCUAGGUUAAAAUUAAUCUAGCACUAGCCUCCCUUGGGUACGAACACAACUAGACCCGUAUACUUGUGGAUACAACUUUAUUAAUAUAUCUUUAGUAGUUUACCCUAAAAUUUAAAAUAAUAUAAAAUUAUUUUUACAUUAAUAUUUAUAUUUUUUAUAGUUAAUUUAAAGAAAAUAUUUUUUUACCAUAUAGAAAUUAAAUUGAAUCAGACCCACCCCGUAAAAUCUAGUUAGGUGAAUCACACAUUUUGCUCUUGCAUUACCAACAAAAUCAUAAGAGAUUUUUUACAAACAAGAUAAAUCCCUUUUAGAAUCACAGCAAAUCAACAAUAGUGGCAAAAAGGAAAAAUAAAAUAAUAACAAAGGUUUGUAAAACACCAUUUAGCACUCCACGCCACAUUGUUUAAGAACUGGACCUGUUUGUUUGGGCAAGAAGGGAUCGAUCCGUACCCAAACAAGUGAGAAAAUCGAUGCCAAAAGUAUGGACCAAAGCACAACAAUGGUGGGCGUCCUGUUUUGUCUCCCCAUCAAACCUUUGAGGAAUGGGUAAAGAUGAAGAAUGACCCAGAAUGCGAAGAACAGUUUGCCGAACAAUGGACCCCAUGAACCAUAGCCGUUGUUGAUUGCGUCUGAAACUCCGGCCACAACUCCGACCAUGUUCAGUAUUAUCAGAGUUGUGGGAGGGAUUAAGAGAGUUGUCCAUUUGAAGAGAUAAAGUUCACCGAAUUCUGUAUCCUCUGCUGCUUUUGCUGUUACGGUGAAGUUGGUGUCUACUCCAGCUAGGACUUUGAGGAGGCCUUGGAAGACGGCGAAAAGAUGGGCGGAGACACCUCCGAUCACCCAGAAUUGUUCAUUGCGCCACCAGUCUUGGAUGCUAACCCCGCUCCAUCGAAGUUCAAGCACUCCAGUUGCAAUGAUGGAGAGGAAAAGUGCCAAGAACCACACACUUGUAAGGUUGCUUAGCUGCAAGAAAACCACUACUUGUCAAGCUUACAGAAUCAAGCAAAAAAAAACCCGCCCCAUUGCAUUGCCAUCCUUAGCCAAUUUCGUAAAAUAAUGACAGUAAAUACUUACAGUUGGGAUGAUGAAUUUGCCAGUGAGGAGACAAACAGCUGGAAUAGUACAAUAGGCGAGUAAAGGGAUCGAGGUGAAAGGGUAAACAAUGGUGUUGAUAUAAGCAAGCCUCUCGAGCCAUUUCAGUUUUCCGCCAUAACCAUACCAAAGUGGACAGUGACGACUAAGGAAAAUUUCUACAGAGCCAAGUGCCCAUCUCAAAACUUGGUGCAACCGAUCUGAGAGAUUGAUUGGAGCGGACCCUUUGAAUGCCGGUCUUUUCGGUACACAAUAAACCGAUUUCCACCCUCUACAAUGCAUCUUGAAACCUGUUAAAAUAUCCUCCGUCACCGACCCAUAAAUCCAUCCGAUCUGCAAUGCCAAUAAUACAGGCUCGUUAAUGCAUAAAUUGACUCCUGACCUAUAUGAAAUGUAUUGAAACAUAACAGUUGCAAAUGGCAUUAGUCCAUUGAAGUAAUCCGUUGAAAUAUAUAAUAUUACUCGCCUCUUUGCCCCACUCAGUUUUUUCUUCAUAACCACAGCUAAUUACGUGAAUGGCUUCUUUAAUCAGUGAUGUGGAAUUAGUUCCUUCAGGAAGGCCACCAUUUUCCAUCAAAGUUGAGGCAAUGAAAACCGGUGAUUGCCCGAAUCGUUUCUCGAAAUUCUUCUGCGACAUUAACGACGAUUUCUCCAGUUCUUCGUAUCCUUCAAGCCCUUCUUCGAUUUCUUCGAGAUCAAAGACUGGCGCAGACCCUUUUUUCACAUAGUUUUUGCCCAUCAUCUUCUUCUUCUUUUUUCCGUAUAAAAGACCUCCGAGUAAGCCCUUCUUUUCGCCUUUCUUCUUUGAUUUCUUCCUAGAACCUCUGCAACAACAGCAACACCAAGAAGGCCAGCAAUCACAUGUCAUCUUCGGUCGUUUCUCAGAGACUGGUGGAUCGUAGCCAUACAAUGCCUGCCUGUUGAAAACACACCCUGUGCCUACAUAUACAGGGCCUUGAAGUCCAUCUAAUCCCAACAUGUUGAUCUAUAUAAAUCGAAAAUGAUGUUUUAGGCACUAAUUUUUUUUAAACCAAAAUUUUAAAAAAUGAUGAAUGAAAGUAAGUCGUACAUCGAAGAAGACGACGUUUCGAUUAGCAUAUCGAUCAUGAUGAUCAAUACCAUCAAAUCUCUGUGGAAAUUGAACAUAACAAAGCUUCUUUCCAAACUGAGGAUCCAUUAAAAAGCACAUCGCUUCCCUCAUGGCCUUGCUAUUGUUGAUGUAAUGAUCACAAUCCAGAUUCAAUAUGAAGGGUGCAUUAGUAAGCACUGCAGAAACUCGAACCUGCCGAUGGCAUACAUGACCCAAACAAGAUCAACAAUGAAUAUGAUAAAAUGGUAAACAGUUACGAUUCAUAUUCAGUAGUUUCACUUUUCAAAAACCAAACGAAAAUUAGACCAGAAAAUGAGUAAAUCACCAGAGCAUUCUCAGCACCGGCUUUCUUAUGGUGCUGAUAACCAGGUCGUUUCUCACGAGAAACAUAGACAAGUCGAGGCAGCUCUUUGCCAUCCACAUCAAGUGCACCGGCACUUCCUAGAUAGACCUGUGAAAAUAAAGAAUUACGUGGUUCAGUACGGAUGUCUAUGGGAAAAGAUCCAAAAGGUUUACAUUGUAGAUAUUAUGAAUCCUAUCGUAAUCUCUAUAUUACCUGAAUCAUUCCAGGAUGAUCACGAGUGUUAUUUCCGGGCCACGGGGUGCCAUCUUGCAUCACCCAUCCUUCUUCUGGUUUCUUCUGAGCUUUUGCUACUAAUGCAUUGAUCCUUACUUUAAAUUCUUCAUAUUCCCUCUGCAGUAACAUAAGAAAUAUAUAUUAAACCCUUGUUAACUUGUGAACAAGAACUAUGAAGUUACAAGUUACUCGAGCUCGAUAACAAAAUUAGAAUUCUGUUAUCAAGUUGAGCUCAAGCUCAAGCAGCUCAAGCUAUCAAAUAAGUCAAAUUUGAAUUCAAUAUUCUAAUGCUUGGCUCUAGCAACUAGCAAGCUUCUAAUUAGUAUUAAAACUGAACUCAGGCUCAAACACAAAUAAUCGAAUUUAAAGUUGAGCAUAAGAAUAAGCUCAAAUUUCACUAGGUGAACGAGUCUAAUCAAGUGAACUCGAACGAGUCCAACCAUUCAAUUUAUAGCUCGAAUUUAGCUCAAACUUUAAAAUUAAAACUUGAUAUAAAUAAGCCUAAUCGAUCAAUUCGAUCUUUUUUAUACUUUACCAAACUCAAAUCUAAUUUCAAUUCGAGACGUAAGCUCUAACUCCUUGAGUUCGAUUCAGCUGUACUCGAGCACACACAGAAACACAGCGAGAUAGGCAACUUACUUUCAUGGCUCUCCGUUCUUUAACAAAGCUAGGAUGGACCUUGUCCUUCAAAUAAUCAAUCUUCUCAUUGAAAUAAAACUCCGGCGCCCUGGGCUCAACAUUAUGCUUCUUACAAAACGGAACCCAUCUCCUCGCGAACUCAGCCGUUUCAGACAACGAAUCGAAAAGAAGCAUGGAAGCACCAUCGUCCGACACAUAACAACACACUUUCUCGACCGGGUAAUCGACGGCCAAGAUCGAUAGAACCGUGUUGGCCGUUAUGAUGGGGGGUUCCUUGAGAGGGUCGACGGUACUGACGAAGACGUCGACGGCGCCAAGUUGAUUGGGCUCUCCUUCACGCUCGAACCUCAAGGAGAGGCGAUCGAGGUAAGUUUCGCGAGUAAUAGGGAACCAUUUGGGGAACUGAUCGAGAAUCCAGGAGAAGGCGAACCAAACUUCGCAGAUGACAGAGAUUAGCCAUAACGGGUAAGCGUCGUAGGCGGGUGUUAGAAUACGGAACCGGAGGAAAAAUGCGAGGAUGAAGAAUCGGAGGACGAUGACUAUCCGGUAAGGGCUUAUCAGACUUGACGAAAUUGGCACUUUUCGCCAUAGAGGCUGGCGAGCUUCAGCCAAGCUGCAAGAAGUGAUUAUAUUACCAUAAUUAUUCGAAAUAAAUUAUCUUUGUCUAAUAUUUUAGUAAGGUUGAGUUUUUAUAAUUAGCAAUUUAAAAAAUUUUAAAAUUAAGAGAUUAAAUUUUUAAAAAUAAAAAUAAAGAGGAAUUUUUUAAAAAAUUAAAUAUGCUUUUUUUUAUUUUAAAAAAUAAAAUAUUGACUUACAGAUAAUCAUCUUCUUCAGGAGGAUCAUUUCCGCCAUUAUCGUUGCUUACCAAACCUCUUUUUUCUUGCCUGACUUUCCAUUUCUCAACUCUUUCUUUCCAUUCUUCGCUUCCGUAAAUCUCUUUAUCCCCUUCCAAAUCCUUCCCCGCCGCUGCCCACAUCAAUUUAAACACUCAUACUUCGCAAUCUUAUUCAAAUCCAAUUUAAAAAUUAUUCAAAUCGAGAUUGCUUGAAUUGCGCUACUUACUGCUUCCGGCAACUGAGAAAGCUUGACCAUUGGGAUGCCAUUGAUGAUUAUUAUUAUUAUACUCCUCAUUUUCCUGCAAAUAUUAACCAUUGUUUUUUUUUAGAAAACUAUCUGAUCGAUCGUAUUGUUCUUUUUUCACCUUAAUUUUUUUUUUCAAAUACGUACAUGUUGUGGAUGCGAGUCAUCCUUGCGGUUCUUAAUCUGAAAUUCAUCAUCAAAAUCAUCUUGAUCUGAAUCAUCUUCUUCAUCUCCUGAAAUUCUUGGACUACCUGCGGAACAACAAAACACGAAGCAAUAUUAUAUAUAUGUACGCAAGUACAUGUGAGAAGGGUUAAAACAAAUUAGGGUUAAUUGUACUAUAGUCCUCUGACUAUUUCCUAGAUUCUAGAUUGGUCUCUGAAUUUUAAAAUGUCUUAAUUGAAUCUUCAAAAUAUAUCAUUUUAUCAACCUAACUUACACAUCAACUUAAAUUUGAGGUGGAACAUAUUUAAAACACGUGUAUCAAAUUGGAAACAUGUAUACACUUACCGUAUAGACAACUUAGAUCUAGCAUGUAAUGUUUUAAAUCAAAUCACUAGUUUUCGGUUCAAUCAAUUUGACCAUUGAUAUAGAAAUAAUUAAUAAAAAAUUAAAAAAUAUAUUUAAGAAAUUAUAAAUUAUUUCAAUUGCUGAUUUUUUUAUCUCGAUUUUUAGUUUUUUUACCAGUUCCGAGUGACUCACUCAAGUGCCAGUUCAAUCCCUUUGUUCGAGAAGGAAUAACUCUCUUAAAUUUUAUUGCCUUGCCUCUUUCUUUUUUUUUCUUUUUUUUAACAAGUAAGAUCUAAGUUAUUUAUGUAAUAGAUAUACACUUAUUUACAAUUUAAUUCAUGUAGAUCCAAACUUUCAUCUAAUAUCUAAAUUAAUGGUUAACUAAAGGACCUAAAAUUAAAAAUAAUCCAAAAAGUUUAGAAAUCAACAAUAAUUUGGAGACGUCUAUGAAUUAAAAUAUAAAACCUUUGUGACGCUUAUAGCGAGUAUUGCACUGAGGACAGCACUGGUUUCCUUCACUCCUUUCAUAUUCAUAACAAGGGCGGCAAACCGGGAAAGCACAGACAUGACAAGCCACGAACGGUUGUCCGUUUUCCUUUUGCCCGAUCUUAUCCCCACACACUCUGCAUAUCUUCGUUGAUGAUUGAUGUGUCGAUGAUCCCCGAUUCUGCCAUCAUCAUAAUCAACAAAUACAUAAUUCCACACACUAAUAAUUAUAAAACAGAGAAAGAAGAAGAAGAAAAUACCUCGUCGACAGCAAGUGAACCAAAGCCAGCAGCCAUGGUGGUUGAAGCCAUGGCAAAACCAAAAGAACGAAAGAGAAAGAGAAGGUGAAGAUUGAAGGGAGAGAAAGGGAGAAGAAGGGUAUUAUAAGGUGGCAGUGUGUACCAAACUGUAAGUUGGGAAGUCGUAGGUUUGAGUCUAAGAGACGUUACCGGUGAGAGCGGUAGGGUGUUUUUUUUUUUUUUUUUUCUUUUGUUGAAUAGCUAGCUUCGAUUCAAAGGGAGGGACAUCGUCUCACCUCGCCAUGCCUAACAACGAUUUUUAAAAUUUGGGAUAAAGCAAUAUUUACUCCCUGACAUUGUUAAUAGUUUUCAAUUUGAUCCCUAAACUUUUUCUUGGUCCACAUUUUUUUCCGAUUUGAUCCCUGAACUUGGAUUUCAUUAAAGUAUGAUGGUGUGAUCUUCAGCUAUUUUUUUUAAAUUACAUAAAUUAAAAAUACGAAAAAAAUUAAAAGAUGACAUGAUACAAUCUUAAAGCGCGACUAACAUGGAUAAAAAAAUUAACCAUGUUUAGAGAUUAAUUUUUACUUUAUCCGUUUAAAUUUCGAUGGUUGAAUUGUGAUUCUAGUCUCACUAUUUAAAUAUAUAUAAUGUGUUAGUUCAAAUAGAUAAUAUCAUUAAUUACUAUAUUAAUAUGGAUUUUUUUUUUAAAACACAUUCUUGUGGACUUUUUUAUGAUGGAAGUUGUGUUUUUGAAAAAAAAAAUCCACAUAAUUAAAAUUUUAAUGAAAAUAGUUAAUGGUGUUAUUUAUUUGGACUAACUACUAACAAUAUAAAAAUUAAAGGACUAAAUUAUAAUAAAUUAAAAUAUAUAGAUUAUAUCUCAAUUUUGAAUAAGGACCAAAAUCAUAAUUUAACCAAAAUUUUAUAUAUAUAUAUAUAUAUAUAUAUAUAUAUAUAUUCAUGUCGUGUAUUCAAUGCUGCUAGGUAUAACAAAAGGGUAUACAUUUAUCUUGCAUGUGCUAUGUACCCUAACACACCAAUAAACCAAGCAUUGAUUUUUUAUUUAUUUUAAAUUAUUGUUUUGAUAAAGGAAGAAAAUGUUCAACAAUAUAAAUAAAUAUUGUCGAUUGAGCCUUAAUUCAAUUAGCAUUGAUAUUGUUAUUAAUGUAGAAGGAUGUGGGUUUGAGUGCGCUGAAAUGUAUUAUCCUCCUAUUUAAGAAUCGGGGAGAAGCUAUAAAAAUAGGCUUAACAGUGUAAAAAGCCCUCAAAGUUUUUCAAGAAAAGCAAUUAAGCCCCUGUUUUAUUUUUUGCACUCAAUUGCGUACUUAAACUUUCAAAAUGUAUUAAAAAGACCUUCAAAUUUUUUAAAAAAAAAGCAAUUAAGCCCCUUUUUUUUUGCACUCAAUUGGGUACUUGAACUGUCAAAAUAUACCAAAAAAGCCGUCAAAUUUUUUUUUAAAAGCAAUUAAGCCCCUACUUUUUUUUUACACUCAAUUUCCAAAAUGCAUCAAAAGGCCCUUUGACCGUUAACUUUAAUGGUUGAUCGUUAAAGCUAACCGCCCCUAAUAUUUUUUAGUUAAAACCGCCACAUGCCACAACCACGGCGUGACUUGCAAAAAAUGAUAAAAAUAAAAAACAAUUAAAGUUAUAAAAAUUAUUAAAUUUUAAUAAAAAUAAAAAAUAUUUAUUUUUUAUUAAAAAUUAGAAAAAAUUAUAAAAAAAUUAUAAAAAUCAUAAAAUAUUAUAAAAUAUAUAUAAAUAUAUAAAAAAUUAUAAAAUUUUAUAAAGUCGUAAGAAAAUUACAAAAAAUGUAAAGAAAAACAAAAUUUGUAAAAAAAUUAUAAAAGUUAUCGUACCGAAAGAAGCAUUUUACAACUUUUCUAUAACUUUUAUUGAUUUUUAGUUUUUUUAUCAUUUUAUGUCACAUGUCACAUUAUGUUGCGGCACGUGAUGGUUUUAAUUGAAAAAACUGGGGUCGUUAACUUUAACAGUCAACGGUUAAAGGGCCUUUUUUAUGCAUUUUAUAAUCUUUUUUAUGUUUUUUAUAAAAUUUUAUAAUUUUUUUCUAAUAUUUAAUAAAAAAUAAAUAUUUUUUAUUUUUUAUUUUUUGGCACAUGUCACAUCAUAGUUGUGAAACGUGGAGACUUUAAUUGAAAAAAAUUAGGGGUGAUUAGCUUUAAGGUCAAAUGACCUUUUGAUUUAUUUUAGAAAUUGAGUGCAAAAAAAAAAGUAGGGACUUAAUUGCUUUUUUUGAAAAAGUUUGAGGGCAUUUUUGAUGUAUUUUGGUAAUUCAAGUACUUAAUUGAAUGGAAAAAAAACAGGGGCUUAAUUGUUUUAUUUUUUUGAAAAAGUUUGAGAGCCUUUUUUUAUGUAUUUUGAAAGUUCAAGUACCCAAUUGAGUAAAAAAAGCAGCAACUUAAUUGUCUUUUUUUUUUUUGAAAUGAUGCAAAAUGUUUAAGUAAUUAGUAUAACACGUUUAAUAGAUACGGGCAUAUUUUAUAAUUAGAAUUAUUUAUAUUGUAUUUAUAUUUAUACAAUUUAUCAAAAAAAACACAAAUUAUUCUCUUUUUUAUUAAACCAAUACGUCCCUUUCCCAUUCUUAAAAUUCCAAAAAUUUAGCUGCCUUUAUAUGAAUUUUGGGUUGGAAUGUAUUUUGGUAAUGUAUAGCACAUAAGGUUUGGUGGAUGUGUUGUCAUUUUUCUUACAAGGCUGAGCUAGUUAUUCAGUCAUAAUUAAAGCAAAACAUUAGGUCAAAUAUCCUAUUCCUACUUGAAUUUGAAAGAGAUGAUACCAUCCCUUCCUGUUAAAGAUUUAGCCUUGGUCGCAAUAUCUCAAGAUUUUGGUUUCGUCUUUCAUGGACACACUUUGUAAUCGCUUAGUUAAGUUACAUUACCGCAAUAUUUUCUCUUGGUCAUUCUAGAUUUUGUUACAUAAUCAUCUCUGUAUGAUACGUGAUAAGUUGUUGAGUAGUUCAUAAAUGACUCUUCAUUAGGAGCAGUUCGUAUACAAUCCUCCGCAAAUAACAAUUCGUGUCAACCCUUCGUGUGGUAUGAUUCGUAAGCGACCCUCCACAAUCCUACGCAUCUUUGUGAGAACCACCAAUGCAUAAUCGCCUCAUAUGGCCCUAAAGGGGAGUGUCAAAGCAGAACCACACAGUACACUCCAUGUUGACAGCUGACUUGCACAACUAUGCAAGUACAAGCUUGACUGCACGAGUGACCAAAGAUCUACUCUCUCCCUUAGCAAACUCUUUUUCUUCUUCUCCCCUUCCUUCUCCUACUUCUCUCUCUUCUCGCCACUGACUCUCCACCUGUCAUAGGUGAACCGACACUUCCCUCCAUCAUCCUCUCCUCUCUGUUGGUAACCUAUGUCAACAAAUUUUGAUAGGAAGAAGAAAAAAAUCAUGUUAAAUCCGUUUCAAUUUCAAAUUUAAGCAAAUUGAUCCUUUAAAAAAAUAUCUAUCACUAAUAAAAGUUAGGGUCUGUUUGAUUGACGGAAUUGAUUUUCCGGAAAAUCAUUUCCAACUUGUCUAGCGUUUGAUUGGCGGAAAACAUUUUCCAUUUGGAAAAUGAACUCCAAAACAAGGGAAAAUAGGUUACAUUUUAGGGAAAAUGUCUUACCCUUUCAAUUUCCGUAAGACAUUUUCUAUGCUCUCCUCUCUAUCGCCUCCUUCAUUCCUUCCUUCAUUUCCGGUAGAAAACUACUUCUGUUUAUCGAUUUUCCAGUAACUUGUUUUUUUAAUUAUUCAAUACUUGUUUUUUUUAACACAAUUACAAAUAAUUUAUUUGAUAUUAGUUUUUUUAAUUUAUAACGAUUAAUAUUGUAGCUUAAUAAUUGAGUAUUAUCAUAAAUAAAUCAUUGCAAUAUAUGUAAAAAUAAUUUAAAAUAUAAAAAUUUAUUAAUAUCUAUUAAUAUAUGUAAAAACAACUUUUCCGAAAAAUAUUUUCAAAAAAUCUGCCAAGCAGCAGAAAAUAUUUUACACAGAUUCAAUCAAACACCAGAAAAUAUUUUCCAGUAAAUCAUUUUACAGAAAAGUAAAACAUUUUCCAGAAAUCCUUUUACAGAAAAUAUUUUACUGGCAAUCAAACAGACCCUUAAUUUAAUCUUUGUCAAGUAUAAUAUACAAUAAAAAAAUAUUCAAAAGGGUGAGGCUUGAAAUUGAGAUUAUGAUUAAGCAAGUAGAAAAACCAUCCUACUCUAUCUCUACCAACAACAAAACCAAACUAGCAUUUUUAAAUUGCCAUCAGAAUUUUUAUCAUUCCGACGUCUUUAAUCUCUCGAAUCUUUGUUAAUUUAAACCAGAGACGGAUCCUCAUUAGGAUAGGGCUUAAGGGGCUUUUGCCUUCUAAAAUUUUUGAAAGUUUUAAUUAUGCCUCCUAAAGUUUUUAAAAAUUAUUAUUAAACGUUUGAAUUUUUUAAAAACUUCAAAUAGACUCUUCACUUUCUUUUCUUUUCUUUUUCUUUUUUUUUAAAAUUUUCAUAAAUCUCUAAAAUUUUGGAACUUUUAAUUAGACCUACCAAAAUUUUGGAAAUUUUCACUAAAAUUCUCAAUAUAUAUAUAUUGAAUUGCGUUGUCGUUAGAGUUUUAUCCUCUUCUUGUAAUUCAUCAAUAUAUAUAUUUAAAAUUUUACUUAAGUCAGUUAAAUCUCAUCCAUUUACUUUAAUAUUUCAAAAAGGCAUUUAUAUUAUUUUAAAUUUAAUAUUUAAUAAUUUUUAUAUUUUUAUUUAUUAUUAUUUUUAAAUAAUCAUCUUAAUAUUUUUUAAAUAUUUGCAUUAUACUAUUAUAUAUUACUAUAAAUUUAAAACCCAUGUAUCAUUUUUUAAAGGAUGUUUUAAAAAAUUAAAUUAAAUUCAUCUCUAAUUUUAAAUAUAUGAAAAAGACGUAUUUAUAUGGGCAGUGAAAGAUGGAGAGAGAGGAUAAUUUUAUUUCAAGUAUCUCAGUUUUAUUUUUUCAAUUUAAUCCAUAAUUUUAGGUUUUAAUUUAGUCAAUUUAAUCCCUCACACCAUGUUAUAAUUGAGUCUUACAUGUUUUUUAUUUGUCCAUUUCAUGGAUGCAGUUAUGGGUUUAUGCAAUUUGGUCAUGAAUAUGGUUUUUACCCAUGUCCUUAAAUUCGGUCAAUAAUUAGUUUUAAUUAUUGUUUCAUUUAUUAGUUUUAAUUCUUUUUCAAUAAUCAGUUUGUACUUUUUCUUCUAUGGUCACUCAGAAAAAUUAUAAAAAAAAUAUAUAUUUAAUAUAUUUUAAUUGAAUACAUUAUAAUCAAUUUAUGCAUCGCACGAGUAAAAAAAAAAAUUAUGUAUAUCACAUUGGUAUAAUAAAAAUUACAACAUACUAUCAAUUUUUUUUUGGUAGAAAAAAAUAACAUAAAACGAUUACGAAAAAACAUACAUUCUAAGAAUUAUAAAAACUUAUUUUAUCAGCUAAUAGAAGCCUUUGGAUCGAAAUUGAAAAUUCUUCAAAAACGACUAAACUUAAAGAACCAGAUACCUCAAGCCUUAUCAUAUGACCAACAACUACAUUUUAAGAUCUAACACACAUGAUCAACUUUUUAUUACAAAUAUUAAAGCGAAUGUUGAAUAAUUAUUUGUUAGGUAAUUAUAAAAUUAUUAGAUGGAUGCAAAUAAUGAUGAUUAAUGUAACAUAUUAUUACUUUUAAUAGAAUAAUUGAUAUAUAAUUUAAUUUAUAUGUACAAUAACUUAUAUGUUAAAAAUAAAUCCAAUCCAAAAUCAUAAAUAAUUAAUUAAUUAAAUGGAUGGAGGGGUCUAGAGAAUGUAAGUGGAUUGAAGAAUCUAACAGACAUAUUUUCUACACCAAAAGUCAUUAAAUUAUUAAUAAAUUUAUAUUUUGGUUAUUUAACUUUAAAAAUUAUAAAAAUAUCAUUGAACUAAUUAAAAUUUUUUAUUUAAGUCAUUGCAUUGUUAAGUUAUUUGAAAAAAAAACUGUCUAAUGAGUUUUAAGCGAUAACUCGACAAUUAGUAUAGUGGAUUAGUGCUCAUCAAAGAGUAGAGAACGGAAAAAAAAAGUUGUUUAGAUUUCAAUUUGCAGAUUCGUAAUGUUCAAAAUUGUAUCAUAAAAAAAAUUGAACCAUAGGAGAGAAUGAGAAAGAAAAUUUCUAAUUUAGUGCAAGUGAUGUGGAAAAAUAAUGCCUUUCAAUACUCAUUUUAAUAAUCCGGUAACUUAAACGAAGGCUUUGAACCCCAUGUUAUGGUUGAUGGUCAAGGGUGUUCACCGCCCUAGGUGUGGCUUGGGUUCGAGUUACGCUAAUCGUAUUUAUUGUUCGGGCUUUACCCUACUAUUAUAAUUCACAACAAAAAAAACUUUAAUAGAGACUUUCUUAUAAUUUAGUGAUUAUUUUGUAAUCAAAAUAUAACAUAAUUUUACUAAUAAGCAAUUUAUCCUUCUUUAUGUUUUGUGUAGAACAAAAAGCAUUUUGAUCCAUUUUUUCAAAGAAAUUGGGAAUAUAUCAAAAUAAUGCGGACAGGUUUAAAGAUCAGCAGCAAAGUAGCAUCCAAAUCUUCACUUUACGAGAAAAAAUGUUCGGGUGCGAAUGUUUCUACAGGAAGAAAAUGGAUCUGUUGCCUCUUUCAGACCCUGAACCCUUCUCCCUUCCAGCACCUCUCCCUCAAUGGCCUCAUGGUAUUACAAUUUUGAUUUUUUGGGUUUUCUUCGCAUUGUGUGUUUCUUUAAUGGGUUUGCUUCUUCUUCUUUUUUGAUUGGAUUUUUUAGCCUCGACUUGUCCUUUUCAUUGUUAUUUUCUGAUUGAUGGGGGUGAUUUCAUGAGCUACUGUUUUACUUAUUGUAUGAACUGAUGUUAUUUUUCAACCUUGUUUUGGAAAGUUUGCAACAAUAUGUUUGCCUCUUUGUUAUAUCGAAUUAUGGAUCAGUUGGGUAGCUGCAAAUAUGAGAUGUUGUUUUCACAUCUAUGAUGAAUGCAAAUAUAUAUAUAUAGCUUGUACUUGGGGAUGUUGAGUAUGGUAUCAUGUUUAUUAAACAUAUCAUGUUCGUGUUAUGUUUUCGUCUCGUUUCUAAAUUUUCCGGGUUUAGAUCGGAUUAUUGAUCAGUUGGGGGUAUCUGCAAAUAUGAGUUGUAGUUUCCACUUCUACAAUGAAUGCAAAAAUUUAGUUUGUGGUUGGGAUUUUUUGAGUGCAUUGUAGUGCUCAGUUAUAGUUUUUGUUCUUAAUACAAUAUUGAAAUGAUGAAACAAACGAUAAAAUCUGGGAAAAUUCUUGAAGAAAAAAAAAUUUAGCAGGCGAAGAACAGAGGGGUCUGUUUAAAAACUAAUUUACUGCAUUUGAAUAGACAAUUGAGUUUUGCUUUAAUGAUAUCAGAGAUGUAGUCUUUCCAUAUAGGUAUAUAAGUUCUUAUGCUUCUUCAGUUUUCCUUUCAAAUGAUGUAAGCUUUUGAGACCAACAAAUCUUGAGAAACACAGCUUUGAAAUAUCCCCUUUUUGAAAGAAUUUUAGCCUUCUCAAUCCCCUACAGAUCUUUGUGUUUGAGAGGCCGAAUUGUUAUGUCCUUAGACUUCCUGCAGAGAAAGUAAGCACUUCUACUGAUAGAUGAAAUCCAGAUAUAUGAAACUGAGGUAGUGUGGAAAAUCUAUCUAACAUGGUUAUACAAUUAUCCAAGAAGUAAUGAAAUGUUAUAUGAUUUAGUGCUAAUGCUAGACUAUGUCACACUGGCUCUUCAUUUUUUUUUAAAGUAUUCAUAUUUGACACCCUUGGUUUUUUCACACAUAUUUGGAAAUCGGUGUGGAGACACGAUAUACAUGUAUGUAUGUCCUAUACUUGCUUCUGAGUCCAGAUAAUAUAGGUGCUGGAUACGAAUCCGUUUACUCCAAUUAAUUCUUUGUAGCUUAUGCUGACAGGGCCACUAUGUUCUACUUUGAUUAUUCUUUUAAUUGUGGGUGAACAAGAACAAAUCUUUUUUCCUAGAACUGUUUCAUUUGUUAAUUUUGUAUUCCUUUCAAAAAACAAAUAUGAUACAUCAAAUUGUUUUUUCCAUGAACUCGAGAUGUGGCCCACUGUUGUUGCAUAAAUACCUUGAGUGUGAAUGGUAGACAUGGAUAUUUGUCUGACACGGGUAUACUCAAUUUUUUUUUCAAGAUUUCCAUCUAGUCGGAGGGUCCUUGGAGGAUUGUAUCCUUGUACUUAUAUCCGGAUAUUGUGUAGGACAUAUGUACUUCAAGAAAAUAACAAGUCAGAGCAACAUAAGGCAAAUCCCCCAUUCCCAAAUAAAAGUUUUUCAGCACUUAUUUUUGAGCUUUCUCUUAUGUUUGAGUAUCAUCUCUUUGUUUCAUCAUUCUUCUUCAUCAUAUGUCAGCUAAAACAAUCUAUAGGGUCCAUUAUUGAAUUCUUGAACUGGGAUGUGAGUGUCAGAUAUUUGUAUGUGUCUGACACAGCAAGGUCAGAUUUUUUAAAAUUUUUCUAUGUAUUUGGAGGAUCCUUGUAUGCCAUAUCUCUGUUCCCAUAUUUGGACAUGUCUGUUGGACACUAAUAUUUCAAGAAAAAUGAAUAGUCGGAACAACAUAAGUUUUGAUGUCAUGUGAUGUUUAAAUGCAGCAUAGUCCAUAGCGGAGGCUGGUAAAAUACAAUGCAAGUUCAAGUCAAAAGGUUCACUUGAGCUGAUGUGGUUCAAUCUUUUGUUAUCAUUUUGAAGAUGACUUAUCUUGAAAUUUCUUUUAUUGGCCUGCCUGCAUUUUCAGGUCAGGGAUUUGCUUCUGGAAAAUUAAAUCUCGGAGAACUCGAAGUUGUUAAAAUCUCGAGAUUUAAGUUCAUCUGGAGCAGUAACUUGGAGGACAAGAAAAUAGGUGUCACGUUUUAUAAACCAGUUGGAAUACCUGAUGGAUUUUAUAUCCUUGGUCACUAUUGUCAAUCUAAUGACCAACCUUUAAGAGGUUUUGUUCUUGUUGCUCGAGAGGCACCUUCCAAAUCUGAAGCCGCUGAUUUCUCAACUCGUGUUACUUCACCAGCCCUUAGGGAGCCUCUCGAUUAUACACUAGCUUGGAAAUCGAAUGAUGGGAGUGAGGGAAGUCUUGAAGGUUGCGGUUUCUUCUGGUUGCCACAGCCUCCUGAGGGUUACAAGUCCGUAGGUUAUUUGGUCACAAGUUCUAAAAAACCAAAAUUAGAUAAUGUGAGAUGUGUUCGAGCUGACCUAACUGAUAGAUGCGAAAAGUAUCGAGUUAUGCAUUCGGAAUUUUCGUUUCGAGUUUGGAGCACAAGACCGUAUCAUCGAGGGAUGCUGGGGAGAGGUGUCUCCGUUGGGACUUUUUCUUGCAUUAGUGAUUCGAUACCUGGACUAGAACUGCCUCUCUCAUGCUUGAAGAAUUUAGAUCCUUCACUACAUGGAAUGCCAAACUGUGAUCAGAUUCAUGCACUAAUAAACCACUAUGGACCUACAUUCUUCUUUCAUCCCGAUGAAAUCUACUUGCCUUCUUCAGUUUCAUGGUUUUUCGAGAAUGGAGCACUCCUGUUCAGAAAGGGGGACUCAGUAGGUGAACCAAUUGAUGUCGGUGGCUCGAAUCUACCUAGUGGUGGCUGCAAUGAUGGAGAAUUUUGGAUUGAUUUGCCAAGUGGUGAUCAGAGGAAAACUAUAAAACUAGGAAAUUUGGCAAGUGCUAAACUUUAUCUACAUGUGAAACCAGCACUUGGUGGGACUUUCACUGAUAUUGCUCUGUGGAUUUUCUGCCCCUUCAACGGACCAGCAACGCUUAAAGUCGGUAUUAUGAACAUUGCACUUAACAAGAUCGGACAGCAUGUAUGUGAUUGGGAGCAUGUUACACUCCGUAUAUGCAACUUUACCGGAGAGCUUUGGAGCAUAUACUUCUCUCAGCACAGUGGUGGUGUAUGGGUGAAUGCAUAUGAAUUGGAGUACACACAAGGAAAUAAAGCGAUCAUCUACUCGUCAAGAAAUGGACACGCUAGCUUUUCUCACCCUGGGACUUACAUUCAGGGUUCUGCAAAACUAGGAAUCGGUAUUCGAAACGAUUGCACUAGUAGUAACUUCUACGUAGAUUCAAGUACUCAUUACGAACUCGUUGCAGCUGAGUAUCUCGGAGAUGGGAUCGUAGCUGAGCCUGGUUGGUUGCAGUUUAUGCGAAAAUGGGGUCCAACUAUUGUCUAUGAUUCGAGAACUGAAUUGGAUAAAAUUGUUCAUGUUUUACCGGUGAUGCUUCAAUCGUCGGUGAAGAACAUUUUUGAUAAGCUUCCGGUUGAGCUUUAUGGAGAGGAAGGCCCUACUGGUCCUAAGGAGAAGAAUAAUUGGGUUGGCGAUGAAAGAGGCUAGUUUUGUGGGUUAGCCUCUGAUCUUAAUAGCAUCUUGCUGGUUCUCAUCUGCUGCCUAGCAAGUACCGGAGAUGGACAUGUAAUACGAGUACCGGACAUUGCCCCGGUGGGAGUGUAUGUGCUUCCUAGGCUGCCGUCCUUGUGUUCAUAGUACAACAGUCGGUGAAUUACAUGUUCAUACUUGGUGUAAUGAUUUGUAUAUGUAUCUUCUCAUUUGUUUCGGCUUUUCAUUUUUCUUGAAGUGCCUAUAUCCGAUGCUCGUGUCGAGUGCAUAUUUUGAUACUGUGUAUAGAGAUAUAAUUCUUCAAAAAUUCUCUAAAUAUAUAAAAAAAAUCUUUGAAAAUAUGACAUUUGUACACUCUUUGACAAAAGCCUCAGUGCUCCAUAGACAUUUUUUUAUGGAAUAAUGCUAGGAGUACGUUUAAAUAUAGACAUGAGAUAUGAUCUUUUACGAAUCUUUAAAAUAUAUUUAUAUCAUAUAGUCAUAUAUGAUACAAUCAUGUUCAAAUAACAUGUCAUUUUUGUUGCUAACAUUAAAAAAUCAAUAUAAAUAAUUAACUAUUCACUCAAAUUUACUUUUAUAUUUUAAAUUAGUUUUUUAAUUAAUAAAAAUAGCAAUCUAUUUUAAAAACAACUACUGUCAUGUUAUUUUAAUCCAUAGUUAUACUUAUUUUUACUACCUUAUUAGUAAUAAUUGUGAAAGUUUUUAGGUCACCAGUAAACCUGUUCAUGGCCAGGCUAGGUAGGAUUCAGGCUGAGCUUUAAUCAAUUUCUAGGCCCGUUUGAUAGAUCCAAGCUUGGGCCAGUCUGGAUUAUUGAUGUUAAAUCUAGGCUCGACCCGUAUAAUUUUUUUAUAAAAAAAUAGGCAGCAAAACAAUAACAAAAUUGUAAGAAAACACCAACAAAACAAUGAGAAAAUAACAGUUUUUUUUUUUUUGCAAAUAUGGGUUGGGCCCAGACCAAAAGAACCUUACUCGAGGUCUGGCCUAUUUUCUAAACGGACAUUAUUUUUUUGUCCAAUCUAAUUUUUUGAGUCUAUGUUUUUGUUCAAAUCUUCCCACUUUUCAGGUGAGCCAGGUGACCCAACCCAAGGACAGGUCUAGUCACUGGUUUGUUGGUCCGACCGAUUCGAUCAACCCAUCCACUUCAAUUAAAUAAAAUUAUAACAAUUAAAAUAUUAAAAAUUCGAUUCAAGACCCUCUCCAAAUUGAUAUCUUAGUUGGUUCCUGAUUCAACCGAACGGUCCGGUUCAAACAAUAUUGAUAAUUAUUUUAAGAUAGUUCAAUAAAAUAUUACUCUAUUAAUACACUUAAGUGCACUUGAACCUACAUAUUCAGGAGUUGUUACAAUAACAACUAUACCAACUGAGUUAAGGCUUAAUCAGCUUUUAGUAUCGUGUUUUAAAAUGUUAUAUAUUUUAAAAUAAAUUUUGAUAUAUUAAUAUUUUGUGUUGCGUAAAUUUAAACAUACAUAUUUCCUUUUCAUUUGAAUUAACAAGUUUGCAGCAUUGACAUUUAAAAAUAAAACAAGAAUUUUCCGAUUGAGUCUUAUCUUAAUUGGCAUGGGCAUUGUUGCCAAUGCAAGAGGAUAUAGGUUCGAGUGUGCUGAAGCGCAUUAUCCUUCAAUUUACGGGUUGGAGAGAGGUUAUGGGUAGUUUUAGGCGUUGUAUCAAAAAGAGCAAAUAUGAUCAGAACCUAUUUAUGAGUCGGGAAGAGACUAUAGGUAGUUUUAGACAUUAUGUCAAAAAGAGCAGAUAUAAUCAGAACCUAUAAUGAGAUUACGUGCUAGCAAACAACAAUUAUCAAAUUCCAAUUAUACCUUUCAUUCGUCUCGUUUUCAAUAUGGUUUAGAUACCCUUGUUUUAUUAUUUUAGGAUAAAGCAACAUUUAGACUUAAAUUUGAUAAAAAAUUUCGAUUUAAUCCCUGAAUUUUUUGUACACUUUAAUCUUGGAAUUUGACAAAAUUUCCUAAUUUUGGUAUAUGCGAUGACAUGCCACUCUCGCAUUAUCACCUAAAUAAUUAUAAUAUUCUUAUAAAUAAACUAGAAAUCUUAUCACAUGCAUAUCUAUGUGAAAACCGCAAAUUUAGAACACAGAUGAAGUUAAUUUGUAAGACUAACUCAAUCAAAUAUAUUAUGUGUGUGGAAACCACGUAUUUAGAACACAUGAAUGCAUUUAAAAGUAACAUAUAAUAAAUAAUGAAACAUAAGGUUUGAAACUAAUAAAAAUAACAACACAUGCAAUAUGUACGAAAUUAAAAUAAAAAAAUAGUUUAACGGAAAAAAAUUGUUAUAGAUAAAUACAUUAUAUUAAUAAUAUUACAUGCACUCUAAUUAUUUAUAAUAGUAUUAUCAUUUUAUUAUAGCACGUCAAAAAGAGAUAAAGUUAGUGAAAAGACAAUUUAAUAUUGAAAUUCUAUUCUUUAAAAAUUAAAUAUCGAGUGACUUGUAAUAACAAUGUAAUUAAGUGACAUUGAUUAUAUACAAGUUCGGUGAGAGAAAACAUUUUACGUUAAAAGUUAAUUUUAUUUAAGUUUGCUCAAUAAUUUUUAUUGGUGUUGUGGUAAAAAAUUAUUUAUAAAUCUAUUAAAUAUUAGUUUAAUCUCUUGAUAUGUUAAUUUUAGUUAUUUUAUUUAAUAAAAAGGAAUAUUAGUCAUUUUCUCACCGAGUUAGCACCCGAUUAACCCAUGGCACGAACUCGAGGUUUUAUUAAUUGUAAAUAUAGGUAUACAAAUUUGGUGAGAGAAAACAUUUUAUUUUAAAAGUUAAAAUUUUUAAGUUUAAACAGAAGUUAUUAUUGACGUAGUGGUAAAUAAUUUGUUUAUAAAUUCAUUAAACACUAAUUUUAGUUCUUUUAUUUAAACACUAUGUAAAAGUAUGGAAAGAUAAAAAAAAUCAUCAAAAUAAUAGUAGUAGUCAUUUAAUAAAAGGGUAUAUUAGUUAUUUUCUAACCGAGUUGGUACCUGAUUAACCUGUGACACCAAUCACAGUCAGGGUUAAAUUAAAUGUCUUACUAAUGCAAUUGGGAUGGUUUCAAAUUUCACAAUGUGCAUAUUUUUAUUUGUUUUUUCAAGUAAAAGAUUAAAAUACGCUCGAAUAGUAUAAUUACAAAAAUGUCUUACUAAUGCAAUUGGGGUGGGUUCAAUUUUCACCAUGUGCAUAUAUUUAUUUGUUUUUUCAAGUAAAAAGAUUAAAAUAUACUUGAGUAGUAUAACUUAUUUUAAUUACGAAAGGACAUUUUGAGUAGUACCCGAUUAACCCGUAAUAUCAACUCACAAUCAUGGGCUAAAUUAAAUGUUUUACGGGUAGGUUCAAAUUUCACAAUUUGCAUAUUUUUAUUUUUUUUUAAAGUAAAAAUAUUAAAAUACACUCGAAUAAUAUAAUUUAUUUAGAUUACGAAAAUAUAUUUUCGUAAUUUCUCUAAUCAAUUGAUGUCUGAUUGACUCGUGACACAAAUUCAAUUAGGAGCAUAAAUAAUGAUAUAGAUUUAAGUAAUAAUGUAACACCCCUAACCCAUAUCCGUAACCGGAAUAGAGUUCGAAGCAUUACCGAAAUUUACAGAUCAUUUACAUAUAUUUCAUUUCAUUUGCCAUACAUAUUAUAAACCAAGUAGAAUCAAUCAUAUGGUCCAUUAUAUGAACCCUCGAGGCCCAAAAUACACCUUAGAAACAAGUCAGGACUAAACCGGGUAUUCUGAGAAUUUUUCGCAAAAUAUCAAAAUUUUUCCAAGGUACAGGUAACACACGCCAGUGUGGUCAGGCCAUGUGGCUCACACGGCCAAGAGACACACCUCGUGUCUCAGGCCAUGUGGAUAUUUGAAAUAGGGCACACGGCCGUGUCCUAGCCCGUGUGCAUACCCGUGUAACUCUUUGACUUGGGUCACACGGCCAAGCCACACGCCUGUGUGCUAGGCCGUGUGAACAUGAAAAUUUGCAUUAAAUAGGUGCAUGGGUCACACGACCAAACCACACGCUCGUGUGCCAAACCGUGUGAUCUAUUUUGAGCAUUUUGUUUUGAAAUUUUUAAGAUGCAGGGGACACACGGCCAAACCACACGCCCAUGCGUGAGGCCGUGUGUCCCGUGUGGACGAAAAUAAGGCCAUUUCCUAGUCAUAUUUCUCACCCAAACUUAUCUUCCACCUAUAAUAACAGUUAAAUACAUUCCCAAACCAAUAUAAAACAUUUGAAUUAAGCUAAAACCAAGUCUUAUGCAUAUCAUAUCAUCAUAUAUAACUAAGUAUCCAUAUUUAACAAAUUGAUCACUUACUUAUAUAUAUAUUCAUAUUUGUACCAACUAUACCAACUCAAACCAUGUUACAAUUUGCCUUUUAGUUAACUAUCAAUCAAUUAUACCAAGACACUUAUUAACUAUAAUAAGACCAUAUACUUAUAUGUAUCAAAAUGUAUCAAACAUAAGCCAUUCAAAUGGCUAAUCACAACAAAACAUUUAUUUGCCAUCAAUGGCCAAAUUAACCUAUACCAAAGUUGAUUUAAUAAUUAUACCGAAAAAAGGAGAUUGAUAGUGUGAUGUGGCUCCGACAAGCUUCCAACCUUAAAGAGCUUCCAGGUUACUAUAAAACAAAGGAAGUAAAACAAAGUAAGCAUUUAAUGCUUAAUAAGUUCGUAUAAUAGGAAUUUAACUUACCGAUUAAUUCAAAUUUAAGGUAAGCAAAUAAACAUGCUCAGACCAAUUUGGCCAAUUUCCUAAACACAUAUCCCCAUUAAGCUUGUUAGUCAUGUAAUUCACAUAAAUACCAAGAAACAUGAAUGAGCUCAUUAAUAUUCAAUUUCCACAUACAUGUAUUUAUCACUUCAGGUGUCCAUGAACAUGUACAUAUCAUAUCUUUGUAUUUCAAGUAUUUCUCAUAAUAAUUCAUCUUGAAUUCAUAUCAUCUCAUAUCAGAACUUUACCUGUUAAAUCAUUUAAAAAUAUUGAUGGAUACAAGGGUAUUACACUUGAAGUGUAUAAAGCUGUAAACCGUCAAUUCAUAUUCGGGAAUGCUCAUACAAGCACAUAAAUGAUAAGCUCUCUCUCGAGCCAUAUAACAGGAAGCUCAUGUGAGUUAUGUAAUGGGAAGCUUAUCCGGACUGUAUAACAGGAAGCUCAUAAGAGUCAUAUUCAGUAAGCUCAUGCAAGCCAAUAACGGGUAGCUCUGAAGAGCCAUUAACGGGAAGCUCCGGAUAGCCAUAUAUCAGGAAGUUCAAGCGAGUUAUAUCGGGAAGCUCCGGAGAUCCAUUAAUCAGGAAGCUCACAAAGAGCCUUUAAUUGGGUAGCUCACGAAGAGCCAUAUAUCGGGACGCUUAUAAGAGCUGCGGUGUGUCCACAACACAUGCAGGAUCAUAACCGAUCGGGAUGCUCCGAAGAGCUAUUAACGGGAAGCUCGCAGGAACCAUAUAAUGGGAAGCUCGAGAGGGCUAAUAAUGAGACGCUUUUUCAAGCUAUGGUGUGUCCGCAACAUAUGCAGGACCACAACCAAUUCGGGAACCCUGUAUCCAUCAAAUCUCAUUUAUCCAAACAUGACUUAUUAUUUAUCGGACAUUAUCGGAUAUGUUGCAUACAUAUGACAUUUAUACAAUUCACAUAUACAACAUUAAAUUCAGACAUAUAAAUAUACACAAUUUAGUUACACGAACUUACCUCGACAAUUAUUUGUGUACGCAAAAUCUAAUAAUCUGACACUUUUUUUCUACGAUUUAACUUCGUUUUUGAUCUAUCUGGAUCUAUACGAAUGAAUUUAACAUCAAUUCAAUAUAAUUCAUAUUCAGUUCAAUCCAUUUCAUAUCUUAGGCAAAAAUUACCAUUUUCCCCUAUUCUUUUAAUUAAUUCCAAUUUCAUCCCUAGGCUCGAAAAAUGAAAUUCAUGCAAUUUAAUCCUUAUUCCAAGCCUAACCAAUUUUCAUAUAUCACAAUAGCAGCCCAUGUAUUUCAAAAAAAUCAGAAUUUUUCAUGAAUUUUACAUAUUUUCAAUUUAGUCCCUAAAUUACAAUUUCAUCAAAAUUCCCUUUACAAAAGUUGUUUAUCUAUCAACAACCUUUCUUUUUCUACCAUAAAACUUUAAAAUUUAGGCAUAUUCAUCAAUGGCAAAACCCUAGUACUUUGAUAACUUUACAAAUUAAUCCCCAAAAUAGCUAAAUUAAGCUAUUACGAUCUCAGAAACAUGAAAAUCAUUAAAAACGGGACUUGAAUACUCACCUAAUUGAGCCAAAUAAGCUUGCUACCUUCAAGCUCUUCCAACUAGGGUUUCCAUGUAAAUAAUUUGGGAAAGAUGAUGAAAAAGAUGACAUUUUCAUUAUUUAAUUACUUAUCAUCUUUUGUUAUUUUUACUUUCUAAUUUAGUCCUUUUCUUUAAUUAAUCUUCCAUAGAUGAAUCAUCAUUCUUAUCUACUAACUCCUCUUAAUGGUCUAUUUGCCAUAUAAGGACCUCUAAUUUUGAAUUCUAUAGCUAUUUGAUACUUAUAGAUACUAGAACUCAACUUUUGCAUUUUAUACAAUUUGGUCCUUUCCAUCUAAUUAGACAUGUAACCGAUAAAAUUUCUUUACGAAAUUUUCAUACGAUAUUUCAAUCAUAAUGCAGACCAUAAAAUAAUAUUAAAAUAAUUUUCCUUCCAGGCUUGAAUUUGUGGUCCCGAAACCACUGUUCUAAUUUAACUGAAAACGGGCUGUUACAAAUAAUGUGACACAAUCACGUUUAGGGGUGAGUAUUCGAUUGAUUUGAGUUGAAUCGAGUAGAAAAAUUUUGAGUUAGUCGAGAUGACGAAUCCUAUUUUAGCAAUCAAAUUCAAUUUGAAAAUCUUUCGAAUUGAUUGAGGAAAAAAAUUUCGAGUCAAGUCGAGUUAACAAAUCCUAUUGUUUAUACUCAAUGUUGUGUUUAUAUGGACAGAUUAUUUAACUAGUAGACAAAGUUUGAGAUUAGUUAACUACAUAAACAAUAUAAUUGUUUUGCUUUUUAACUUAAUAGGUAAACAUUUAUAAAAAAAGUAGUUUUGACUUU